GGAGCGGCUGAUUGGUGCUGUACGUGUUUCUCAUAUAGAACUCAAGUCUGCUGUUGUCCCAAAGUUGGAACCAGAGAUAUCAUGACUCUGGUUUCAUUUCACCUCAACUGUGUUUUUUUUUUUAAUUAAAAAAAUAAUUUUUUUAGGUAUACAUACAUGUAUUUUGAUCCCAUUUUCAUGGGAAUUUUGCAUUAAAAAAUGAAGAAUAGCUAAUAGGGAAUUUCCUGAUUCUUUAGUUACUAUUUUUGGAAUGAGGGUAAUUAGUAGUAAAGUUGGUUUCUACUCGCAAACAAGUGAGCUGCUCGAUUCCCAAGUGGUAUCAACCAGUUUUCAACUUUUUAAUAUACACAAAUUGUUAUUGUUUAAUAGCUACUACUAUUAAAACUCAACAUCUUACAAAAAUACUUAAAAAAAAUGAUUUUUUCUUAUGAUGCUGUAAAAAAAAUUACGGGUUUACUUAUUUCCACGAGAUCUUGUAUAGUGUUCUUGUAUAGUGGAAUUAAGAUUGUCUUCCCGAUGGUGCAAUUCACCCUCUUCCUUUACAGUCACUUGCACUUUGUGCAGCUUUGGUGUGGAUACGAUUCCCAGGGAAAAAGUCUUCAUGUUCGGACAAUGUGUCACAAAUACUCGUUCCAAUGAUGGGAAUUCAAGAGUGUAAUUCUCCAAACAAAAGCUGGUAAGCCUUGGUAAAUCAUCAAGUUCCAAAAGUUUUAAUUCACUGAAAGCAAUACGAUUCUCCUUCACUUCUUCUCCAGCAUGUCCUACGAUUUCUUCUAAUUUUUUGCAGUUCCAUACAUAAAGAUUCACCAGACUAGUAGGAAUUCCAACCUGAAAAUAAGCAGAGAGAGUGUGUGUGUAUAAAUAUUAAAAAAGUAAAAAUGUAAGAGUAUCAUUCAACUAGGCUCAAAGUAUGUUUGAUCAUACAAUUAUACGUUUUAUGAACAUAACAAACUGUGAAAUGUCUACUAGAUAUUUUUUGUUAAACAAAAAAGGUAACAAGAUAAAUAAAUAAAUAAAUAAAAGCCAGAUAAACAAAGAUGAUAAAAAUGUAUUUACACAAUUAGUAUUAGGGACGUAGAAAGAAUUUAAGGCAAUUUCUAAAUAUUUUAGACUUAUUUUGCAUCUUGAUAUAAGUUUUUAAGCAUAAAUUUGCACAUUUCAACUAUUCCUUUAAAAAAAAACUCAACUAAAAUGCCUCUUUUUCCCUUUUCCUUGGUCCCCUUUUUUUUAUGUAUAUAUAAAAAUGGAAAAAAAAAUUUGGAAAAGACUUCCUAGUACUGUCAACAAGGGAUUGCUGUAAAGUGGAUCUUUAUUAAGUACUUCCAGACUCGAGGAAAUUUCUUUACAAUCAAGGGUCAGUUGUAAACAAUCAUGAAUUUAUGGUUAAGUAAUGGCAUAAUCAAUUCUUAACUAAACUGGAGAUAUUAAUUAAAUUUGAAGACUUUUUUUUUUUCCCAAUCGAAAUGUGAAGAACUAAGGAAAAGAGAAAUAUAUAGAUGAAUUUGUGAACUUAUAAGAUGAGUGACUAUCCUUUAAUUUUUGAAAAUCGUACUUAUUAAGAUAUGAGCAAAAACAAUUAAAUUGAAUUAUAUUAUGCUGUUGAAUCUGUUUAAAAAAAUUAUAUUGUUGAUUCUAAUGCUGGUGAACCUAAAAACUAGACUUAAAACGUAGAUUUCAGAGUGGUGGUUUGAAGUACAAUAUUUGAAAUAAAUAAUUAGUGGCUGAAUAUCAUUUGUAAACACAGAAAUGAUUAAAAAAUUGUUGAAUGUUAUUUGAAAAAAAAAAUCGAAAUGAAUACAGAAACCUUACCAAUGGAGGAAAAAUAUUCAUUAGCUUAUCACACUCUUCUAUCUCCAAAUUCUUCAAUUUCCUGAAAGACUCCGAAGCAAGCUGGUGGUGCCAUAUUGUUCUUAGGUUAUCCAUCCACACAAUAUAUAAUACCUCCAACCUAGGAAGUCGUACCUGGCAAUUAAAGAUUAAAUAACUAAUUAAUCAAUUAAUGGCAUAAUCAAUUGAUAACUAAAUUAGAGGCGGAUAUUAACUAAAUUUGAAGACUCAAGGAAAAGACAAAUCAAGUAUUGUGACUAAAAUUAUUUUUUUAAUUAAAAAAAAAAAACUUUUCAUCAAAGAGAGGAGGAGGUUGCAUUUCAGAAUGAAUAGUGUCUUCUGGUGAGCUCGUAGAGAUGAAUCUUAACAUAUUACUGCAACAACCAAUCAUGAGGUUUAGCAAAGAAGGGAAUUCAACAACUAAAUCUGAAUGAAUAUGUCCCAUAUUGGCAAAACCUUUAAUUCAAUCAACUUUCCUUCAUCUCUUUCUGACCAUCCCGUGGUGUCGACUACCCCUUCCAUUGACUCACAAUAGCUUAUCUCAAGAUGUUGGAGUUGCAAAAGGCUAUUAACCAUAGAAUAUGAAAACAGAUACUUUAGACGAUAACACCUUUCCACAGUCACUUUUGUUAAAUUUUGACGAAAGUACAUUCCUUGAUUAUGAUCGGCCCAUAAUUUUUUCAUGUUUCUUAAGUCCCUGAGAUUCAAUUCCUCUAAGCUCGGAAGAAUAACCUGCAAAGAAAACCCGUACAUUUUUGUUCCUUCAAGUACAACCGUCUAGUAUAAUAUUCUUUUGAUGAUCAAAGAUUAAUUGUGAUAAUAAAUUAAUCAAUUAAUUAUUGAACAGAAAAUUAUCACCUUUGGAGCAGGAUCAUCAUCAGCAAUGAUUUCGUUGAAUCCCAAAGAAGUUGUUGGUUUGCUAAUUGUUGCACCAAAGAAGUAAGAUUUGAAACUUGUUUUUCUAGAGAAGUAGUACUUACCUCAUUGACUCGCUUAGGUGGCGGCAGUAGAUCGUUCCUAGUGUUGAACUGUUGGGAAUUAGCAGCCAUGUUAGCAAUGAGAUUUCGGGCUGCUUCUGGUGUCUUAUCCACGAGUGCUCCUCCACUAGCGGCAUCAAUCAUACUCCUAUCCAUAGGUAGUAGAACCUCAUAAAAGUAUUGAAUAAGAAGUUGAUCACUUAUCUGAUGGUGAGGGCAACUAGCACAUAGCUUUUUGAAUCGUUCCCAAUAGUCGUAGAGCGACUCUCCAUUAUACUGUCGGAUUCCACAAAUUUCUUUUCGAAUGCUGCCAGCUUUUGAUGCUGGGAAAUAUUUCUCCAAAAAUAGCUGACGCAUCUCAUUCCAUGUAGUGACAGUACCGGAGGGAAGAUAGUACAACCAUUCCUUGGCUGAAUCCGCCAAAGAGAAUGGGAAGGCCAUUAGCUUAACUUGCUCUUCAGAAACUCCGGCUGGUUUCAUUGUGGAGCAGACCACAUGGAACUCCUUCAAGUGGUUAUUUGGAUCCUCUCCUGCAAGACCAUGAAAAGUAGGAAGAAGAUGAAUCAUCCCAGAUUUGAGUUCAAAGUUUACUUGAGGGUUUGGAUUCUCAAUGCAUAAGGGUUGUUGGUCCAAGUUAGGAGCUGCCAACUCUUUAAGUGUUCGGUUGUUAUUCUGAGCCAUUGGUUGGGGUUCUGGGCUGCUUGGNNNNNNNNNNNNNNNNNNNNNNNNNNNNNNNNNNNNNNNNNNNNNNNNNNNNNNNNNNNNNNNNNNNNNNNNNNNNNNNNNNNNNNNNNNNNNNNNNNNNNNNNNNNNNNNNNNNNNNNNNNNNNNNNNNNNNNNNNNNNNNNNNNNNNNNNNNNNNNNNNNNNNNNNNNNNNNNNNNNNNNNNNNNNNNNNNNNNNNNNNNNNNNNNNNNNNNNNNNNNNNNNNNNNNNNNNNNNNNNNNNNNNNNNNNNNNNNNNNNNNNNNNNNNNNNNNNNNNNNNNNNNNNNNNNNNNNNNNNNNNNNNNNNNNNNNNNNNNNNNNNNNNNNNNNNNNNNNNNNNNNNNNNNNNNNNNNNNNNNNNNNNNNNNNNNNNNNNNNNNNNNNNNNNNNNNNNNNNNNNNNNNNNNNNNNNNNNNNNNNGCUAGUCCCCGGCAACGGCGCCAAAAAUUUGGUAGUGUCGUUAAGGUGCACCAAAUUUAAAACCUUACCACUAAUAUAAAUAAUUAGUACAGAGCGAGUAAGGAUCGAUCCCAUAGAGACUAUGCUAGUUAUAUUUAUUAUUAACUCCAAAGCAAGAUUUAAAAUAAAAUAAUAGUAAUAGUAAUAAUAAUAUAAAUUAAUCUAACUAAAGAAAAUGCCAAUUAAAAAUAAAAGGGGGGUUUAUGAAUUUUUAACUAAAUAGUAAGAAAUAAAGAAAUUAAAAUUACGAACAAGAAUUUAAUAAAAACUCUAAUUAAAGGAGAAAGAAAUAAUAAUGAUGAAAACUUUGGUUAAAGGAUCAUUCGCCACCACCAAACAUGCACAUAAUAAAUCAAUUCUAUUAUCAAUUUAUAUUGAAACUAUCAACCAUAGACAACAAUAAGCUCUGUUAGUCUCAAUCUUUCCUUAGUGUGUCGUUAGGUAAAAUAAGCUCUUCACCUAAUCUAUAACCAUUAAAUAAUUUAAAACAAGCUCUUUAAAUUUAAGAUAAUGGAAGCAUUAAACAAAGAAAGAAAUUAGGUUGAUCUAGGCAAUAAACACACAAGCUCAGAUUAUUUAACCUAGGUUAUGUUCUCCAAUUGAAAUCAUUAAUUCCAACCUGCUACUAAUGAUUAAAAUAUCAAGACAAUUACGGAUCAAGAAUUUUAAUCUAGCAAUAAAAUUUAUUCAAGUCCUAUCUAAUUGGCCACUCAAACAAAACAAGAAUAAACCAUGAACAUUAAUUAUAGAAGAACAUAAACAAUCUCAAUUAAAUAAAUUGAAUGAUAGAAUUUAAAUUUAAUUGCAUAGCAUGUUUAGGGUUUUGAAUUCACCCUCAACCAAAUAAAAAUCUAGCCUAACAUAAUUGAAUUGGGAAUAAGAGAAUUGACAAAACCAAUCAUAGAGAUUAAUUCAAGCGGCUGCCUUUUUCUUCAAUUGAAUUCCGGCUGCUGAUUUUUUCUUCUUCUUGCGGCUAUUGAUUUUCCUCUUGCUGCCGAAUUGGAUUUGCCCUCCCAAAGUCUCUUGCUGCCCGAAUUCUUUUCCCUCUAUUGCUUCCGCUUGAUCCUAUUUAUAAUGCUUCAAUUGUGGCUUUUUUUAAAUCCUUGCCUGGAAAGAAUUAAAUUCAAAGCUCAAAACCGCCACCUCAUGCUUCAAUUAAUAAGCCAAUAAUGAUUUCCUAAAGCCAAAAGGCUUUAUUCUCUUUCCUUUCACGUGGCAACUUUUGGUUUGCAUCUUUGUUUUCCAAUUUUGCUUUCAUGUGAUGGCUUGGCUUGUUAAUUGGCUUGGCUUCCUUUUUGACUUCCAUUUUCUAAUUUUAGCUCCAUGUGCAACAUUAAUUUUGCUCGGCCCAUACAAGCUUUAAUUAAAUUUAUUUUCUAAUUCCUUCCAAUUCUUGAUCUCUUGUGCACUUUUGUCUCUCAAUCUUCAAUCAAAUUUUUUUUCUUGAAUGCUCCGAUUUAAUUUCUCUUUAAUUCCAGAAUAUACCUAAAAUAACAAAAUAAAUAAAACUAAGAUAAAAAUUAACAAAAUAAAAUAUAAUUUACUAAAUUAAAAAUUAACUAAAAUAACUAGAAUAUUUAAGACCAAAACAAGAAAAAGAUAGAGAAAUUAAUAGCAAAAUAUAUGAAAAAUAUGCACUUAUCACAAGCCUCUCAUUUUUCAAAGCUUUUGCAAGGGUAAUAAGUGCAACAGGCAAUCCUCCGCAUUUUUCAACGAUCUCAUCUGCUAAAGGUUGAAAAGCAGAUGCUUUUGCAGAAUUACACACUAUCUUUCCAAACAAUUGCAAUGCUUCUUCCUUUGAUAAAACUUCAAUUGAGAAAUCCUUCUGAGAUUUCAUAUCAUUGCGCAAUAAAUCUCGACUUCUAGACGUCAAUAUUAUUGUGCGUCUUCUCCGAUCGUCCUCUCUAUCUUUCUCAUCAACAUCCCCAUAAGGAAUUCCAACUGUAUCGAACUCAAGUUUUGUCCAAAUAUUAUCCAGUAUAAUGAGGAGCCGCUUCUCUUGCUUCAACCUUUGACACAGUCGAGAAGCUCUUUGAAAUUCAUUCUCAUUCAAGUCAAAUUCCAUGCCUAAAUCAAAAGCAAGUUUGUCUUGAAUUUUAUGAUGAUCUGGGGUCUGUGUUAUCUCAGCCAUAACGAACUUAUCGAACAACUUAUCUUCCAUCACUUGGUUUGCAACUUGUUUGACCAGCGUGGUUUUGCCCACGCCGCCCAUCCCAUAGACCCCAAUUAUGUUGACCUUGUCAUCCUUCACCGCCUCCAUAACAUCUUGAAAUACUUUCAUUCUUGAAUCAAACGCCUCGAAAUCUUUCACUUGCAUAUGUUCUGCCCGCUUUGGAGCAGGACUGUAGGAAACAUUGGAGAAGUUGCCUUUUCCCACGAGACUAGCGGCAGCUUCUGCCGCCUUUGCUGCUUGUUUACUAAGCUUGUAACGAGAAAUCAAGUUUGGGCAUAAUCCUUUGAAGCAGGACUUCUUAGCUCUAUCUUCAUCAUCAAUGAUGGAUUUUGCAACCCCUUCACUGAUGAAUUCAUCAACGCUAUGUAGCCAGUCUGUGACACCCUCAUAAAGCUCAUCCCCUUGUAGCCUAGCAUGAUUAACUGGUUGCUGCACCAUUUCUCUCUUAUAUCCCAGCUGCUUCACUUGAUCUUUUAGCUCAUCUAUGUAGCUCUGGUACUUGAACACAUAAGAUAUCUGCCGUGUAAUCGGGUUGAACAGUGACUUUGCACCUUCUGAUACACAGUUGGUUAAAAAAGCCAGACACGCUUCUAUAGCCAUUGCCGGUUGCUUAACAAUAUAUAUCUAGUUUUUGGCUGUUGAAAAAAAAAAUGGAUUCAAAUAAAUUAAAUGAACUAGCGGGGAAGAAAAAGAAAGAAACGACAACAAACAACUUUUUAGAAAAAGGUUUCAGGGGCCUGAAUGGAAAACCAACAAUUUUUUGAAGAAAGAAAACUUUUUUGGAAGAUGGAUGCAAAUUAACCAUUAAUAAUACUGCAUAAGAACACAGAAGUUAACAAUAAACAGUAACUUAAAACUCAAGAAAAUUAAAUGACAAGAUUAAGACAAACAAGAGAUAGUUUUUGUUGGACAUUAAGAAACAUCUGCUAUCAAGAUCAAAGAUUAGAAAUUAUGCUAUUGAAAGAAAUUAUUAAAGUAUUUAGAACAAACGCACCUCUUCAAUUAUCGAGGAUCACAGAGUUUAUGAGCUUCACUCUUGGCCUUCGAUUUAUAAGAAAAAUUUUAAUGAGCAAAAGAUCACUGUUAACUGCAGAAGAAUGUGAGUAAAGAGUUUAUGGGAGUAAGCAAUACAAUUGAAUUGUAAAAGAACAAGACUUAAAGCGUGCACCCCGUGUUCAUAUAAACAGAACACAUGUUCAUUUUUAACAAAGUGAUCAAUAACUCUAUUCGUUAUUUAAUUGAUAUUGUAACCAAUUCUAAGAGAAUAUAAUAAUAAUCAUUCAAUCCAUAAAUUUAGAAUUAGAUUUUUUUAACUCUUUAUUUAAAUAUAAACCUUAAUGGAAAAUUAUAAAAGUUUAGAGAUAAAAUUUUUCAAUCACCAAACGAAAAAAACAGGGGAAUGAAAACAGAGGAAUCUUGUUUUAACUAUUUUUUUCCUCAACUCUCGUUCUUAUAUUAAUAAUCUUGUUUUGAUGAUAGUGCUCGUGACUGCGGGAAAAUUUCUACUGGAAACAACUCAAUUUCGGAAGAAAACUUAAUUUUGCAAGUGAUGAAUUUGAACUCGUUGGAUUGGUUGAUUUAUGAUUGACUGAAUUUCACUUUUGCCCAAAAGAUCUUUAACCAAAGUUUAAUAGCCAUCAUGUACUCCUUAAAAGCAAUUUUUUUUUUUAGAUUUGACUGAAUUUGAACUUGUUGGAUUGGUUGUUUUUAGAUUAUUAAUAUGAGAUAUUACAACGUAAAUAUUUUCAUGUGGUUGAGCCCUAUUCUAAAAUCUGUAUAGUUAGCUUUAGAAAAAGGGCUUUUCCUGCUGAUCUGUAAUCUUCAAAUAAACUUAGAUACAAAUAAUGAAAUAAAAGACAACAAACAAGCAAUACUGAUACAAAGCCAACAGAUCAGAGUUUUUUCUUGCCUUCUUUUGUUGAAGGAUUAGAGUUUUUGGUAUUAUCAGUAAAGGUUUCAAGGAGUAAAGCCUAUAAACUUUUUUUUUGGGGGGGGCGCCGCCGCGGGGAGGGGGGGGGGGGGGAGAGCAUGCAAAUUAACCAAAAGAAAUAAUAAGAGCACAGGCUUUAACAAUGAAUACUGACUUAAAACUCAUGCAAAAUAAGUUACAAUAUUAAAACAAACCAGAGAAAAUUUUUUCUUGGAAAGUAGAUGGAACUUAUGAAAGAGCAGAUGUCAAGGAUUUAGAAAACGCGCACCUCUUUAAUUAUCUGGGAUUAGAGAGUUGGUGAGCUUCUCUAUUUAAGAACAAGUUGAAAGAGGAAAAAGAUCACUGGUAACUGCUGAGGAAUGUGUGAGAAAAGAGUUGAUGAGAGCAAUAACAAAGACCUGCAAAAGAAAAAGAAUUAGUCAUGCACCGCUUUUCUAUAUCAUGUAUUUGGUUAUUGUUGCCCUGUUGACGCAUGUUGAAGAAGAAAGCACUAGUUCACAACUCUACGUUUUCAUAUAUUCUAAAGAAAUAAUUAAGUUUUCAUAGAAUGAUACCUGUUGUGUUUGAGUAAUUUUGGUAUAUACAUUGCUUGUGUACUGUGAAAUUGAAAUGAAUAUUGAUGGAAUGACUGAAUUUCACUUUUGCCCAAAAGAUCUUUAACCAAAGUUUAAUAGCUAUCAUGUACUCCUUAAAAGCAAUUUUUUUUUUUAGAUUUGACUGAAUUUGAACUUGUUGGAUUGGUUGUUUUUAGAUUAUUAAUAUGAGAUAUUACAACGUAAAUAUUUUCAUGUGGUUGAGCCCUAUUCUAAAAUCUGUAUAGUUAGCUUUAGAAAAAGGGCUUUUCCUGCUGAUCUGUAAUCUUCAAAUAAACUUAGAUACAAAUAAUGAAAUAAAAGACAACAAACAAGCAAUACUGAUGCAAAGCCAACAGAUCAGAGUUUUUGGUACAAAGCCAAUAAAAGACAAUAAACUUAGGACCUUUUUUUCUUGCUUUCUUUUGUUGCAGGAUUAGAGUUUUUGGUAUUAUCAGUAAAGGUUUCAAGGGUCUGAGUAAAAGCCUAUAAUCUUUUUAUAAACUUUUUUUUUUGGGGGGGGGGGGGGGGGGGGAGCAUGCAAAUUAACCAAAAGAAAUAAUAAGAGCACAGGCUUUAACAAUGAAUAGUAACUUAAAACUCAUGCAAAAUAAGUUACAAUAUUAAAACAAACCAGAGAAAAUUUUUUCUUGGAAAGUAGAUGGAACUUAAGAAAGAGCAGAUGUCAAGAUCAAGGAUCAGGGAUUCUACUAUCAAAAAAAAAAAAAUUAUUCAAGGAUUUAGAAAUCGUGCACCUCUUUAAUUAUCUGGGAUUAGAGAGUUGGUGAGCUUCUCUAUUUGGCCUUCAAUAUUUAAGAACAAGUUGAAAGAGGAAAAAGAUCACAGGUAACUGCUGAGGAAUGUGUGAGAAAAGAGUUGAUGAGAGCAAUAACAAAGACCUGCAAAAGAAAAAGAAUUAGUCAUGCACCGCUUUUCUAUAUCAUGUAUUUGGUUAUUGUUGCCCUGUUGACGCAUGUUGAAGAAGAAAGCACUAGUUCACAACUCUACGUUUUCAUAUAUUCUAAAGAAAUAAUUAAGUUUUCAUAGAAUAAUUUUGGUAUAUACAUUGCUUGUGUACUGUGAAAUUGAAAUGAAUAUUGAUGGACAGAGCAAUGCAUAUGCCUAAAAAAACAUAAAGCAAAUCCUUGAACGAAUGAUUCAGGACUAAAACUUUUAUAAAAGCAAAUACCGGAAACACACAAAAAGCAUUUAAGAGAGAAACUAAACCGCAAAUAAUCGAAGUAAGAUCAAUAAUAUAUGAUUUGAUUUAUGCAUAUUCAAAAACCAAAAUAUAAAAUAAAAUACAAAAUUAAAGUUUGGUUUAUUCUUUCCACAAAAAACAGGGGAAUGAAAACAGAGGCAACUUGUUUUACCAAUUUUUUCUUCUUAAUUUCCGGCAAAAAAAAUCAAUAAACAGGGGAAUGAAAACAAAGGAACGAAAACAGAGGAAACUUGCUUUUCAGGCUAUCUUGUGACAUGAUGAUAUUGCUCGUGAAUGCAUGAAAAUUUCUAAUGCAAACAGCUCAAUUUGGGAUGAUAAGCUUAAGUUUGCAAGUGAUGCAUGAUAAUCAGAUAUUUGUGGCUUUUAAAACUCAAGAAAACUCAAGAAAAUUAAAUGACAAGAUUAAGACAAACAAGAGAUAGUUUUUGUUGGACAUUAAGAAACAACUACUAUCAAGAUCAAAGAUUAGAAAUUAUGCUAUUGAAAGAAAUUAUUAAAGUAUUUAGAACAAACGCACCUCUUCAAUUAUCGAGGAUCACAGAGUUUAUGAGCUUCACUCUUGGCCUUCGAUUUAUAAGAAAAAUUUUAAUGAGCAAAAGAUCGCUGUUAACUGCAGAAGAAUGUGAGUAAAGAGUUUAUGGGAGUAAGCAAUACAAUUGAAUUGUAAAAGAACAAGACUUAAAGCGUGCACCCCGUGUUCAUAUAAACAGAACACAUGUUCAUUUUUAACAAAGUGAUCAAUAACUCUAUUCGUUAUUUAAUUGAUAUUGUAACCAAGAUCAAGGAUCAGGGAUUCUUAUGCCUACUGAUAUUUAAACAGAGAAUUCUUUCUUCUUUUUCUCUUCAUGGAUUAGAGUUUUUGCUAGUAACAGAAAGGUUUCAAGGGUCUGAAUAAAAUCCCAGAUUUUUUUUUAACUUUGUUUUUUGUGGGAAAAUGGAUUCAAAUUAACCAAAGCCAAUAAUAAGAUCACAGACUUUAACAAUGAACAAUAACUUAAGCAAAACCAAUGACAAGAUUAAAACAAACCACAGAAAUUUUUUCUCGGAAAGUAGAUGAAAAGCAAGUAAGAACUGCUAUUAAAGGAUAUUAUUAAAGGAUUUAGAACAUGUAUACCUCUUUAUUUAUAUGGGAUCAGAGAAUCGAUGACCUCCUCUAUUCGCUUCAGAUAUUAAGUAAGAACUGCUAUUAAAAGAAUGAAUUGAUGAGAGUAAUAACAAUGAUUGCAAAAUAGGAAGACUCAAUCAUGCACCCCUUUUAUACCUGAUCAUAUUAAGAAGUCGUUAAAGAAUAACGACUAAAUUAGGAAUUAAUUCUGAAGUUCAGAAUCAAGAACAAAGACGAAGCUUUAAUAACGCAUGCAGUGAGAUACAAGAAAUGGAUCUGGUAAAAUACAUUAAAAAAAUUUGUUCAACUUCAACCUAGUUAAGCUGAUGAAAGCACUAGUUGUUGGCUCUACGUUUCAUAUGUUCUAAUGAAAUAAUUAAGUUGAAGUUUUCAACGAAUAAAUACCUGUUUCGCUUGAAUAGCUUUGGCAUAUACAUUACUUGUGUCCUGUGAAAUUGAAAAGGUUAUUGAUUUACAAAGCUUAUUAGUAGAGAAAAGCUACGUAAGAUGCCUGAUAAAAGAUAAAGCAAGAGCUUGAAUGAAGAAUGACAUUUUAGAAAGAAACUAAAGUGUAAUCAUCAAAGUAGGAUCAAUAAUGUACCACUUUCCUUGCAAAUCUGGUGGGUUUUCUGAAUAGAUUUUUACAUUAUUCUAUUUAACCAUUUUGGGUUUACCCUAAGCAUUCUUGGUUGGCAUUGUCCUGUAAUCUGCGUGCCCUGGAUACGUGUGAGGGAAAGAUGAGGGUAGAUAUGCAAUUUCAAGAAGCGAUUUGCUUGCAUAAUUCAAUGCAUGGAAAGAGAUGUACCUGACCAGAAAAAAAAGGGCACCAUCCAUAUCUGAGCUUGACUUUUUAGAUGGAUAAAUAUUCUUAUUACUGUUGAUAAUGGAGAAGGGUUCUACUUUUACUUUGCCAUCUUUGAUAUAAAACAGCAUGAUUCCUUUUUAUCAAACACUUGCCUAAGUCUAUUUUUUAUUUUUCUUAUUUUCAGAAAGAGAUUAGCUUAAUUUAAAUUAUAUUCAAGUACAAAGUGUUAUACACUCAUAAAACGAGAAAUAGGCAUGUAUUGAUCACGCGCAAUCUAGUUUUUUUUUUUUUUCUUUUUUUUUAAUCCAGUCUUCUUAUUAAAAAAAAAAGAAUUUAUUUGCUUUAUUUUAAAUUAUUUUUUCAUGCGGUAAAUGCAAUACUGAGUAAUGGGUGAGCAAAAUAUUUACAGGCACACCCCCUUUUAAUGAUUUCGUACUAAAAUUAAAAAUUGACGAUUCCAUGAUAAAGUUCAAAGAGUAAAUGAAGACCCAUAAAUGUUUUUUGGUCAUGAGCAAUUUUUGAGUUGGGACAGCACUCGUAUGAAAAAAAAUAGUUUUUUUUUUUCUUUAAGCAUGAGGAUAUUAAUUCUUUUUUUAUAAAUCAGCGUGAAUAUAAAAUUAAAAAAAUAGUUUUGAAUAACUUCUUUUCUUUUUUCAUAAAUAUAGAUAAAAAAUUUUAAAGUCACCAAACACAAAACCAGGAAAAUGGAAAGGAAGCCCCUGUUUCUCCGCUGCUGCAAGCACAAAUUCGGUUUCUACAGGAGUACCUUCUAAAUGCACCAUUUGUAUUGCUUUGUUUCCACGUAAGCUAACGGAAUUUGAUGAAGACAAAAUAGAUAUGAGUCGUGCUAUUCACACCCCUCGAUAAUUCUCUCAAAAUCCCCUUUCUAAUUAUACCGCCUUGAAUAAUUUCAAAACUGACUUUUCCUCUUAUAAUACCACCUUCAAUUCCCUUAAUACCCUUGUUCGCUAUGAAAAUAAGGAAAAUGCCUACAUAAAAAGCUGGCUCUGAUAAUCUACCUGAAUUUACAUUAGAAAAGAGUGGACUUUGAGAAAUAAGAAGACAAUAUAGGGAAUUUUACCAAAAUAAUCCAUUUUUAUAUACAGGGAAUGGUAUUUUCUAAUAUAAGGAGGAGUGGAGAAAUUAAAUUUAGCAAAAUAAAGAACCUCCAUCGAGAAGCAAAAAUGAUGAUAUCUUUGUCGUGAAGAGAUUUCAAUUCAAUUGCAUACAUUGACGAAACAUUAAAUACGGAAAAAACAAAAAAGAAAUAAUAGAACAUGGGGAUUUCGAGAACUUCUAAAGAGAGAAAUGUAUUUAUAAGCAUUGAAAAUUAGCUCAUUAAAUUUGACAGAAUAAUAUACAAUCUCACUGUUGGCCAGAAAAUAAUAGUAAGAACUUGUGAACAUAUAUAAUCAAUUGCUUAUUACUUAAGCUUUUUCUCCGUUAUUUUGAAUGGGUGCAAAGAGGAGAAGUUUUGUACCCAAAUUCCAACUCGAAUUGUGUAGGCUGCUUGCAAGAGCUUCAUUAGAUUUUUAUUUGUCUUUUAAUAGUGCUACUCGAUAAAUACAGCUAGCUAUCUGUCCUUUUUGUUACUGGACUAUAGAUCAAUUGACAGUUGAAGUUAUAUUAAUUUGUUGUACUGGAAUUGAAGCUUGUAUCUUAGCCAUUUCGUGAAGUGUCAAAUAUAUUUUUAAUUUCCUUAAAAUUGUUCAAAAUAUGUUUACACUUUUAAAGUCACUAUUAUACAUGAGUGCCCUAAAAUCAUUUCCUUAAAAUUGUUCAAGUGGGAUCCUAGUUCUCUAUGGCAGUUGAAGAGGUAAAUGCGCAUAGAGCUAUGCUCUAUCAUAGGCCUCGGCCACUAUAAGAAAUUUGAUUUUUUAAGACGAUAUUUUUUACAACAACUUUAAAUUUGGUCACAAAAUGGUAUUUAUUGUGACAAAUUUUUUAAAUCGUAGCUAAUAAUCUUGUCCUAACUUAUAUUUUUUUUUGUAACCAAUUAUUUUUAUUUUGAGACUUGUUCAUUGGUCAUUAAUUAAAUUUUUUUAUACCAAAAAUUAUUUUAGUCACCAAAAGAUAUAUUUUUUUGGCGCAAAAUCUUCCCUCCAAAAGUGAUUAUUUUGAGACAAUAUUUCACUAUUUAUGACAAAAUAAAUAGUCAUGAAAUAUAAUUAUAGGCGACCAAAUUAUUUGGUAACUAAAAGAGGGGUGUAAAAUUAACUAAACAAUCUAUGACACAAAAUAUUAGUAGCCAAAAUUAUUGUUCUUUUGGCAUAUUUUAAGACCAUUUUUUUGGUCAUAUAUAAUUACCUACAGUGACAAAAUUAAAAAAUAGUCGUUGAAUGUUUUAUCUUGAAUAAUUUUAUAUUUGAUAACCAAUUUUUUUUUCUUUUUGAGACAUAUUACUUGGUCCCUAUUUCAACUUCUUUUUGACUAACUUUAUAAUAGUCACAAAAGACAUUUUUUUUUUUUUUGGCAUAAAAAGUCUGUCCAAAGUUAGCUCUUUUGGGACAAUAUAUAAUCUUUUAUGACAAAAUAUAUAGUGGCGAAAUAUAAUUAUUUUUUACAAAGUUAUUUCGUAGCUGAAAAAGAGGUGUAAAUUUAGUUAACCUAUUUGUGACAUAAAAUAUUAGUCUCCAAAACUAUUAUGCUUUUAGCCAAUUUUAAGACCCGAUUUUGUUGUCAUGGAUAAUUACCUAUUUUCAAAAAACUAAGAGAUAGUAAUCAAAAGUUUGUCUUGAUUGACAUUGUAUUUUAUGAGCAAAAUAUUUUGUUUCAGUGACACUUUACUUGGUCUCUGAUUAGACUUGUUUGUGAUGAUCAAUAGAAAUAUAUAAUAACCACUAAAUUUUUUUGGAUUAAAUUUUAUAGAUACUAUUAAUUAAGUUGUUGACGAAAAUGAUCGAACCAAUACUAAUAUGGGAUACCAUCAACAGCCGUAAUACUUAUGAACCGAGAAAUUAUAAUAUGUAGUGAAAAAGUUUUAACAGUAGUCCCUAGUAUUUAGAAUUAUUUUGACUACUUUAUUUAUUUCCAAAACAUAAAAUUCUCAACCCAAAAUUCCCCGCAUUGUGUUUUAUUUUGUCUCCUCACUCAGUUACUCUUAUUAACUCACGGCUUGACAAAAAAAAGAAAAAAAUUCUCACAGCUUGAUGUUCUCCUCUCUUUAAAAAUAAAAAUCCCCAGUUACUCUGCUCAAACUCGUUAAUAUUUGUUUCCACCACCAAAGCAGCCACUCGUAUCUUUUAUUAAGCAUAACGUUUUUCUUAAAACCUAAUUGAUCAUUCUUUAACGUCUCCAGGAUUAUAUUUGGCACGCUAUUUUUCUCCUUCAAUUGAAUAGAAGUCUAGAACCUUUUUUUUUUCGCAAUUCACUUUUGCUGUGUUUCGUGGUUUGGACUAAGAUCAUGACAAUUAUUGAACGAUGGGGAUAAAUAUCAAAGAAGGAGCUUACAUGCCCUAUAUAUCUCUCUUUGGAUGAAUAACGAAUGUGAGCUUUCAAAGUACAGAGAUUUACAUGUUUUAAUUGUCAUUUACAUUGCUGCAUGCCAAUUGCUUGAUAAAAUACUGCAACAAAUACGCAUUCUCGAUUUUCUUAUAAAUUUAUUUUCUUAAUCUGAAAAAAAUUGAAUGUUCAGAGAAUUUUGAAGGUUUUGGUGUAUGCAUUAAUAUUUCGAUUCUAUUUAUGUUGUUUAACUAAUGAAGAUGAUACAUCUAGCCUCUUUUUGCCCCUUGUUGUUUUUAUUCUUGUGCUUUAUAUACGGUUCAAGUGUGAUACACUUUAGUUUUUCUCAAGUGUUUGUUAGUAUUUCCCGAAGCAAAAUUUGUCACAGACUUUGAGUUCAAAAGUUGAAAUCAUAACUAACAUACUUCGAUUUUUUAUUUUCCUUUUUUCUUCGGUAUCCUUCUAUAUGGCAUUGGUUGAGAAAUUGGUGUACUUAGAUCGUAAUAUUCUGUAGAAAUAAGCCAAUAUUUCAUUACGUACAUUGUUUAAUAUGAUGAGUAUUGUAUAGAAGUUUUACAUAUAAGCUCCUUAUAUAUUAUGCAUUAUGUUUUUAUCAUAUUGUUGCUUGGAACUUUGAAGGAUUGGCCACAGGGCUUUAGUCCUACAUGGACAUUUUAUAUUUAAUAGCUGGUUAGGCAUUUUAUUUGAUGUUAUUUGGACUUGUAGGUGUUAAAAGUUUUGUUCAGUAAUUUUAUAAUUCAGAUUCCCAUUGUGAUAAGAUAGCAAUUUUUUGUGUGUCAGAUUCUGUCAACUGAUAUUUAGCUAAAAUAUCUCACUAACCCCUAUUGGUUAGGUAUUAUUUUAAAUCACAUACUUGAUUUUUAUUUUCUUUUUAUCUGUGGAAUCCCAUGUAUCAUUCAUAAGAAACAAGCUAUUAUAUAAUCUAUUCUUUAGAUCCAUUUAUAUGUAGUGAGCACUCUGAUUUCUAUUAUUUGAAUUUUUUGCUACUGUUACUACUCUUUCGGCCCUUCAAAUAGGGGUUAACAGAAAUGGUGAGUAUAUUAAUACAAAUUCAAACUUUCUUUUUCUAAUUUUAUCCAAAAUAACCUACUAUUUUAUUUUAAUUUCAAACUUUUGUCAUAGUCUAAUGGGCAGUUGUCUUGUCAUUAUUUGGUUUCAAGUAAGAAGAGAGAAAGUUAGUGAGAGGAUGAAAAUUUUGCAAAAACUUGUUCAUAGCUAUGGUAAUUAAGUAGUUUGAGUUCUUUUUUUUGUUGUUUUCUAUGUUGGUUUUGGAUCAUUGUAGUUGCUGAUUGUGAUUUAUUGUCGCCUAUGGUUGCUGACUUUUGUUUACUGUGGCUACUUUAUUAAAGCAAUUUUGGAUAUUGAAGUUUAUGGCCAACUUUUAUUAGACACUUCUGACCUUUAUCGAUAUAUUUUCUGAACCUUUACACUUAAGAUGUGUGUGUGUGUUUUUAAAAAAUACAUGUGAAUGAAAUAGUACUUGAAAUAAUAUAUUUUCUCAACUUUUAUUAGAUAUAGUGAAAUAGUACUUGAAAUAAUAUAUUUUCUCAACUUUUAUUAGAUAAUUCAAAGUAUAUCCCACUUAUUAUCGAUAUAUUUGCUCAAGUCUCAUGUGCAACAUGUGAAUGAAAUAGUACUUGAAAUAAUAGAGACUUUGUUUUAUGACUCAUAUUUUUACAUUUCUUUGCAAGGAACCAUACUUAAUUGUACCUAAUAGAAGAGAUAUCUUUUCACUAUAUAGUCUUAGUAUAAAAAGAUACAUCUUCUAUAUAAGGCACAAUUGAUGGGACAUAUCUUUAUACUAAGACAUCAUUCAUAUUUAUCACACAAUAAUAGAAACUGCAAUGGUAGGUGGAAUAUUAUGAAGUCAAAAUUGAGAACGACAUUAAAUCAUGAAUUCUUUAUGUGUUUACUCGAAUGCCUGACAGUAUUUAGUUCAAUUAACACAGAUUGGAAAUCCAAAUGAUUGAAGAGUUGUAUGAGUUCAAGUUCAGUAUUUAAUUACUAUAUAAUUAUACAUAAAUGUGGAUUUUGCAAGCUUGAACCCAUGUGUGUUAGCCCAUUUCGGCCCAAUAAACAUAUUGUUCUGGAUAAAAAAUAUCAGGGGAUCUCUGAUGUUUCUUUGGUUUAACAUAAAUUUAUUCCUAACUCUAUAACCAUGCAUUAUUUAGACAAAAAUUUUUGCAAUCACCAAACAGUAAAACAGAGAAAUAAAAACGGAGGAGCUCUUUUCUAAAACAGAAGUAGGUGUUUUGUCUGAACGUACCACUUUCUGUUUAAUUAUUAUGUUUACGGAAUAGAUUUUUUUUUAUUAUUCUGUUUUAUGUUUCCGUCUUUACCCUAAGCAUUCUUGGUUGGCAUCGCUGCAUUGUCCUGUAAUCUGUGUGCCUUGGUGAGGAGGGGAAUGGAUAACUGUGGUGCUGGAUACGUGAGAGACAAUGAUGAGGGUAGAUUUGUAAUUGCCAGAAGCGAUUUGCUUGCAAUAAUUCAAUGCAUGGAAAGAGAUGCCUCUAACAAAAAAUGGGACUAUCCAUAUCUGAGCAUUAGAGCUCUACGUCUUAGAUAAAUAAAUAUACUUAUUAGUAUUGUUUUUGCAUAUAUCUUUCACAAAAUUAUUGUAUUCGCUUAUAUAGAGAGGACGAUUUAGAUAAGUUUCAACUAAAAAUUGACAAUUCCAUGAUAAAGUUAAAAAUCACCGAAUAAAAAACUGGAAAAUCCCCUGUUUCUCCUCUGCUUUCUUUUGAUUAUUAUUAAAAAGGGGAAUUAAAAAAUGAGUUGCAAGCACAAAUUUUAUUUCUACAGUAGUACCUUCUAAAUGCACCAUUGUUUGAUACAUUAAAAUUAAACAUUACUUAUGCUAGUAUAUCGGUACUUCACAUGUCCGUUCUUCAUUAAUGUAUAUUCAUUUACACCCAAGCUACCUGUCAGUUUUGCGAAAACUGAAUUUAAAGGUGUGGCUUAAAUUAAAAUAAUAAUCAGCCUCAUAGAAUACAGAGAAAAAAGAUAAUUUAUCACAAUCAUAUCCUAAUGCAUCAUAAAUUUAGAUUAUUUAAUUACUGUUAGGAAAUCUGCUUAGAUAAGGCGCACACUACAAAUUCUAAAUUAAAUUCCUAAUUAACAAUAAAAGAUAGACCCUAUUAAUCGUCCACCAGGUACCUUGUAGCCUGCAUCAUAAGUUUAGAUUUAAAUUUUUGCAAUUACCAAACGGAGAAACAGGGGAAUGAAAACAAAGGAGCCCUAUUUUUUCCAUUUUUGUCCCCCUUAACUCUUGUCCUUAUACAAAUAUUUUUCCUUGGAAUUUCAGGCAUACGAAAAAAUAUUGAAAAUUAUUUAAAGCAAACAGGUGGAUGAUAACAAAAAUAUAUUUAAUUAACCAAAUCAAGACACUAUAUUGGUCGUCAAUGUUUCGGCAUCACUGUCUUCUUCAGAUGUUACUUGUUUUUCACAUUUAUUUUGCGCUGUUGUGGAUUAAUAUGGUUCUGCUGGGUGCACAUUUUUACGUGCUACUGUAUUUUCUCUCAGUCCUUUUUAAAAGAACAUACACCCACAUACUAUGUAGAGUGACCUUUUUUAAUGAGGAAUCUGUCAUUUUAAUAAAAUGAAGAAUAAACUAAAAGGUAGAAGUACACGAACUCUAAUGCAAUAUACCUUUUCUUUUCUUUUACCUUUACUAUAAGAUAGGGAAUGAUAUAAUUGAUAAUGGAACUUGGGGUCAGAGCAGCGGUGUAAUUUUGAGAGGAUUUACAAGAUGGUAAGUGCAAUAAUUAACAGGCUCAUUUAAUAUAUCAAACUGCUAGAUAAUUGUACUAGUUAAACAUAAUUUUCAGAGAAUCUUUUUAAGGGUUUAUUUAUUAAUAUUUUGUUUCUUUCCAGCAUGAACACUUUGUUUUGACACGUGCUUAACAACCUUCAACGAACUGGAACAACCUUCAUCACAUGCUUCCUCACGUGAUUACUUAAAUUGAUAUGUAAAACGUGCUCCAUCCAUGUCGUUUCCACUAAAUCGUUUUUUGUUAAGAAUCAGCUGAGCAGCACGUGAGCUAAUGAAGCUUUUACGGCUUCAAAACGCAGCCGUUUCUGGGAACCAAACUUGAUUCAUCAUCUCACAACUACAGAUGAAUUAUCGAAGUGGCUGAUUGGUGCUGUACGUGUUUUUCGUAUUGAACUCAACUCUGCUAUAAUACAUGCGUGCAUCUGAUACAUGCACAAAAACCACCACUCCCACUCCCACUCCCACUCCCACGCCCUCGCGUCACGCGCCUUACCACUCCCUCGCCUCACCUCACCUCUCUUCUUGUUCCACGGCCAUCAACGGCGGCACGAGUCGGCAACGAUCAACUGCGGCUGUAAAUUGACCACAAUCAUCUCUCUCUCUCGGCUUUGCUCAAAUUUGGCCGAUCUAUGCGCUUGCUUAAGCUUGGCCGAUCUAUGCUUGCUCAAUUACUCUUCCUAUAUUCAGUCGGAGUCAACUGUUUGACAAGAGUCGAAGUCCAAGGUUCUUUUUUACAGGAUUUGAGCUACUUCUUUUAUUCUUCUUCCAUGUUCACUGAUACGAAGCUUUGAUGUGGUGUUCUGAGAGCGGGUGGAAUUUGAGAUUCUCCUUUCUUCUCUAUAUGAAGGUGCUUGUCAUGUGUCAAGAAAAAUAAAAUUAUUUACAAAAGAUUAUUUUAAGGAGAUUUAUUAUUAUUCGUGGAUCGGGAAGCUCAAAAAAUUUUCUUAUGUAGACUCAAAUCAUUUCUAUAGGGCGAAGCAUAUGAAUGAUACAUAUUAUCUUUUUUUGGCCUUAUGUAUUGUUAUUUGCAGUGUGAUUUGGUCUAGCUUAAGAGCUUAAGCUUGCAGGCUGGAUUUGUCUGACAUGGAACAAUUUAAUUUGUUCAUCGUGAUGUUUAUAUCCAUUUUGUACUACUAUCAAUUUCAAUCAUGGCUAAUUUUUAUAUGUAUUUCUCGUGGACUCUCAGGUUCAGUGCACAAGAGGAUGAAGACGAUGGACACCCAAAUUUGAUGUGGAGAACAACUAUUGCAAAUGGUCCUUGAUUUACUUCUCCAAUUGACUUGAAUUGGUUUGACGCAAUUUAUAGUGUAUUUUUGUCAUCUUUGUAUGACUGGCAGGUCGUCCUGAUUUGGUACAUGACUGGACACAGGAAUUGGACUCAUAUUUUUCAAACCAGAAUGCCAACAAUCAAGCAUUUUCUUUUGAAAGCACUGGCGUCUUCUUCAGUGCCAAAAAGGUUAGAGAUUUUCUGUAUCCUGUUUUGUAUUUGAUCAGUUUAGCAUGUGGGUGGCAAUCAAGAAAAGUUAUUAUAACAUUUUUGUGUUCCCGAAAAACUGCUGCUGAUGUGUAGUGCAGGAAAUGAAUUGUUUGUGACUUCUUUUUAUUUGUAUUCUUUCUUUUUUCUUUUCUCCCCAACAGAAUUACGUAUUUCUGAAGAGCUUCUUGAAGUUGAUUACCAUGUAUGCCACUUUCUUUACUCUAUGCUCAGGAUGUGAUUUUGUUUAGGUCAGAACCAUCAUCUAAAGUUUACUUAAUGCUGCCGAGAAGCUGUAGUAGAGCAAUGAAGGCUGUUGGUGUUAUGAAGGCCAGCUGUGAAGAAAUAUUUGAACUUGUAAUGAGCAUGGAUGGGACACGAUACGAGUAUGCUUCUUUUCUAUUUUUUAUUUUUAGUUACUUUAACAUAAUCAAGACUAUAUUGGCUGUCUGUGUAAGCUGAGUAUUAUAUUUCCUCUUGUAUGCUGUGAAAUUCACAUUGUCUCCAGUCCCGAUUCUGUAUGUGCCUUUUUGAAUAUAUUUAAUUAAUCUGCAUGGUGCUUUCUAAAGAUUAUUACAAACUUUUGUUGCUUAAGUAUAUGAAGAAUGUGGAAAUGAAAAUAGCUUUUGAAGUUUGAUGGAUUGCUUCAUUAAUAAAGAAAGACUAGGACUCAUUUUUAUAACUUUUCUCCACUUAGCUAAUGGUAUUUGAUGAAGACAAAAUAGAUGUAGCUAUCUAUAUUUUUUGUUGCUGAACUAUAGAUCAAUUGAUGGUUGAAGUUAGUUAUAUUAAUUUGUUGUACUAGAUUAAAGCUUGUAUCUUAGCCAUUUCAUGAAGUGUCAAAUACGUUCUUUCCUCUUUUUUUUUUUUUUCGAAACAUGUUACACUUUUGAAGUCACUAUUACAUAAAAGAGUGUUCUAAAACAGGAGAAGGCGUGCUGCCUGAAAUUACCUGUUUCCUAGCAAAUCUAGCUGGUUUGCGAAUUAGAUUUUAACAAGUCUCUUGGCAAGGUUUGCUAGUAAUGUGUUCAAAUUAUUCUAUUUAAUUUUACUGUCUGUACCCUAAUAAUUCUUGGUUUGCACCAUUGCAUUGUUCCAUAAUCUCUGUGCGUUGGCUUAUAAAGGCCAGCAAGGCUGAUCAUUUGUCGAAUAGUUAUUUCCAUGAAAUUCCUAUCAAUUUGACUCAGUAUUUAGAGGUCUUGAAGAGGGCAGUGUACUAGACAUGGAUUUCUACCUCUUUUGGUUGUACAAUUGUUGUAUUUCUUGGCCAUCAGAUCUUUUUUAUGUACCUUUCUCAAAGUUCUUGCCGCACGUACACCGUUUUUCAUGUUUUGUGCAGGUGGGAUUGUAGUCUUCUGUAUCGCAGCUUAGUUGAAGAGGUAGAUGGUCAUACGGCUAUUCUCUAUCAUAGGCUUCAGCUGGACUGGCUUCCAAUGUAAUAGUCUCUUGAUUCAAUCAUCUCAUUUAUGCUUUGGUCAGAAUAGAACAUUUAUUGUUCUUCUUUCCCCUUUCCUCUCUUCUGAUGUAAUAUGUGAGGAAAUUACCUAAAAUUUCUGUAUCCCAAUGUAAUUGUUGGCAUUCAGAAAUAAAAUAAAUACACCGUCUUGUUUUUCCCUCGGUUCAGUCCUAAGUUCUCUUUGGGCCUUCUGCAAGUUUUUAAACAUACUGUGACAGUAAAAAAUCUAGUGAUUGAGAUCAUUUUGAUGAAUUUAAUUUUAAUUCUUAGCUGAUACUUUUUCUGGAAUUUUUUUCUUAUGUUUCCUCAAUAUGACUUAAAUAUAGGGCUUAGUCAUGGAUCAUGCACCAGAGUGAUGGAAGCACCCCUUGUUUAUUAGGAAAAGCAGUUGAUUGUAACUAUAUCCGCGGUCCUAAGUAGUUAGAAGUAAAUGCUCUUCGAAUUCCUAUAGUACAUGGGAUGUGUUCCCUUUCAAAUAGCUUGUUCAAUACCAUUAACAUGGUUUAACAUUGUUCAUCUUUCUGUAGAUUGAUGUUGACGUGUUCUUCUAGAGUUGCUAAUGGAGUUUUGGGCCUUGUAAUUGGUGUAAUUACGGCAUUGGUGGUUGACAUGGCUUUCCUUGUGCAGGUAUGUAUGAUUGUUUUUUUCCCCCACUUCUAAAUGACACGAGGGAAGAGACAUGAUUUUGAGAUAUUGUACUGCAAUUUGCAUAUUUGCAUACUUGAAUAGUAACUCAAGAAUCAUUUUCAGAAUGGUAUAAUGCUUCGUGUAUGCAGGCAAAUACUACAGAUGAAUUACCGGAGCGGCUGAUUGGAGCUGUACGUGUUUCUUAUAUAGAACUCAAGUCUGCUAUUGUCCCAAAGUUGGAACCAGAGACAUCAUGACUCUGGUUUCAUUUCACCUCAACUGUUUUUUUUUUAAUUGAAAAAAAAAAUCAUUUGUUUUAGGUAUGCAUACAUGUAUUUUGAUCCCGUUUUCAUUGUAAUUUCUCAUUUACUUUGAAAGAAAGUCACUGGUGUUUUCGAAUAGGAAUUUUGCAUUAAAAAAUAAAGAAUACUUAAUAGGAAACUUAAUAAUUCUUUAGUUACUAUUUUUGGAAUGAGUGUAAUAGUAUUGAAGUUGGUUUCUACUCGCAAUCAAGUGAACUACUCGAUCCCCAACUGCGACCGCACUAAUUGUCAUUGUUUAAUAGCCUACUACUUUUAAAACUCAACAACUAAAAAAAUGAUUUUCUUAUGAUGCUGUGAAAACAUUUAUGGGUUCACUUAUUUCCACAAGAUCUAUAACAUGGUCUUGACUUCACGAAAUUCUUUUAACUUAAAGGGUUCUGGUCUGAGAAAGUUAAUUUGACGGAUUAAUUCCUUUUAAUAAUGGUCGAGUUAAUUUUACUAUACUCGUAAAACUAUUAUUAUUCUGAUAAUGCCACAAAUGUUAUGAUGUUUUCUUCAGCCAAUAAUCUUCUAUUAGGACUAGUUAGAAAUCAAAUGCUUAAAACACCAAUUGAAUGAAUAAUGCAGAAGUUUAAACAGUAUCUAAUUGAAAAUUACAUGAAGCAUGAAACAUCAAUUCAAGUCCUUCCUUAAACAGAGAAUGCAUCAAACAAAUCCAAAGUGUCUUGCAUGUCUGUAAAUAAUUGUAAAUGCGUUUAGAUUAUUCAAGUACAGGAGAACAAGCAAGUUGAAUCAUGUACAAGAGGUUGGCCUGGUUCGAGAUAGCUUCUUCACAGUACCUGAAGGGUUGGCUCAAUCUUUUCUUUAGAAUUCUGCACAUUUUGUAAUUACUCGUGUAAGCAAGCAUACAUUACAACCAUAAUAAUAAUAAGGCAAGAGUAAUGAUACGACCACAGCCUCUUGUGCACAAAUAAUAUUGUACAAACUAAUAUGACAUAAUAUGAUUGAUUAAACAAAAACAUAACAUGACCCUCAUAAUUUAUUUAUUAUUAUUUUAUAUUUUCAGUCAAGCAAUCAUAUUAUGCCACAUUAAAUAGAAAUAAUUUACUAGAUAGUGCCAACACUUCAUUGAUACUCACCAUUUCAUUGAACAAUUUUUUUAUAGUGUCAUUGAGGUUGCCUUCCCAACAUCCUUCAUCAUCACCAUCUUCAUCUUCGGUGGGUUUCACUUUGUUUAGCUUUGGUGCGUCUACGACUCCUGGAGAGAAAAUCUUCAUCGUUGGGCAUUGUCUCACAACUACGUGUGCCAAGGACGGGAACUCAAGAGCGUAAUUACCCAAACUAAAGCUUGUUAGGCUUGGCAAACAAUCAAUUCCCAAGUACUCCAAUUUCCUGAAAACAAUGCAAUCUUCCGCUUCUUCUCCAACCUGCGACUGUAUAAUUUCUUCCAUCAUUUUGCAAUCAGUUAUCUUCAUUCUUUCAAGAUUCACUAGACUUUCAGAUGUUGAGAGUGUCAAUAAAUUUAUCAACCCAUGACACUUCGAUACUUCCAGAGUCGCAAGAUUUUCCAAAUGCCACAAAGCUGGUACUAAUUUCUGCAACUUACUACAUUCAAAUAUUUCUAGACUUUUCAAGUUUGCAAACACUUUGUUGGAUUCGGCAUUUUCCUUCCAGAGAUGCUGCACUUUGUGUAAUCCAGAUAGCUUUAACUUCAUCAAUUGAGGGAAUGCAACCUGAAAAUCAACAAAAUUAAGUUGUAAAUGAAAAUAUGUAUCCAAUCUCUACAGUCUUCCCCUACAUAUUUUAUGGACAAGAUUAAUCACGGCAUUUUAUAUUUUAUUUCCAAAUUAGUAUGCUUUGCAGUAGGAUCCCAAAUAUAAGUAUCAAAUCGAUUACCCUUUGAAACACAUAAAUGAAAUCUGAUCAUAAAUCCAAUAUGAAUUAGCUAGGAAAACAAAGAUCUAACACGCAUAAUUUAUGCGAUAUAGUUCAUCACCUCCUGUCACUAGGCAUCUAAUUAAUUUGAGACAUUUUUUUAAUUCAUACUAUAAAGUUAGUUAAUAACUACAAUUAUAUUGUUAAAUCAGAUAUAAAUUAAGACGACGUGCAAAAAGAUAAGUCAUUAAAUUUGAUUUGAUUCUAAUGAAAUUACAUCUAUGCGAAUGAAAGUGAAGGGAAAAAUAAUAAUAAUGAUUACCUUUUUAUCGAAGAGAUGUUGUAUUUGAUUAGCUACCAAGAGGUUCUCUUCUGAUUUUAAUUUUUGAGCUUCCUUAUUAUCUGCUGUCAUGUGCAAUACAGAUGUAGAAUUGGAUAUGAAUGUUUCCAUGUCAGGGCAAUUCUCAAUAGUUAGAUAUCUCAACUCAGGCAGUUCAAUUAUAUUCCCAGUGAAGUUGCAGAAUCUUUUGAGUUUUGGAAGAUCAAUGAGCCUUAGAUUGGAAAGCUUAGGAAACAUGGGGCCUAUAUGUUCUUUGUCAGCAUUUAGCUCUUCCAAACGAAGCACCUCUUCUAGUGAAUCACAAUUCCUCACUUCCAGCCGUCGCAAAUUGUUCAAGCAUCGUAGCAGAUUGGCAGGAAUAGCACUCGACAUAUUCGUGCAGUCAUCCACCACCAGCCGUGCUAAAUUGUUGAAGAAGCUGACAGGCAGUGCUUGGCCAUGCCAUAUUUCUUUCAAACGUGGAAAAUGUGAGAGUUGCAAAUACCAUAUGUCACGGAAUCCAAUCUGCACAAACCAAAACAAUUGCACCGGAUAUAUACAAUUUUUUUUUUGAAAGGCAUUAUAUAUAUACACAUUAAACUUACAUGUUUUGUGUUUUAACUUCUAAAAAUAUAUAUACAAGACCGGGGUAUAUGCUUAAAUGUGCAAUUGCAGGGGAGAUGCAUAAACAAUUUGGGUGAAUCGAUUAACACAUACCAUUUCUUUGUAAUACUUUUGCAUAAUGGAAUUAAGGUUAUUGCCUUCCCAAUGGUGCAGUUCACCCUCUUCCUUUUCAGUCACUUGCACUUUGCAUGGCUUUGGAAUGGAUAAGAUUCCCUGAGAAAAAGUCUUCAUAUUUGGACAACGUAUCAUAGAAACUCGUUCCAGUGAUGGGAAUUCAAGAGUGUAAUUCUCCAAACAAAAGCUGGUAAGCCUUGAUAAAUAAUUAAGUAUCAAAACUUUUAAUUCGCUGAAAGCAAUACGAUUCUCCUUCACUUCUUCUCCAACAUGUCCUACGAUUUCUUCUAUUUUUUGGCACUUCGAUACUUUAAGAUUCACCAAACUACUAGGAAUUCCAACCUGAAAAUAAGCAAAAGUGUGUGUAUAUUAAAAAAGUAAAAAUGUAAGAAUAUCAUUCAACUAGGUUCAAAGUAUGUUUAAUCAUACAAUUAUACGUUUUAUAAAGAUAACAAACCAUGAAAUGUCUACAAGAUAAUUUUUUGUUAAACAAAAAAAGCAACAAGAUAAAUAAAUAAAUAAAAGCCAGAUAAACAAAGAUAUUAAAUGCAUUUACACUAUUUAGUAUUAGGAACGUACGAAGAAUUUAAGGCAAUUUCUAAAUAUUUUAGACUUAUUUUGCAUCUUGAUGCCAGUUUUUAAACAAAAUUUGCAAAUUUCAACUAUUCCUUUUGGGAAAAAAAAAUCAACCAAAAUGCCGCUUUUUCCCUUUUCCCUUGGUCCCUUUUUUUUAUGUAUAUUUAAUUUUGGAAACAAAAUUAAAGUGGAUCUUUAUUAAGUACUUCCAGACUCGAGGAAAUUUCUUUACAAUCAAGGAUCAGUUGUAAAUAAUCGUGAAUUUGUGGUUAAUUAAUGGCAUAAUCAGUUCGUAACUAAACAAGAGAUAUUAAUUAAAUUUGAAGACUUUUCUUUUCUUUUUUUCUUUUUCCAAUCGAAAUGUGAAGAAUUAAGGAAAAGAGAAAUAUAUAGAUGAAUUUGUGAACCUAUAAGAUGAGUGACUAUCCUUUAAUUUUUGAAAAUUGUACUUAUUAAGAUAUGAGCAGAAACAAUUAAAUUGAAUUAUAUUAUGAUGUUGAAUCGUGAUUAAAAAAAUUAUAUUGUUGAUUCUAAUGCUGGCGAACCUAAAAAAUGGACUUAAAAUGUAGAUUUGAGAGUGGUGGUUCGAAAUACAAUACUUGAAAUAAAUAAUCAGUGGCUGAAUAUCAUUUGUAAACCCAAAAAUGGUUAAAAUAUUGUUGGAUGUAAUUUAAAAAAAAAAAGAUUCGAAAUGAAUACAACGACCUUACCAAUGGAGGAAAAAUAUUCAUUAGGUUAUGACACUUAUAUAUCUCCAAAUUCUUCAAUUUGCUGAAAGACUCCGAAGGAAGCUGGUGGUGCCAUAUUUUUCUCAAAUUAUUCAUCCAGCUAAUAUCUAAUACCUCCAACCUAGGAAGUCGUACCUGGAAGUUAAAGAUUAAAUAACUAAUUAAUCAAUUAAUGGCAUAAUCAAUUGAUAACUAAAUUAGAGGCGGAUAUUAACUAAAUUUGAAGACUCAAGGAAAAGACAAAUUAAGUAUUGUGACUAAAAUUAAUUUUAUUUAUUAAAAAAAAAACCUUUUCGUCAAAGAGAGGAGGAGGUUGCAUUUCAGAAUGAUUGGUGUCUUCUGGUGAGCUCGUAGAGAUGAAUCUUAACAUAUUACUGCAAUUACCAAUCUCGAGGUUUAGCAAAGAAGGGAAUUCAACAACUAAAUCUGAAUGAAUAUGUCCUGUAUUGGCGAAGCUUGUCAGUUCUGUAAGCCAAUAGAGCUGCAGGGAGUGUAGUUUAGGAAAAACCUUUAAUUCAAUCAACUUUCCUUCAUCUCUUUCUGACCACCCCGUGGUGUCGACUACCCCUUCCAUUGACUCACAAGACCAUAUUUCAAGAUGUUGGAGUUGCAAAAGACUAUUAACCAUAGAAUACGAAAACAGAUACUUCAUACGAUCACAACUUCUCACGUACAGCUUUGUUAAAUUUUGACAACAGUACAUUCCUUGAUUAUGAUCGGCCCAUAAUUUUUUGAUGUUUCUUAAUUCCGUGAGAUUCAAUUCCUCUAAGCUCGGAAGAAGAACCUGCAAAGAAAAGCCGUACAUUUUUGUUCCUUCAAGUACAACCGUCUAGUAUAAUAUUCUGUUGAUGAUCGAAGAUUAAUCGUGAUAAUAAAUUAAUCAAUUAAUUAUUGAACAGAAAAUUAUCACCUUUGGAGCAGUAUCAUCAUCAGCAAUGAUUUCGUUGAAUCCCAAAGAAGUUGUUGGUUUCUCCCUGUCGGGUCCUGUAAACAAACAAAAACAAUAUACAUAAUUAAUCUUUGUCGUUGUCUUUUUUUUUUCAAAAUAAUUGAGGCGAAGUCCAUAAAUCCACCAACACUUAAUUUCAACACUUACCAACAGUCAUUUCCAGUUUAUUGCAGGAAGCCACUUUGACCUUUUGAAGCCGCAGUAGGUUUCUGGCUAUGGAAAAUGAGAAAAGAUGCUUCAAUUUAUCACAGGAUUCUACUUCUAUAAUCUUUAAGUUGCUGAAAAAUUGAUCUUCUCUGAGUUGGCUGUGGCAUAUGGCCUCCAAAUUGAUCAAUUUAUAGAGAGACAAUGACUCCAGCAAGGGGAAGACUUUGCGAUGAACCCGUCCAACUGAACCGACAAUGUGUAAAAUCUCAGAACACCUUUCUACCCAAAGAUGCUUCAAUCGUGGAAAACCUUCCCCAUCAUCUAAUUCAUGAACAACAUUCUGAACACCCGUCAGUUCCUCUAGACGGAUAUCUUCAGUUAACUUCAGCAACAUUUUCAUCCCAUAAUUCUCCAAAAGAGUGCUAACAUUUUCUAACCCAUGGAGCUGCACCAAUCUUGAUGUUUCAGAAUUAGCGCGCCAGAUGCCCCACGCUUCUCCUAUACAUAUCCUAUAUCUUGGCAAUUCGACAAAGACCAAAUCCUGCGGCAGCAUUUGGGCAUCCUGAACUUGUAUCUCCAAAGUAGUUAGCUUUGACAGCCCCUUCAAUUCAGCAAGACUGGCGUUACUUCCUCCUUCAACCUUAUCCCACUGCGGAAAGCUGUCACCCAUAUAUAGUUCUUCCAAUCGAGAAAAUUUUGAUAUGACAUUUGGUGCUAUCACUACAAGGCUGCUACAAUUGCUCAAAUCUAGCAAUUGUAACUGCGCCAAUUGACCAAUUUCAAGUGGCAACUGCUUAAUGUCGGAAUAUCGAAAGCUAAGAAUCUCUAAUUUCUUUAGCUGUCCAAUUGCCGCUACAUCUUCUAGUUGGCACCAGUCUAAACACAAUGUUUGAAGGUUAAUGAGGUGACCAAGUGAUGAAGAUAAUGAAGAGAAAUGAAUUCCGCUAAGACUUAAAACUUUGAGAUCUUCCGUCCCUUCAAAAAAGAGGUGUGAAAUUUCCAAAUAGCUAUCACCAUUUGCAAGCAACAGUAAUAACUUGAGUUGGGGACAUUCCAACCUUUCGGGAAGCUCUUGAAUAUCUCCAUAAGGUAUAGAAAUAGCAAUUGCACCUUUCUGUAUGAUCUUUUCUAUCUCUUCCUUCAAGUUGGUAACAUUUGGGAUACUAAACAUGAGCUUCUCUGAGGCAAUUGAUACGGCAACAACAUGAAUGACGUCAUGCAUUUUAACUUCAUCUUCAGCAUCGCCGUCCAACAAUAAGCAUGAAGCUUUGAGAUUGUCGAUCAAUGCGUCCACUCUAUUCCUUGCAUUUUCCAAUGUGCGAACAUUUUUAAACAAACCCUUACCAUAUCUCAACAAGGAAGCAACUUGUAUAGGAGUACCUUCACCAAAUAGAGUACAAAGAAGGAACAAAGAUUUUGCUUCAUCACUUUCCAAGAAGUUGUAACUCAAUUCUAUGGAAGAGCAGACAUUUGCAUCCAUUCCAUGAAUUUCUCUUGGAUUAGAAUUUCGCAGCUGAGUCAACGCAUCCUUCCAAACGGGAAGCUUCUUAUUUUUCAGAGCAUUUGCAACUGUACUCAGUGCAACAGGCAAUCCUCCACAUUUUCCAACAAUCUCAUCUGCUAAAGGUUGAAAAGCAGAUGCUUUUGCGGAAUUGCCCACGAUCUUUUCAAAAAAUUGCAAUGCUUCUUCCUUUGAUAAAACUUCAAUUAGGAAAAUCUUCUGAGAAUUCAUAUCAUUGGUCAAUAAAUGUUUACUUCUAGACGUCAAUAUUAUCGUGCGUCUCCUUAGAUCUUGCUUUCUAUCUUUCUCAUCAACAUCCCCAAAAGGAAUUCCAAUUUCUUCCAACCCAAGUUUUUUCCAAAUAUUAUCUAAUAUAAUGAGGACUCGCUUCUCUUUCGUCAAUCUUUGACAAAGUUGUUUUGCUCUGUGGGGUUUGCUAUCAUUCAAGUCAAAGUUCAAGUCUAAAUCGGAAGCGAGCUUGUCUUGAAUUUUCUGAACAUCUGGGUUCUCUGUUACCUCAGCCAUAACGACCUUAUCGAACACCUUAUCUUCCAUAACUUGCUUUGCAAUUUGCUUGACUAGCGUGGUUUUACCCACGCCGCCCAUACCGUGGACCCCAAUUAUGUUGAGCUUAUCAUUCCUCAAUGCCUCCACAACAUCUUGAAAUAAUUUCAUUCUUGAAUCAAAGGCCUCGAAAUCUUUCGCUUGCAUAUGUUCUGUACUCUCUGGAGCAGGACGGUGGGAAACACUAGAGAAGUUGCCUUUUCCCACGAGACUAGCGGCAGCUUCUGCGGCCUUUGCUGCUUGUUUACUAAGUUUAUAACGAGAAAUCAAGUUGGGGCAAAAUCCUUUGAAGCAGGACUUCUUAGCUCUAUCUUCAUCAUCAAUGAUGGAUUUUGCAACCCCUUCACUGAUGAAUUCAUCAACGUUAUUAAGCCAGUCUGCAACAUCCUUGUAAAUCUCAUCUCUUUGUUGAGUAGCCUCACGAACGGGUAUUCCCACCCUUUCUCUUUUAUAUUCUAGCUCCUUCACUUGAACUUUUAGCUCAGCUAUGUAGCUCUGGUACUUGAACACAUAAGAGAUCUGCCGCAUAAUCGGUUCGAACAAUGCCUUUGCACCUUCUGUUACAAUGCCGGAAAAAGUAGUGGAAACCAGGUCUGCAGCCAUUGCCUAGCCUGUUGCUUUCAUACAUACAUACAUACAUAUAUAUAUAUAUAUAUUAGCUGUUGGAAAAAUUAGAUUCAAAUAAAUUAAAAUGAACUAGGGGAAAGACGGAGAAAGAAAUGACAACCAACAACUUUUUAAAAAAAGGUUUCAAGGGCCUGAAUGGAAAACCAACAAUUUAAAAAAAAAAUUGUAAGAUGGAUGCAGAUUAACCAUUGCUAAUAUUACAUAAGAACACAGAAGUUAACAAUGAACAGUACGUAGAAAAUUAAAUGACAAGAUUAAAACAAACAAGGGCUAUUUUUUCUUGGACAAUUGUACCUAUUUAAUUAUUAAAGAGUUAAUGACCUUCACUGCUGGCCUUGAAUAUAUAAGAACGACCAGAAGAUGAAUAUUAACUGCAGACGAAUGUAAGUAAAGAGUUCAUGAGAGUGAGUAAUACAAAUGAAUUGUAAAAGAACAAGACUUAAGUGUGACCCCAUCUUUUGUUUUAUUAUAUAAAUAGAACACAUGAUCAUUUUUAACAAAGUGAUCAAUAACUCUAUGCGUUAUUUAAUUGAUAUUGUAACCAAUUUUAAGGGAAUUUAAUAAUAAUCAUUCAAUGCAUAAAUUUAAAAUUAGAUUUUUUUAAUUCUUUAUUUAAAUAUAAAUCUUAAUGGAAAAUUAUAAAAAUUUAGAGAUAAAAUUUUUCAAUCACCAAGGAAAAAAAAUGGGAAUGAAAACAGAGGAAUCUUGUUUUACCUUUUUUUUUUUUUCCUUAACUCUUGUUCCUAUACAAAUAAUCUUGUUUUGAUGAUAGUGCUCGUGACUAUGGGAAAAUUUCUAAUGGAAACAACUCAAUUUCGGAAGAUAAGCUUAAUUCUGCAAGUGAUGAAUUUGUUCAAUUGACUCUGUACUUGAACUCGUUGGAUUGGUUGAUUUACGAUUGACUGCAUUUCAAUUCUGCCUAAAAGAUCUUUUUAAUAGCUAUCAUGUACUCCUUAAAAGCAAUCAUUUUUAGAUUUGACUGAAUUUGAACUUGUUGGAUUGGCUGUUUUUAGAUUAUUGAUAUGAGAUACUACAAUGUAAACAUUUUCAUGUGGCUGAGCCCUAUUCUAAAAUCUGUAUGUUGCUUUAGAAAAAGGGCUUUUCCUACUGAUAUUUAAUCUUCAAGUAAACUUAGAUAUAAAGUAAAUCAAAUAAAAUGACAAACAAGCAAUAUAAUAAAAGACAACAAACUGGCAAUAUUGAUACAAAGGCAACAGAUAUUAAACUUUAGGACAUUUUUUUCCUAGCUUUCAUUUGUUGGAGGAUUAGAGAUUUUGGUAUUACCGGAAAGCUAAAAGGUUUCAAGGGUCUGAGUAGAAACCUAUAAUCUUUUUAAAAACUUUCUUUUUCUUUUUUCUUUUUUCUUUUUUUGGGGGGGGGGGGGGGGGGGGGGGGGGAAGAAUGCAAGUUAACCAAACGAAAUAAUAAGAGCACAGGCUUUAACAAUGAACAAUAACUUAAAACUCAUGCAAAGUAAAUUCAAUAUUAAAACAAACCAGAGAAAUUUUUUUUCUUGGAAAAUAGAUGGAAAUUAUGAAAGAACAGAUGUCAAGAUCAAAGAUCUACUAUACACAAACACACACAUUAGAGGAUUUGGAAAAUGUGCACCUCUUUAAUUAUCUGGGAUUAGAGAGUUGGUGAGAUUCUCCAUUUGGCCUUGAAUAUUUAAGAACAACCUCAAAGAGCAAAAAGAUCACCGGUAACUGCCGAGGAAUGUGUAAGAAAAGGGUUGAUGAGAAUAAUAACAUUGACUUGCAGAAGAAAAAGCAUUAAUCAAGCACCCCUUUUUUAUAUCAUGUAUUUGGUUAUUGUUGCCCUGUUUACGCACGUAUAGGAUAAUUAUAUGCAAUCUUUUUUUAAAAAUCCACAUGCACUUUAGGGCUUCUUUCAUAAAAGCAGAUACCGGAAACACACAAAAAUCAUUUGAGAGAGAAACCGAACAGCAAAUCAUCAAAGUAAGAUCAACAAUAUAUGAUUUGAUUAAUGCAUAUUCAAGAACAAAACAAAAAUAAAUAAAUNNNNNNNNNNNNNNNNNNNNNNNNNNNNNNNNNNNNNNNNNNNNNNNNNNNNNNNNNNNNNNNNNNNNNNNNNNNNNNNNNNNNNNNNNNNNNNNNNNNNNNNNNNNNNNNNNNNNNNNNNNNNNNNNNNNNNNNNNNNNNNNNNNNNNNNNNNNNNNNNNNNNNNNNNNNNNNNNNNNNNNNNNNNNNNNNNNNNNNNNNNNNNNNNNNNNNNNNNNNNNNNNNNNNNNNNNNNNNNNNNNNNNNNNNNNNNNNNNNNNNNNNNNNNNNNNNNNNNNNNNNNNNNNNNNNNNNNNNNNNNNNNNNNNNNNNNNNNNNNNNNNNNNNNNNNNNNNNNNNNNNNNNNNNNNNNNNNNNNNNNNNNNNNNNNNNNNNNNNNNNNNNNNNNNNNNNNNNNNNNNNNNNNNNNNNNNNNNNNNNNNNNNNNNNNNNNNNNNNNNNNNNNNNNNNNNNNNNNNNNNNNNNNNNCCCCAGGGGAAAAUCUGGAAUUCCUUUUUUUAAUUUUUUUUUUUUUAAAAAAACCCCACCGGAAAUUCUUAAAAUUUGGAAAAAAAAAUUUUGAGUCCCUUAUUCUGGGGGGGGGGGGGGGGGGGACGAAAACAGAGGAAACUUGUUUUACAUUUUUUUGAUCUUAACUCUUGUUCUUAUAUAAUAUUUUCCCUGGGAUUUCAGGCAAACCAAACAAAAAAAAAAAAAUUCAAUAAAGAGCAAGUUGCUCUAAUUGAUUUAUCUUGUUUUUCAGGCUAUUUUGUGACAUGAUGAUAUGUAAUGCUCUUGAAUGCUAGAAAAAUUCUAAUGCAAACAUUUUUGCAAAUGACGAAUGUAAAUAACUUUUUUUGAUUAAUUGAAUCUCUAAUACUCUUACCCUAUUCUAAAAUUUGUAGGUUGCUUCAGAAAAAAAGGGUAUUUCUCACUCAUCUUCAAUCCUCAAGCACAAUUAGAUUAAAAGCAAAUCUAAUAAAAUAACAAACAAAUUAACAAAAAAAAGAAAAAGAAAAAAAACAAUGUUGAUCUUGAGACAAUUGAUACUUAAACAGAGAAUUCUUUGUUCUUUUUUUACUCCCCCUGGCUCGAGGAUUAGAGUCUUUCUUUGCUAUUAACAGAGAGGUUUUAAGGGUCCGAAUAAAAACCCGCGCUUUUUUUAAAAACUUCUUUUUUUUUUUUUAUUGGGGAAGAUAGAUUCAAAUUAACCAAAGCUAGUAAUAAGAACACAGGCCUUACAAAUGAACAAUAACUUACAACUCAAGCAACAUAAAUAAUAAGAUUAAGACAAACAUGAGAUUUUUUUCUUCGAAAGUAGAUGGAAAUCAAGUAAGAACAGCUAUUAAAAGAAAUUACUAGAGAAUUUAGAACAUGUGUACCUCUUUAAUUAUUUGGGAUCAGAGAGUUGAUGAGCUCUCUAUUCGCCUUGAAUAUUAAGAACUGGUAUUAAAAGAAAUUAUGAAGAACAAUUUUAGUGAGCGAUAGAUCACUGUUAACUUCAGAGGAAUUUGUGAGUAAAAAGCUGAAAAGAGCCGUAAUAAUGAAUUACAAAAGAAGAAGACUUAAUCAAGCACCCCUUUUAUACCCGAUUUUUAAGAUUUAGUCUUGAAGUUCACAAUCAAGAACAAAGACGAAGCUUUAAUAAAGCAUGCAGUGAGAUACAAGAAAUGGAUCGGGCAAAAUACCUUACGAAGCGUUUCAUAUUUUCUAAUGAAAUAAUUAAGUUGAAGUUUUCGACGAAUAAAUACUUGUUGUGCUUGAAUAAUUUUGGCAUAUACGUUACUUGUAUCCUGCGAAAUUGAAAAGCACAUUGGUUUAUUAGAGCUUAUUAGGAGGGAAAAGCUUUGUAAGAUACCUGAUAAAAGAUAAAGUAAAAGCUUGAAUGAAGAAUGACAUUUUAGAAAGAAACUAAAGUGCAAUCAUCAAAGUGGGAUCAAUAGUGACUUGAUAUUUCAAUUGUUCUGUCCACAAAUGAUGCUUCGUUAUUACUAAUUCCAGAUGGACAUUAUUAGAAAAUGAUCUUAUGUUUAACAGAAAAAUAAAAACUCGUCAUCAUACAAAACAGCGUGAAGAAAUCUUCAAUUUGAUUAUUAUAAAAUAAUAAGUUUCAUUACUAGAUUAUGCGGACAUUAAUGUUAGAGAUUUGAUCAGAUUAUCAUAUAAUUUACUAAACGCUUUGAGAAGAACAAUAAUUAAUUUUUAAAAAAUUGAAAAAUAAAUUAAAUAAAGAGUACACGCAAAUAAUGUUACUUCCAAUCACCAAACUGAAAAACAGGGGAAUGAUAACAGACGAGUCCCUGAUUAUCCUCUCUCUCUCUCUCUCUUUUUCAAUCUCUCUCUUUGAUAUCCAUAUCUGAGCAUCAGAGCUUGACAUCUUUGAUAAAUAAAUAUGCUUACUGGUACUGUUUUUGCAUAUGUCUUUCACAAAAUCAUUGUAUACGCUUACAUAGAGAAGAAGAUUCAGAUAACUUUCAAAAUCUGAAUCCGCCUGAUGGACAGGCUUGACCACACAGCCCCGAGACAAGGAAGUCCAAGCAACUAAUCUAAACCGUUCUCCUUUAUUAGCUAGAUUUAGUAUUUGGGUUCUUUAUGUAAAACGACACUAUGAUCUUGAAAUUUUGAUUUAAUUAAUAAAUAGUUAAAUUCUUAAUGUUUCAGGAGUAGAUACAUAGACUCUCUUCUAAUUUUAGUCAUUACAAACAAUGCCAUUGUGCGGUUAUACUAUUGCUUCUUUUAUGAAACCAUUCUCACCAUCACAUAGAUCUUGGCAUAUAGAGUCUCAUAAUGUCAUCAAAUAAUUUUUUUUUUUUUUAAAAACAUAAAAUAUGAUACAUGUAUUCAUUUUUUUUCAAAUUAGGGUGUAUUAUUCUUAAAACUUAAGUGUUCUACUUAUAAAUAUCUUGAAGGUGUGAGUGUUUUCUUUUCGUAAACAAACCGUAAAAGAAAAAGAGGAACAAUAAUUUUUUACUUAUCCUUAGAGAUAAGAUUCAAUCGGGAUGUGAGUAAGUGUGUUUUUCUUUUUUUAUUAUGCUAAAUUAUCGAGUCACAAAGCAUAUUGAUUCAAAAGUAUAACUUUAUACUGAUGAUAGAUAAUUUCAAAACAAUGGAAUGAAAACAGAGGAGCUCCCCCCUCCCCCACCCCAAUCCCCGCCCCCCCCCCCCCCCCCCCCCAAAAAAAAGUUCUUCUUCUUUUAUAUAUUUUUCUUGGAAUUUUAGGUAAAAGAAAAAAAAAACUGAGAUUGAUUUCAAGGGAACAGGUGGAUAAUAACUAAAAUACUUAUUUUUAUAUAUUUGAUAUGUGCGCUCACUAUUAAUAGAACUUAUUAGAUACUACAACUUAAAUAACUUCCCAUGGUUGAUUGAGGGUAUGUUUGAGAUUUCCUUUACUUUCCAAGAAUUAAUUUCUACCUUGAUUCUGAACAAAAAAAUAAUUUUACAAAUAAUCUAUUAGGGUGUUUGGUAAAUGAUGAUUAUUUGACAAUCAAUUUUUAAACGGUUUACUAUACAAAUCUGGUAAAUGAAAAUUAAAAGUGUAAAAUGUUCAUGUACAAUGACAAAAAUGUACUUGUUUACUUGUUUGUAAUUUAUUUAGAAUAUUAUUAUUUAAAUCUUUUUUUAUUUACAAGAUUUUUUAAGAGCAUAUUCUAUUUUCUUUAUUACAUAUUUAAAUAAUUUUUUAUUAACUAUUUUAAUUUGCAAUAAAAUUAACUUCAAUAUCUUUUUAACUAAAAAAUUUGUUAUGUAGUUCGUGAUAUAACAAAUACUAACAUAUCAUUAGUUUGAUUAAUAAAUUAAGUGCAAAAAAGAAAAUGCAAAAAUUUAAUCUUUAUAUAAACUUUUAUGUACAUAAAAUCAUUGUAAUCAAACUAGUUCAUAGAAAUAUAAUAUUAUAUACAUGUGUGUAAAAAAAAAAAACAUAUGACCAUAAUAUUAUCCACUCAUUAAACUUGCUGCACUAUUAUUUCUCAAUCUCUCCAUCUCUCGACCUUCAAGAACAUUACUACCAUAAUCUUCUUCUUCUUGAAUCCAACCUCUAUUUCCUCAUCAUCAACAAUGCGACCAAUUUGCCUUGAUAGCCUUUCAACUAGAAUAGAGUUGGCAGUAGAUAUUUUAGUACUCUCAAACUAUGCCCAAACAGGGUCACCAGUGAUUGUUGUAUUAAAAGACAUUCUAUUUAAUUUUCCUCUGACUCUGGGUCGAUACCUUUUAUGCAAAAUCUAUUUACUUAAGGAAUUUUCUACACAUGUCGAUAUCAUAUUAAAGUGAAUUCAGAUCCUAUAUUAUUGACAUUAAAAUUUAGCCGAAUAGUAAAAAAUUUCCCUUUUUGUUUGUCACACAACCAUAUAGUCCCAUUUUUGGUUAUAAGCUCACAAUAUGUAAGGGAAAUGAAGAUCUAUUAAAACUUUCCCAUAAUAUUAAACAUUAAACAAUAUCAACAUUUUGUGCAUAUGGUGCCUCAUCAACAAUUUGAUGUUCAUUUUGUUGCUCGGAGGAAUAUGACUACCUAUUAAUUAAUUAGCAAGAAUUGCGUUGCGAGUCCAUGUUUUUGUCGUUUGGAUGGAGGAUGUGCCAUCUUUUUAUUGUAGAUGCUUUGUAAGGCUUUUGAUUUAAUGAUUUAAUGCAGUCAAUUAACAAAAGCUUACAUAUAUUAUUAUGUAGUUGCUGAGAUGUCUGUUCUUGAUAAAGUCGAUUUAUUUACACCCAAGCCAACGGAAUCAAAGCCUUUUCGUUAAUAAUAUACACGGUAAUUGUUUUUGUUAAAUUGAUUUCUGGCUAACAAGAUAUUUGAAAGCAUUUAGGUAGCGUUUACAUUUUGCGUUGGAGUGAGAAUCGUGAGAAAUGAGAAUCCUGGGAUUAGGAGUGUGGAGUGGGAGUCGAAGUAUGUUGUUUACUUACACUGAAAUGGAAGUAUGGAAUUGAAAUCAGAAUCCAAUUUAUUUGUUUACAUUGUCUUAGAUUGUGAGUAAUGAUUUUAAAUUACAGCUUUACUCUUAAAGAAUUAUAGUUAUUAAUUACAAAAUUAAUAAAAAUUAUAUUUUUAAAUUAAUAAUAAUUAUUAAUAUUCUUAACUAUGUAAAUCACAAUUAUUUUAUUAAUUUUAAUUUUAAUUAUAUAAAUAAAAAAUUAUUAAUAACAACAAUACAAAUGAAACAUUAUUAUUGAUAAUAUAGUACAAAAUUAAUUUUUUUAGAAUAAAAUAUUUAUUAUUAUUAAUUACUAAUAUUAAAUAAAUAUAAUAGUAUUAUUUUUAAAUAAGUAUAAUAAUAUUAUAUUUUCAAAUAAAAAUAGAAUAUAGUAAUAUUAUUAAUUCUUUAUGAAUAUAAUGAUAUUAUUUUUAAGUAAUUUUAACUUAGAAUCAAUGUAAAUUAUUAUUUUUAACCAAAAAAUUAAUAUUAUUUUAAAUAUGUUUAAUAUUAUUAUUUUUAAUAAAUUUAAUUUAUAAAAUAAUAAAAUAUUAUUAUUUAAAUAAAUAUGAUUUUACUUAUUUUAUUAAAUUUAAUAAAAUAAAUAUGUUUAAUAUUAUUAUUUUUAAUAAAUGUAAUUUAUAAAAUAAAAUAAUAAUAUAAGUUAAAUAAAUAUGAUAUUAUUUAUUUUAUUUUAUUAAAUAUAAGGGUGAAAAAGGAAGAGAGGCGAGUGAAUUUCCACUCCCACCUUCCUCCAUGGGAGUGGGAAUCUCACUCCCCCACUCCAAAAUUAGGUGGGAUCCACGGAGUGGAAUUCUCACUUCCCCUUUGAAAAUUGUAAGUAAACACUGGAGUAAGAGGAAUCCACACUCCUCACUCUCACUCCAAAAAGUAAACACUAUAUUAAAGAAGUCAUUGACUUAUAAGAAAGCCAUGAUUAAAUACACGGCGAAGCAUGUGAGCUCGUUUUUCAAUUUCUUUGAUCACUCAUAAGUAGGGGUGGGCAAAAUCGGAUUCGGAUUGGGUUCGGGUUGAUUUGAUCAAUUUCGGAUCAAUCGGGUUGGGGAAAAAAUCAUCCGAACUCAAUCCGAAUUAUUAACCCGAUCCAAUCCGAUCCGAAUAUAAUUCGGAUCGGAUUGGAUCGAAAAUUCGGAUUAAUUCGGAUUAGAUUCAGAUUUAAAAGCAUUCGGGUUAUAUAUCCAUUCUAUAUUUCUGGGUUAAUUUCAGAAGCAAUCAAGUAAAACAAUCAACCUUUUCUCAAGAUAUAGUUUUGUUUUAAGCUUUUUAAAUUAAAUUAUUUAAAACAAUAUAGUCAAUACCACCAAAAACUUGGUGACAGUGAAUGUGGAGGUGAAUUUAGUUGUAGCAGUUGUGGUAACCGGUGAAGCUAGUGGCAGCAAGCGGUAGCAGUCGAGGUGUAGUAGAUUCCAUCGGCACGUUGCGGUUGCAGCGAUGGCUUAGCUUUGAACGAUCGCGUCGGUGACUGAUGGCUGCUGGUUCACGCAGUUGCAUCUCCGAUUUGCUGGCUGCUGCUUCUUGCGGUUGCAUCUCCGAUCUGCUCGCCGCUGCUUCGCUGACAUCUCCGAUCUCCGAUGGUUUGGCUUCGCACGAUCACAUCGGUGAUUGCUGGCUGCUGGUUCGCGGCUUCGCGCGGCCGCAUCUCCGGUCUGCUGGUUGCUGCUUCUUGCGGUUGUAUCUCCAAUCUGUUGGCUGCUGCUUCGUUGUUUGGCAUCUCAACAUUUCCGAUCUCCGAGGCCAAACCUCUAUUUGUGUGUGACCGUGUGUGAUGUGAGUGUGUGUGUGUGCACUUACAGAUUAUUUUAAUUUAGAUCUAAGAUUUGCUUUUUGUGUGGUGUGAAUCCGAUUUUGUUGUGUUUGCCACUUUGUUAGUUUGUUACACAGUUUUUUUUUUAAGCCAACCCGAUCGGGUUUUCGGAUCGGAUCGGGUUUCAUCCGAUCCGAUCAUGAUCCGAUCGGGUUGGCAAAGUUACAUCCGAUUGGAUUUUGUUAACAAUCCGAUCCGAUCUGAACCCGAUAUUUUUUGGGUCAGAUCGGAUCGGAUCGGGUCGGAUAUUUUGCCCAACCCUACUCAUAAGCUUUUCUAUACCACUCACUAUAUCAUCCUUUUAAGUCAAUUUCGACUGAUCAUCAGAGAUCAUGCACCCCACCUUGAGAUGAUUGAUCACCAAUUUGGCAUUGUAACGUUGAUCACCUCUAAUUGCCCAUGCUAAAAUUGAGACCCCACAGCCAAUUGCUUCUACAGUUGAAUUUUAUCCACAGUGAGAUAAAAAUCCACCUAUUAAUUGAUAACUCGGCAUCAAUAAUUGUGGUGCCAUUCCAUCUAUUAUCAAACCCUUUUUACCGGCUUUACUAUCUAAACCACUAUGAAAAUAAGCUGGUUAAAUGACGUGGAGGAUCCAAUCUAUUUACAUCAGUUUGAAUUACCUAAAUAAUCGGUGGAUUUGAUGCUUCUAAAUCAUUGGCUAAUGUUGAAUAAUCAUUUAAGGUGGGACCCAUUUCGGUACCAAAUGACAUGUAUAACACUGAUCCACAUGAUUUCAAAUCUAACCAUUGAAUGAUCUCAUCUUUGGUCAUGUUAGAACUCCGCCGGUUGGUUCUCAUCUCACAAUCACGAAGCACUGAACCGGUCGAUUUGUAAAAUUGUUCAGGUAACAAUGGGCCCACUCCCCACACUAGCAUCAACACCAUCGAUCCCUCCACUUGCUUCAUCCAGUGUGGUUGAUCACUCGGUUCUGAUGGACCUAUUUUCUCUGAACCGGGUGCACCUCACAAAGGUUGUGGGCCACCAGGAAGGGACCCGUGAGGCCUGCGUUUAAGAUCUGAUUGGAAUAAAGCAACAUCCUUGGGUAACCCAAGAAGUAAAUGGGCCUCUCCCGGUUUGGCAUCCUGGAUGCGAGCCUGCCACAUGGCACACUCCACAGCUGCUGAGCAAGCAUCAGAAGUGAAGAACCCAACAAUGGGAACUUCAAAAUUCUUGAAAACAUCAGCCGUCCAGCCCAUCAUAACGCCGAUGACUACGCAAACAGGUCGGCUUUCGGGUUCCGGGUUGAAAGGAGGUUUCGAAGACCCUGAAGCAUUUGGUUGUGCAUGACAACAUGGAGGUAAGAAGGAGGCGAUGGUAGUAGUGGAGAUGAGGAGGGUAUUUCGGUAAUUUCACAUAGAGGGUAUUGGUGAAGAGAGGAAGGGGUGAUGCUGGUGGUGGAAACGUGAGAGGGAAUAAUGAGGGUAGAUUUGUAAUUACGAGAAGCAAUUUGCUUGCAUAAUUCAAUGCAUGGAAACAGAUGUCCCUGACCGAAGAACGGGACAAUCCAAAUCUCAGCCUCAGCAGCAUUCGCAACAGAGCUUGACAUCUUUUAUGAAUUAUUUGAGACUUAAUUGUUAUUGACUGCUUUUGCCAUCUUUCAUAAAACAUUCUUUGUUAUAUAUUCAAGUAAAUAAAUUUAUCGUUUAAAAUUAAUUUUUCAUGUGGUAAAAGCAAUACUAAAUAUGGGGUGGAGAGAAUAAUUUGUAGGGCAUACCCCCACCAUUUAUUUAAUUUCAUUAAAAAAGAAAGAAAAGAAAUAAAGGCUUGUUCAACAUUCAAUUAAAAUUAACAAUUCCAUGAUAAAAUUACUUGAGAAUAAAAAUUUUUAAAAAAAAAGUAACUCAAAAACGAGGAAUUUUUGAGUAACUGAAGAACCAUAGAUGUUUUUUGGUCAUGAGCAAUUUUUGAGUUGACACAGAACUUGUAUAAAAAAAAUAGUUUUGAAAACUUCUUUUCUUUUUUCGUAAAUAUAGAUAUAAAAUUUUAAAAUCACCAAACACAAAACCAGGAAAAUGGAAGGAGAGCCCCUGUUUCUCCUAUGUUGCAAGCACAAAUUCGGUUUCUAAAGUUGUACCUUCUAAAUGCACCAUUUGUAUUGCUUUGUCUCCACUUGAGCUAACGGAAUUUGAUGAAAACAAAAUAAUUGAACGAUAGGGAUAAAUAUCAAAGAAGGAGCUUACAUGCCCUAUAUAUUCUCUUUGGAUGAAUAACGAAGGUGAGCUUUCAAAGUACAGAGAUUUACAUGUUUUAAUUGUCAUUUACAUUGCUGCAUGCUAAUUGCUUGAUAAAAUACCGCAACAAAUACGCAUUCUCGAUUUCUUAUAAAUUUAUUUUCUUACUCUGAAAAAAAUUGAAUGUUUAGAGAAUUUUGAAGGUUUUGGUGUAUGCAUUAAUAUUUUGAUUCUAUUUAUGUUGUUUAACUAAUGAAGAUGAUACAUCUAGCCUCUUUUUGCCCCUUGUUGUUUUUAUUCUUGUGCUUUAUAUACGGUUCAAGUGUGAUACACUUUAGUUUUUCUCAAGUGUUUGUUAGUAUUUCCCGAAGCAAAAUUUGUCACAGACUUUUAGUUCAAAAGUUGAAAUCAUAACUAACAUACUUCGAUUUUUUAUUUUCCUUUUUUCUUCGGUAUCUUUCUAUAUGGCAUUGCUUGAGAAAUUGGUGUACUUAGAUCGUAAUAUUCUGUAGAAAUAAGCCAAUAUUUCAUUAUGUACAUUGUUUAAUAUGAUAAGUAUUGUAUGGAAGUUUUACAGAUAAGCUCCUUAUAUAUUAUGCAUUAUGUUUUUAUCAUAUUGUUGCUUGGAACUUUGAAGGAUUAGCCACAGGGCUUUAGUCCUACAUGGACAUUUUAUAUUUAACAGCUGGUUAGGCAUUUUAUUUGAUGUUAUUUGGACUUGUAGGUGUUAAAAGUUUUGUUCAGUAAUUUUAUAAUUCAGAUUCCCAUUGUGAAAAGAUAGCAAUUUUUAUUGUGGGUCAGAUUCUGUCAACUGAUAUUUAGCUAAAAUAUCUCACUAACCCCUAUUGGUUAGGUGUUUUUUUUAAUUCACAUACUUGAUUUUUAUUUUCUUUUUAUCUGUGGAAUCACAUGUAUCAUUCAUAAGAAACAAGCUAUUAUAUAAUCUAUUCUUUAGAUCCAUUUAUAUGUAGUGGGCACUCUGAUUUCUAUUAUUUGAAUUUUUUGCUACUGUUACUACUCUUUCGGCCCUUCAAAUAGGGGUUAACAGAAAGGGUGAGUAUAUUAAUACAAAUUCAAACUUUCUUUUUCUAAUUUUAUCCAAAAUAACCUACUAUAUUAUUUUAAUUUCCAACUUUUGUCAUAGUCUAAUGGGCAGUUGUCUUGUCAUUAUUUGGUUUUAGGUAAGAAGAGAGAAAGUUAGUGAGAGGAUGAAAAUUUUGCAAAAACUUGUUCAUAGCUAUGGUAAUUAAGUAAUUUGAGUUCUUUUUUUUUGUUAUUGUUUUUUAUUCACUUUUUCCUGUCUUAAAACAAAUAACGAGUUUUUGUGUUUUUAAUAUUUCUUAUAAACUUCAUGUUGUUUGGUAUAAAAUUAGGUAAUUGGAAAGGUCUCAUGUUGGAUGAAAUUAUCAAUUAUGUGCAGUCCCUACAAAAUCAAGUGGUCGUCAAUGUGUCAGCAUCACUUUCUUCUUCAGAUGUUACUUGUUUUUCACAUUUAUUUUUCUCUCAGUCCUUUUUAAAAGAACAUACACACACAUACUAUGUAGAGUGACCUUUUUUAAUGAGGAAUCUGUCAUUUUAAUAAAAUGAAGAAUAAACUAAAAGGUAGAAGUACACGAACUCUAAUGCAAUAUACCUUUUCUGUUCUUUUACCUUUACUAUAAGAUAGGGAAUGAUAUAAAACUGUUCGAUAAUAGUAAGUGAAAUAAUUAAAAGGCUACUGUUCUAGCUCAUUUAAUAUAUCAAACUUUUCUAGCUCAUUUAAUAUAUCAAACUGCUCGAUAAUUGAAUUGGCCUAGUUAAACAUAAUUUUCAGAUAAUCUUUUUAAUGGUUUAUUUAUUAAUAUUUUGUUUCUUUCCAGUAUGAACACUUUGUUUUGACACGUGGUUAACAACCUUCAACGAACUCGGAACAACCUUCAUCACAUGCUUUCUCACGUGGUUACUUAAACUGAUAUGUUAAACGUGCUCCAUCCACGCCGUUUCCACUAAAUCAUUUUCUGUUAAGAAUCAGCUGAGCAGCGCGUGAGCUAAUGAAGUUUUUCGUAUUGAACUCAACUCUGCUAUUUUCCCAAAGCUGGAAAGCAGAAACAUCAUCCCUUUGGUUUUAUUUCACCUCAACCUUUUUCUGAUCCCAUUUUCAUUGUAAUUUCUCAUUUACUUUGAGUGAAAGUCAUUGUUGCUUUCGAACGAGGUUUUGCAACUAAAAAGGAAAAUGGGGCGGCUACAAUACAUGCGUGCAUCUGAUACAUGCACAAAAACUGACCAUUGGAUUAAAUGGAGUGAUCUAAUGGCUGAGAUUUGUUUCAUUAUUAAGCAAUAAAAAAAUUUGAAACAACCAGAAACCUGUAAAACCGGUCAUUUGGUUUAAGGUAAAAAUAUAUAAAUGAAAAAAAAAAAAAAAAACCCACCACUCCCUCGCCUCACCUCUCUUCUUUUGGGUUUAGUAUUGCUGCUUUUAACAUAAUUGACCUAUGGCCCAAAUCAUUUCUAUAGGGCGAAGCAUAUGAAUGAUACAUAUUAUCUUUUUUUGGCCUUAUGUCUUGUUAUUUGCAGUGUGAUUUGGUCUAGCUUAAGAGCUUAAGCUUGCAGGUUGGAUUUGUCUGACAGGGAACAAUUUAAUUUGUUCAUCGUGAUGUUUAUAUCCAUUUUGUACUACUAUCAAUUUCAAUCAUGCCUAAUUUUUAUAUGUAUUUCUCGUGGACUCUCAGGUUCAGUGCACAAGAGGAUGAAGACGAUGGACACCCAAAUUUGAUGUGGAGAACAACUAUUGCAAAUGGUCCUUGAUUUACUUCUCCAAUUGACUUGAAUUGGUUUGACGCAAUUUAUACUGUAUUUUUGUCAUCUUUGUAUGACUUGCACGUCGUCCUGAUUUGGUACAUGACUGGACACAGGAAUUGGACUCAUAUUUUUCAAACCAGAAUGCCAACAAUCAAGCAUUUUCUUUUGAAAGCACUGGCGUCUUCUUCAAUGCCAAAAAGGUUAGAGAUUUUCUGUAUCCUGUUUUGUAUUUGAUCAGUUUAGCAUGUGGGUGGCAAUCAAGAAAAGUUAUUAUAACAUUUUUGUGUUCCCGAAAAACUGCUGAUGAUGUGUGACUUCUUUUUAUUUGUAUUCUUUCUUUUUCUUUUCUCCCCAACAGUAUUAUGCAUUUCGAAGAGCUUCUUGAAGUUGAUUACCAUGUAUGCCACUUUCUUUACUCUAUGCUCAGGAUGUGAUUUUGCCAAGCAUUAAAAUGGUUUAGGUCAGAACCAUCAUCUAAAGUUUACUUAAAGUUGACGGAUUAAUUCCUUUUAAUAAUGGUCUAGUUAAUUUUACUAUACUCAUAAAACUAUUCUUAUUCUGAUAAUGCCACAAAUGUUAUGAUGUUUUCUUCAGCUAAUGAUCUUCUAUCAGGACUAGUUAGAAAUCAAAUGCUUAAAACACCGAUUGAAUGAAUAAUGCAGAAGUUUAAACAGUAUCUAAUUGAAAAUUGCAUGAAACAUGAAACAUCAAUUCAAGUCCUUCCUUAAACAAAGAAUGCAUCAAACAAAUCCAAAGUGUCUUGCAUGUCUAUAGCAUGACAAAAAAGUUGUAAAUGCGUUUAGAACCAAAUUAUUCAAGUACAGGAGAACGAGCAAGUUGAAUCAUGUACACGAGAUUGGCCUGGUUCGAGAUAGCUUCUUCACUGUACCUGAAGGGUUGGCUCAAUCUUUUCUUUAGAAUUCUGCACAUUUUGUAAUUACUCGUGUAAGCAAGCAUACAUUACAACUCUUGUACACAAACAAUAUUGUAUAAACUAAUGCGACAUAAUAUGAUUGGUUAAACAAAAACAUUACAUAGCCCUCAUAAUUUAUUUAUUUAUUUAUUAUUAUAUAUUUUCAGUCAACCAAUCAUAUUAUAUUACAUUAGUUUCUAUAAAAUAAUUUUCUAAAUAGCACCAAAACUUAAUUGAUACUCACCAUUUCAUUGAACAAUUUUUUUAUGGUGUCAUUGAGGUUGCCUUCCCAACAUCCUUCAUCAUCAUCAUCUUCUUCAUCAUCAUCUUUUUCUUCUUCGGUGACGUUCACUUUGUUUAGCAUUGGUGUGUCUAAGACUCCUUGAGAGAAGAUCAUCAUUUUUGGACACUCUCUCACAACUACUUGUUUCAAGGACGGGAAUUCAAGAGCGUAAUUACCUAAACAAAAGCUUGUUAGGCUUGGCAAACAAUCAAGUCCCAAGUACUUUAAUUCCUUGAAAACAAUGCAAUCUUUCGCUUCUUCUGCAACCGGCGACUGUAUGAUUUCUUCCAUCAUUUUGCAAUCAACUAUCUUCAUUCUUCCGAGAUUCACUAGAUUUUUAGAUGCUGAGAGCGUCAACACAUUUAUCAACCCGUGACACUUCGAUACUUGUAGUCCCCACAGAUUUUCCAAAUGCCACGAAGGUGGUACUAAUUUUUGCAACUUACUACAUUCCGAUAUUUCUAGCCUUUUCAAGUUUGCAAACGCUUUGUUGGAUUCGUCAUUUUCCUUCCAGAGAUGCUGCACUUUGUGUAAUCUAGAUAGCUUUAACUCCUUCAAUUGAGGGAAUGUAAGCUGAAAAUCAACAAAAUUAAGUUGUAAAUGAAAGUAUGUAUCCAAUCUCUGCAGUCUUCCCCUGCAUAUUUUAUGGACAAGAUUAAUCACGGCAUUUUAUAUUUUAUUUCCAAAUUAGUAUGCUUUGCAGUAGGAUCCCAAAUAUAAGUAUCAAAUCGAUUACCCUUUGAAACACAUAAAUGAAAUCUGAUACUAAAUCCAAUAUGAAUUAGCUAGGAAAACAGAGAUGCGACAAGCAUAAUUGAUAUAGUUCAUCACCUCAUGUUACCAGUCAUCGAAAUAAUUUAAGACAUUUUUUUAAUUCAUACUAUAAAGUUAGUUCAUAACUGUAGUUGUAUUGUUAAUUCAUAUAUGAAUCAAGAUGACAUGCAAAAAGAUGAGUCAUAAAAUUUGAUUUGAUUCUAAUGAAAUUACAUCUGUGCGAACAAAAGUGAAGGGGAAAAUAAUAAUAAUAAUAAUAAUAAUAAUAAUAAUCACCUUUUCAUCGAAGAGGGGUUGUACUUGAUGAGCCAGCAAAAAGUUCUCUUCUGAUGUUAAUUUUUGAGGUUCCUUGUUAUUUGUUGUCACAUGCACUACAGAGUUGGAUAUGAAUGUUUCCAUAUCAGGGCAAUUCUCAAUAGUUAGAUUCUCCAACUCAGACAGUUCAAUUAUAUUCCCAGUGAAGUUGCAGAAUCUUUUGAGUUUUGGAAGAUCAAUGAGCCUUAGUCUGUUAAGCCUAGGAAACCGGGGGCCUAUAUGUUCUUCCUUAGCAUUUAGCUCUUCUAAAUGAAGCACCUCUUCUAUUAAAUCACAAUUCCUCACUUCCAGGCAUCUCAAAUUGUUCAAGCAACGUAGCAGAUUGGUAGGAAUAGCACUCGACAUAUUCGUGCAGUCAUCCACAGCCAGUUGUCGUAAAUUGUUGAAGAAGCUGACAGGCACUGCUUGGCCGUGCCAUAUUUCUCUCAAGCGUGGAAAAUGUGAGAGUUGCAAAUGCUCUAUGUCACGGAAUCCAAUCUGCAUAAACCAAAACAAUUGCACUGGAUAUAUAUAAAUUUCUUUUUUUGAAAGGCAUUAGAUAUAUAUAUACAUUAAACUUACAUGUUUUGUGCUUUAACUUCUAAAAAUAUAUUUACAACGCAGGUGUAUAUGUUUAAAUGUGGUAUAGUGGAAUUAAGCUUAUUGCCAUUACUUCGUAAUGGUGUUCGUAACACCAUUACUUCGUAAAGUGAAUCGAUUAACACAUACCAUUACUUCGUAACACUUUUGUAUAGUGGAAUUAAGCUUAUUGCCUUCCCAAUGGUGUUCACCCUCUUCCCUUUCAGUCACUUGCACUACGUAUAGCUUUGGUGUGGAUGAGAUUCCCCGAGAAAAAGUCUUCAUGUUCGGACAAUGUGUCAUAGAAACUUGUUCCAAUGAUGGGAAUUCAAGAGUGUAAUUCUCCAAACAAAAGCUGGUAAGCCUUGGUAAAUCAUCAAGUUCCAAAAGUUUUAAUUCGUUGAAAGCAAUACGAUUCUCCUUCGCUUCUUCUCCAACAUGUCCUAUGAUUUCUUCUAUUUUUGCACAGUCUGAUACAUCAAGAUUCACUAGACUAUUGGGAAUUCCAACCUGAAAAUAAAGAGUAGCAUUCAACUAGAUUCAAAGUAUGUCAAAAUCAUACAAUUGUUUUAUGAAAAAUAACAAACCAUGAAUGUCUACUAGAUAUUUUUUGUUAAAGAAAAAAAAGAAAAAAUAAAAAUAAAUAAAUAGAAGUCCAGAAAAACAAAGAUAAUGAAAAUGCAUUUACACUAUUUAGUAUUAGGAACGGAGAAAGAAUUUCAGGUAAUUUUUAAAUAUUCUAAAUUCAUUUUUCAUCUCGAUGCUAGUUUUUUAAAAUUUUUAAUUUUCAAACAUGCCUAUUUUUAAAAUAACUAAACUAAAACGCUGUAUUUCCCUUUUUUUUUUUUUCCCGAUAUUCAUGCUUUUAAAAAUGGAAAACAUUUCUGGAAAACACUUCCCAACGCCAUCAACAUGGGACUGUUAUAGAGUGAAUAUUUGAGGAAUUUUUUAAUCAACGGUCGAUUCAAAAUGACCAUCAUGAAUUUGUGCUUAAUCAAUGGCGUAAUCAAUUCAUAACUAAACUAGAGAUAUUAACUACAUUUGAACACUUUUCUUUAUUUUUUUUUAAAUCGAAAUUUGAAGACCCAAGGAAAAGAGAAAUAUAUAUGAAUUUGUGAGCUUAAAAGCUGAGUAACUAAGUAUCUUUUAAUUUCUAAAAAUCUUAUUUAUUAGGAUUUAAGGAAAAAAACAAUUAAAUUGAAUUAUAUUAUGCUGUUAAAUCGUGUUUAAAACAAUUAUAUCGUUGACUUUAAUGCGGGUGAACCUAUAAAUUAGAUUGACAAUGCAGAGUUCAGAAUGGUGAUUUGAAGUACACUACUUUUUUGCCCUCCUGAUGUUUGAAGUAAAAUACUUGCAAUAAAUAAUUUGUGAAUGAAAAUUAUUUGUAAACACAAAAAUGAUUAAAAUAAUUGUUGAAUGUUACUUGAAAUAAAAAUUCAAAAUGAAUAUAGCAAUCUUACCAAUGGAGGAAAAAUAUUCAGUAGAUUAUUACACCCAGAUAUCUUCAAUUUUUUCAAUUUGCUAAAAGACUUCGAAGCAAGCUGGUGGUGCCAUAUUUUUCUCAACUUAUCCGCCUCACUAAUAUGUAAUACCUCCAGACUUGGGAGUCGUACCUGAAGUUAAAAAUUCAAUGCAAUUAGAGAUGUAUAUUAAUUAAAUUUGAAGACUCAACGAAAAGAGAAUUUAAAAAUUCAAUGAAAAAAAACCUUUUCAUCAAAGAGGGAUUGAGGUUGCAUUUCAGUGUGAAUGACGUCUUCUGGUGAGGCAAAGCUACUUAGUUUUGGAAGCCAAUGGAGCGACAGGUAGUGUAGUUUGGGAAAAACCUUAAAUUCAUCUCUUCCUCCUAACGUCGUGGUGUUGACUACCCCUUCAAUUGACCGGCAAUUACGAAUCUCAAGAUGUUGGAGUUGCCCAAGACUAUUAACCAUAGAAUAUGAAAACAAAUACUUCAGACGAUGACAACUCCACACGGUCACUUUUGUUAAAUUUUGACAACAAUAUAUUCCCUGAAAUUGAUCGGACCAUAAUUUUUUUAUAUUUGUUAAACUGACAAGUUCCAGUUCCUCCAAGCGUGGAAAAGUAACCUGCAAAGAAAAACCAUACAUUUUUGUUCCUUCAACUACAACUUCUAAUAUAAUAUUCUUUCGAUGAUUGAAGAUCAAUCGUGAUAAUAUAUUAAUUAAUUAAUUAUUAAACAGAAAAUUAUUACCUGGUGAACAGGAUCAUCCUCUGCAUUGAUUUCUAUGAAUCCCUGAGUUGUUGUUGGUUUCUCCAUGUCGGGCCCUAUAAAUGAACCAAAACAAUAUAUAAUAAACAUCCGUUGUUUUUUUCCCCAAAAAAAGAAAAAGAAAAAAAGAAAGAGUCAAUGUCAAUAAUCCUACCAAUAAUUAAUUUCAACACUUACCAAUAAUCAUUUUCAAAUCAUCGCAGUCUUCCACUUUUACUUUUUGAAGCCGCAAUAGGUUUUUGGCCAUAGAGAAUGAGAAGAGAUACUUCAAUUUUCGACAGGAAUCUACGUUUAUAAUCCUUAAGUUGCUGAAGGAUUGAUCUUCUCUGAGUUGGCUGUAGCAUAUCGUCUCCAAAUUAGUUAAAAACAUAAGAGACAAUGCCUCCAGCAAGGGAAAGACUUCGCAACGAACCCUAACUGAACCGACAAUAUGUAAAAUCUCAGAACAGUCUGUUACGAGAAGACGCUUCAAUCGUGGAAAACCUUCCCCAUCGUCUAAUUCAUGAACAACACUUUGAACACCCUCCAAUGUUUCUAGCCAGAGAUCUUCAGUUCUCUGCAGCAACAUUUUUGUCCCAUCAUUCUCCUGAAGAAUGCUAACUUUUUUUAUCCCCUUGAGCAUCAUCAAUCUUGAUGCUUCAGAUUUGACGAGCAAUGGGUCAAACUCAUCUUCGGGCCCAUCUCCUAUACGUAUCUUAUAUCUUUGCAAUUCCACAGAGACAAAAUCCGGCGGCAGAAUUUCGGCAUCCGGAACUUCUAUCUCCAAAGUAGUUAGCUCUGUCAACCUCUCCAAUUCGACAAGACUGGCAUUACUUCCUCCUUCAACCUUCUCCCACCCUGAAAAACCGUUACCCAUAUACAAUUCUUCUAAUUGAGAAAAAUUUUUGGAUAUGACAUUUCGGUGCUAUUCACCUUCAAGCCCACCAAACAAUUGCUCUCAAAUCUAGGAAAUUGGUAACCGCGGCCAAUNNNNNNNNNNNNNNNNNNNNNNNNNNNNNNNNNNNNNNNNNNNNNNNNNNNNNNNNNNNNNNNNNNNNNNNNNNNNNNNNNNNNNNNNNNNNNNNNNNNNGCGAGGCUGAGAAUCUCUAUUUCUUUAGUGUCCCAAUUGCGCUAUAUCUGCUAGUCGCACCAGUCUAAACACAAUGUUUGAAGGUUAAUGAGGCGACCAAGUGAUGAAGGUAAUGAAGAAGAGCCAAUUCCAGGAAACUGUAAAACUUUGAGUCCUUCCAUCCCUUCAAAAAAGUGGUCUGAAACUUGCAUAGGGCCAUUACCCUCCGUAUACAACAAAAAUAACUGGAGAUUGGGACAUUGCAACCUUUCAGGGAGCUCUUGAAUAUCUCUAUGAGGUAAUGAAAUAGCAAUUGGAUCUUUCUGUAUUGUCUCUUCCAUCUUUUUCUCCAAGUCAGCAACAUUUGGAACAUUAAACAUGCGCUCCUCUCUGGCAAUUGAUACGGCAACAACAUGAAUGACGUCAUGCAUUUUAACUUCAUCUUCAGCAUCACCGUCCAACAAUAAGCAUGAAGAUUUGAGGUUGUCGAUCAACCGAUGCACUCUACUCCUUGCUUCUUCCAAUGUGUAAACAUUUUCAAACAAACCCCAACCCACACCACAUCUCAAUAAGUCAGAAACUUGUAUGACAUUACCUUCACUGUAUAGACUACAAAGACGGAACAGAGAUUUUGCCUCCUCACUUUCCAAGAAGUCAUAACUCAAUUUUAUGGAGGUGUACACAUUUGCUUGCAUGCCAUGAAUUUCUCUAGCAUCCGAUCUUCUUAGCUGAUUCAAUGCAUCUUUCCAAAAGUAACUAUCCUUAGUUUUCAGAGCAUUUGCAACUGUACUCAGUGCAACAGGCAAACCUCCGCAUCUUUCAACGAUCUCAUUUGCUAUACUUUGAAAAGCGGAUAUUUUAGUUGAAUCACCCACUAUCUUUUCAAAUAACUGCAAUGCUUCUUUUGGUGGCAAAGCAUCGAUCGGGAAAUUUUUCUGAGAAUUCAUAUCAAUGCGCAAUAAAUCUCGACUUCUAGACGUCAAUAUUAUUGUGCAUCGUCUCUGAUCAUCCUUUGUAUCUUUCUCAUCAACAUCCCCACAAGGAAUUCCAACUUUUUCGAACUCGAGUUUUUUCCAAAUAUUAUCCAAUAUAACGAGGACCUGCUUCUCGUUCUUCAAUCUUUCACGUAAUCGAUCUGCUCUUUCGAAUUUAUUCUCAUCCGAGCCAAAUUUCAUGCCUAAGUCAAAAGCAAGUUUCUUUUGAAUUUCCUGAUGAUCUGGGGUCUGUGUUACCUCAGCCAUAACGACCUUGUCGAACACCUUAUCUUCCAUAACUUGCCUUGCAACUUGCUUGACUAGCGUGGUUUUACCCACGCCGCCCAUCCCGUAGACCCCAAUUAUCUUGAGCUUAUCAUCCUUCAACGCCUCCACAACAUCUUCAAAUACUUUCAUUCUUGAAUCAAAGGCCUCGAAAUCUUUCACUUGCAUAUGUUCUGCCCGCUUUGGAGCAGGACGGUAGGAAACAUUAGAGAAGUUACAUUUUCCCAUGAGACUAGCAGCAGCUUCUGCGGCCUUUGCUGCUUGUCUACUGAGCUUGUAACGAGAAAUCAAGUUUGGGCACAAUCCUUUGAAACAGAACUUCUUAGCUCUAUCUUCAUCAUCAGUGAUGGAUUUCGCAGCUCCCUGACUGAAUUCCUUGACGCUAUUAAGCCAGUCUGCAACAUCCUUAUAAAUCUCAUCUCCUUGUUGAGUAGCCUGAUGAACGGGUAUUUCCACCCUUUCUCUUUUAUAUCCCAACUGUUUCACUUGAUCUUUUAGGCCAUCUAUGUAGCUCUGGUACUUGAACACAUAAGAGAUCUGCCGUAUAAUCGGUUUGAACAGUGACUUUGCAUCUUCUGAUACGAUGCUGGAAAAAGCAGCCAGACCCACUUCUGCAACCAUUGCCUGUUGCUUAACAAUAUAUGUAUAUAUAUGAAUAAAAUGAAUAAAAAUGUCAAAGAAAGGAAUACAAAUAAAUUAAAAUGAACUAGAGGGAAAGACAGAGAAAGAAAAGACCGCAAACAACAUCGCGAUAUUGAUUUUGAACCAACUGAUACAUAAGUAGAGAAUUUCUUUUUCUAUCUUAAGGAUCAGAGGUUUUGCUAUUAACAGAAAGGUAUCCUUUAAGGAAAGUUGAUGGAAAUUAAGAAAGAAUGGCUAUCAAGAUCAAGUAUUCUGCUACUAAAAAUAAAUGAUAUGACUUAAGAAAAGUAAAUGAUAUGAUUAAGAAAAACCAGAGAAUUUUUUCCUAGGAAAGUUGAUGGAAAUUAAGAAAGAACCGCUAUGAAGAUCAAGUAUCAGAGAUUCUGCUACUAAAAGAAUAUUACAGGUUUUAGAACAAGUGCACCUCUUUACCUGUCUGGGAUCAGAGUCGAUGAGCUGCUGUAUUCACCUUGAAUAUAGAAGAAAUAUUACAGGUUUUGACUAAAGAGGAAUGUGAGGAACGAGUUGAUGAGAGUAAUAACAAUGAAUUUCCAAAAGAAGACGACUUGAGCAUUAAGCAUGCACCCCCUUUAUCAAUCAAAUAUUGGUACGUAUGUACGUAGGGACCAUUAUGCGUAUAUGAAGUCCAUUAGUUGCAAUCAGAAACCCUGGCCCAAUUUAAUUGACACUCGAUUUUUGAUAAGAAGAAGGCAAGGAUAAGGACAAAGUCAAUCAAUCACCAACAGUAAUUACUUCAAUCUUUGUCAAUCUACUUAAAUUGUCGAUCAACAUGAAAAUUGUUUAAAUUGAUAUUUGUAAAUCAAUCAAUUUUCUAGUUACUAUGAUUAUAACGUUUCACCUUUCAUAUUGGAUUUUAUCUUUUCGAAAGUUUUCAAAUAUGAGUGUCAAUAAUUAUUGAGACUCCAAGCCGUGCUCUCAAGAUCGUGCUGACAAAUCACUAUUGACUUUGUUUAUGCAAAAUUCAAAGAAAAAAAGUUAUGGUUUUGUAUUGCCAGCCCUGCUACUUUUUGUUUUUUUCAUUUGUAUUAUUUACGAAUUAUUUUUUAACAGAAACAUGAGAACUCAUCAUCGUAUAAAAUUGCAUGAAAAAAUCUUCAAAUUUAUAAAAGUAAAUUUCAUUGACAGAUUGUGGAUAUGUUAGAAAGAAUAAGGAUAAGAAUGAGUUAAGAAAUAAUAUAUAUAUAUAUAUAUAUAUAUAUAGAUAGAUAGAUAGAGAGAGAGAGAGAGAGAGAGAGAGAGAGAGUGAAAGUAAACAAUGUUUUGGUACAUUUGGUAUUGUUUUCAAAAUAUUUUGAAAAGAAAAAUUUUCAAUUAUCCAUCUAAGAAUUAUCUUAUUAUCCAAAAAGUUAUAAAAAUUUAAAAAUAUUUAAUUUUAUACCCAUUAUUACAAUGUGUAUCAACUGUUUACUAAAAAAAUAAAGUUACUCCUAAAACAUAAUCACCACUACAAUUUUGUGUUCGGUUCUAUUUUGUCACUUUGAACGAAUAACUUUAUAUUUUUAACAGAUGUUUCAUACAAAUUGCAUACAUUGGAUGUAAAAUUAAAUAAAUUUAAAUUUUUAUAAUAAUUUUAAUAAUUGAAUAAACUUUGAGUAAAUGACUGAUAAUUUCUCUUUUAUAAGCUACAAGAAGUUAAAAAGAAAAAAGAAAAAAUAGGAUGAUAAUUUCUCUUUUAUAUGCCUCAGAUGAUUUAUUGUUUCGGGUCUAAGAUUUUAAUUAUUCAACUUAAAAGAUUAAUAUAUUAUAAAUUAAUUAAUUAAAUAAUCAUUAAGCAACUAAAUUGGGUCCCCUGGAUGUCAAUUCCUUUAAUAUUGACGCAACUAUUUUUUUCUGGCAAAUAAUUAUUAAUGCACUGACGGAACUUUUGCAUAUCUACACAGCGAUUUUAAAUAUUACUGGUAACUGCUGAGAAAUGUGCGAGAAAGAAGUUGAUGAGAGUAAUAACAGCGACUUGCAAAAGGAAAAGACAGAAUCAUUCACCCCUUUUUGUAUCACCUAUUUGGUUACUGUUUCCCUGUUGACGCAUGUAUAAAUUUGACUGGUUUUUCUGCACUUUUUUGGCUGUUGCUUAACAAUGUGUGUGUGUAUUUGCUGUUGAAAAAAUUGGAUUCAAAUAAAUUAACUGAAAGAUUAGAGUUUUGACUAUUAACUGAAAGGUUUCAAGGGUAUGAAUGAAAAGCAACAUUCUUUUUUAGAAACUAUUUUAGAGGAGAGAUGCAAAUUAACAAAUGCUAAUAACAAGAACACAGAAGUUAACAAUGAACAGUAACUUAAAUCAAGAAAAUUAAAUGACAAAAUUAAGACAAACAAGAGAUAUUUUUUUCUUGGACAUUAAGAAAUAACUGCGGUCAAGAUCAAGGAGAUUAUGCUAUUAAUAGAAAUUAUCAAAGGAUUUAGAACAAGUUCACCUCUUUAAUUAUCCGGGAUCAGAUAGUUGAUGAGCUUCUCUAUUUAGCCUUGAAUAUUUAAGAAUAAUUUUAAAGAGCAAAAAGAUCACUGGUAACUGCUGAAAAAUAAGUGAGAAAAGAGUUGAUGAGAAUAAUAACAAUGAAUUGAAUAAAAAAAGGACUUAAUCAUGCACCCCCUUUGCAUAUCAUGUAUUUGGUUACUGUUGCCUUGUUGACGCAUGUAUAGAAUAAUUACAUGUAUUAUUAUAAUUUUGGAUUCGAUAUCCUUGUAUUAGUGUCUAAGAUUUUCAUGAAGAAUUAAACUUGGAAUGACCAAAAGAGGAAGCUGCAGUGUAUUGUUGGACCCAAUUAAGUUGAAGAAAGCACUAGUUCACAACCUUACGUUUGGAUAUAUUCUAAAGAAAUAAUUAAACAGCAAAUCAUCACAUGCACUUUAAUGAUUUGAUCUAUUGUUUUCAAAAGAAAUUGCAAUUAACAGUUUUUGUCAAAAGUUCGCACAGCGUGAAACUAGUGUUAGUAUAAUUUAAAAAAUUAAUUUCAGUAUUAUUUUUUAAAAUGUUAAUUAUUAGAUUUAUUUUAAUAAUAUAUUUAUAUUUAUUAUAAAAAAUUUAGUUAAAUAUUUGUGUUAAAUAGAAUUUAUAAUUAAUUUAAUAUAUCUUAGGUAUUAAUAAUAUUAUAAUUAUUCUAUAUGCUAUUGAAAAUAAUUUAAAUUUUUAGACAUUUAUUUUAUAUUAAGUUUCUAUUUAUUACAAAAUUUAGUUUAAUAUAGUAUAAGCUUGUAAAGUAUUAAAAUAUUUUUUUCAUUUUUUUUAAAAUAUUAAAAUUAUUUUAAAAUAUAUAUAUUAACAUUGAAGCUAAUUUUUUGAGUUAAUAGAGCUAGUAGGUGUUAUAGUAAAAAAGAGUAUCUUAGUAUCUCUUAUUGAAAAUAUAUAGAUCUAUAUAAUCAUUUUUUCAAAUAUUGAGAUGUAGAAAAAUAAAUUAAAAAAUUUUAAAUUUUAAUAUGGCCAUCGUAGGGUUAGAAUCCCCGCUCCAACCCGAUUUGGAGAUUUAUGUUUUUAAAAAAAAAAAGAACAAAGAAAAAAUACACACCCGACCAAAUCAAGCACCUCAUCAAAUCAAAAAUAAAAAAGGAAAGAAAUUAAUGGCUUGCAUGCAAUUUUGGAUCUGAAAUUAAAAUUACAUAAAAAUUAAGGCUUACGUACCUUAAUAUUUACAGCUUGUUUGAUGGCCCCAACAAGUUUAAGCAGCAUCAAAAUGUUGUGGCUCCUUAAAUGACAACAUCGACUUGUUUGACAGCUCCAACAAGGCUACGAUGAUCAGAAGAUGAGCCCUCAAUCAACAAGGCUAAGAUUGGCUUCUCUAUCCUCUGCCGACAUGUCCUCUUCUCCCAACAACCAGCGCCUUGCUCUUUGUCAUUUUUCCUCUUGUUAGUUUUCUUCUACAUAUAAUUAUUACACUGGGAAGUAUACACACACUUCUUUUCUUUUUAUAGUACCUUACUAUUAUAUCUUUACAAAACAAUAUCACCCUAAGACAUAUAUGUAUGAAAUAAAUAUAUAAGGAACGGACGAAAUAAAAUUAGAUCUAACACUAGUUUCAUGUGGUGUGUGAACUUUUGACAAUCCUCUCAUACCCCAACAAAAACUUUGUCAUAUUACAAAAGUUAUCACGACCAUAGACUUUUCAAUUGCAUAUUGGAAUUGCAAUGUCAUUUUAUUAUAGUAAUGUCAUUUCCAUUAUUCAUAGUGGCAGACAAUGGACAUCACGGGACACGGCUAGAAGUUAUCACGACCAUAGACUUUUCUAAUUUAUGAAAUAAAUGAAAUUAGAUCUAAUUCUAGUUUCAAGUGGUGUGAACUUUUGACAAUCCUCCCAUAUCCUAACAAAAGCUUUGUCAUAUUGCGAAAAUACCUUUUCAAUGUUUCAAUUGCAAUGUCAUUGCCAUUAUUCAUAGUGGCAGACAAUGGACAUCACGGGACAUGGCUAGAAGUCUAUGUUACGGCUUCUGUAAGUAACAGCAGCCAAUGGGGAACUUCCAUGGGGGCUAUAGGAGAGAGAAAGAGGUCCCAAUACAAGUGUUAGAGUACAAUUUAUACACUAGUUUUGCAUUGUUUACUUCCCUUAAUAUCGAUGUUUUGCAUUUAAUAAUAAUGAUUUACUUGUGUUUUACUUUUGUAAGUGCAAUUCUAUUGAUUUGUGAUAGAAUUGAGGUAUAAGAUGAUGUUUAAAGAUGAUUGUUCUCUUGGAGAAAUUUAGAGCGUCAGAAGAACUUUAUAGAUAAGGCGUGGGCGCGUGCUGUCAACUGCGGACCUGCAGUUUUUAGUUUAAUGUGUUUUGUAUUUUUGGCUAUUUUUGUAAUUACGAAUUUAAUAUUUCAAAUAUUAUUAUUUUAUUUUAAAUAGAACUUUAAAAGAGAAGAGAGAGAGAGUAUUUAAGGGAGGAAUCUAUUGUGAAAAAGGGGGGAUUUUAAUUGGAGAAAAAGAAAGAAACCCUAGAUCUAAUUUUUCUCUUCUCUCUAUGAAAAACUAAACUUAUUUUUUCUAGUUGAAGGUUAAUGAAUUUUUGAUUCAUCACUACUGUGAGAUCUUUCUUAUGCUUUAAUUGUUUUAUUACUUUUUGGGUAUUUGUUUAUUCUCUGAAUUAGUUUCAUGAUUAUGUUUGUUAAUUAGGUAAUUGGCCACUAUUUAAUUAUCAACUUAAUCUAUUGUCAAUUAAAGAAUUCAUCGUAUGACGAGUUUAAUGUUUGUGACAAAUAACAUAGCAGUGAGUUGUGUUAUGGGAAUAAACAAUCUAAUUUAAAUGAAUCAUCAUAUGUGUUGAUUAGGAUUUGGGUCGCUCUGGUUUUUCAGGCUGUCAAUUGAUUAAAUCCUAUGAUCGUAUCUAGGGUUGUCUAUUAAUUAGGGAAAUAUCCAAUGGUCGUACCUUGGUUAUCGACUAGUUAAGGAGAGAUUGGCUAUUAGAGGGUCUCAAUAGCUAUAACCAGUUUAUUCAUAAGUAAUAAUAAUCUAUUUUUGAAUCAAUGAUCAGUAGUCGAAUCAAACUGAGUUAAUUCCUUCAACCAAAGCUUUCUCCAAUUUGAAUUACAACUUUAAUUUGCAUUUUUGUUAUUUUAAUUUGAUUUUUUAUUAUUGUCAACAAUUCUCCCAUUUUACGUUUUACGUUUCAAAAGAAUUUAAAUAAUUACCGAUCUCUGUGGACACAACCCUGCUCAAUCACUAUACACAAUUUAUUUAGAGUAGGAAUUUAUUUUUAUUGGCUUCAACAACCAUCAACAAGGUGAUGGAAAUGGGAAAGUUCGAAGCUGUUACUUUCAGCUUCUGCACCGUAGCCAUGUCCCACGGGACAAGGCUAGAAGUUAUCAUGACCAUAGACUUUUCUAAUUUAUUUUUUCCUUUCAAAAAGGGACAAGGAUAAGUUUGGGAGAAUGAUUAUAUUUUUAAUAAAAGAAUUCUUUUUUAUUAUAAUACUUUUUGUCUUUAUUAAUUUAAAAAUAUUAACUCUUAUAUUUUAAUAAAUAUAAAUAUAAUAUUAUAAUAACAUAUAACAAUAUAUACAAAUAUUUAAAAAAAUUUAAGAUUUUAUUAAAAUAAAUUUUAUAAUAAAUAAAAAUACAUUAUUAAUAUAAUUUUAAUAAUUUGCAUUUUAAAAAGUAAUACUGAUAUUAUUUUUUAAAUAUUAAUUUUUUAAAUUAUAUUACUCUACCAAAAAAAAUUAAACUAUUAAAUUAUAUUGAUAUUUAUUACAAAAUUUGCAAUUAAUUCUUAUUAUAUUUUUAAUUGGAAUUUGUUCCUGUGAUAUAACAACAAUUGCUACAGUUUUUUCCCUAAAUAAAGAUGGAGUUAUAAAUUAUUUGUGUAAGUGUCAUGAAAGUAAUAGUUGAAUAACAAUAAUGGGGCUUUAGGCAAUUUUUUUUAUGAGGUCUUCUUGCAAUUUCAACACUUAAACAGACUUGUCCUUGAUCCCAAUUUAUUUACCCCAUUUGGGCCCACGAUGAGAUAAAUAUAUUCCUGUGAGAUGAAAAACAUCAGGAGAAGAAAAUGUUUUAUUAUAAUAAAAAAACAAGUGGUCCAUAAGUCUAUUUAUUACUUUUUUUAUUCAAUACAAAUGGCCAACUUAAAAAAUGAUAAAAAUCACAUAACGCACAAGCAAAAAUUUAGAUUUACAUUUUUUAGUUCUCUCCGUGUCUCUCUUUCUCUUUUUUAAAAAAAAUAAAUAAAUGUCAGUGUAAAAUUAGAAAAAUUUUAGAUAUAAACUUUGGCGAUGACCAAACAAAAAUUGCAAGGGAAAGAAAAUAGAGGACCCUUGAUAUCAUUAAAAUACUGAUCAUAGACACUACAAUAUAAAUAACUUGUUGUGAUCCACUCAACUUGUAACACUUUAAUCCAUAUUCUAAAAUUUGUAUGUUUGUUAGGAAUUUUAUUAUUGACAUUACUGUACCAAUAAAAUUCUAAUUUAUUCAUAUGGAAAGAAAACAUCAAGAAAGGACCUCUGAUUUUUAUUAUAACAGAAAAAAGUGGUCCAUAAGUCUAUUUAUUAUUUUAUUUAUUCAAUACAAAUUGCCAACUUAAAAAAUGGUAAAAAUCACAAAAUGCACAAGUAAAAUUUUAGAAUUACAUUUUUUUUAAUUCUCUUUGAGUCUCUCUCUCUCUCUCUUUAAAAAAUAAACCUCACUGUAAAAUUAGAAAAAAUUUAGACAUAAAAUUUGACAAUCACCAAACAGAAAAUGUAGGGAAAUGAAAAUGGAGGAGCCCUAUUAUCAUUAGAAUAUUGAUCAUAGAUACUAUAAUGUAAAUGAUUUGUUGUGGUUCAUUCAACCUGUCACACUCUAAGCCAUUUUCUAAAAUUUGUAAGGUUUAUAGGAUUUUUAUUAUUGGCAUCAUUGUAUCAAUAAUAUUAUAAAUUAUAUAUUCUAUUGUAAUGAAAAUUUGUGUAAUCUUAGGUAUUUAUUGUAUUAAAUUGUGUGGAUUAAUUAAGAAUAUUUUUGGAGACAAAAGAGGUGUGUGUACGUAGGAUUAAUAAUAAAAAAUUUCUAAAUAAAGGUGAUUGCUUCAUUGACAAGUACAUAUUUAUAUUCUCUAUUAGUAUUUGGGUUGUAAACUUUGUUUAUAAAGUGAAUAUAUUGUGGUAAGCGAUGUGGGCAAUAUCGGAUGCAAAAUAUUGAGAGAUCAUUAACGCAUAUAUUUAUUGCAUAUAGAGGAAAGAGUGUAGAUCCGGCCGUAACAAUUAUGAAGCUUUCCCCAAGUAUUCUCACGCUUCCUUAACUGUUCCAAAGUAUUUUUCAUAGUGUGCAGAUUUACUUUAUGGUGUCUUAAUUCGUCUAAAAUGAUUACUUUAGUUCUUUUGGGAUGAAAGGUCAUUUAUUGUGUUAGGAUUAAACAAUAGAAAAAAUAAGUAAUGGUAACGAAAGACUAAUUUGUGAUAUUGAAGCAUACAUGCUUAACUCAAUCCAAAACUUAGUAAGUUAGCUCAAGAGUUAAGAGUUGUCCAAAUCUUAUAUGCUGAACCCAAGUUCAAUACUCAAUUGAUGCAGGAUGUUAUUCCUAACACCGCCCGUCAUGCGUAGGAUUGGCAAAAAAACUCGAGUCAAUCCCGCCUAGACCUGCAAGCUUUAUUUAUGGCCAGCAUGAUGAAGUUACAGAUAUUAACCUAAAAAUUUGAAACUUACUAUGAAUGGCCUUGGUUAAAGACUUUUGUAACUUUAAUUUAUAACAAAUAUGUAUACACACACACACAUGUUUAGAUUGCAUUUGGGUGACUUUUUUUAUCAAUGCAAACAAUAUCAAAUUUAUCGGAUUAAUUUGAAUCUGAUCUAUAUCCGAUUUUGCCCGCCAUAAGCCCAAGUGACUCUCUUUUACUAAUUAAUAAGGGAAUUUUUUGACCUCAUGUCCUUGCUGUGGCAUUAGACUGUUGGUCAUUUUGAUUGUUUCCUACCUUCCAUUUACGCCAGCUGUAACAUUGUAUUAUUCACCAUUUUAGCCAUUUAAAUGAAAUUUUAUUUUUGUCAAAAAUAAAAUGACACCCUUAAAAUAAAAAAAAAUAGUUAUGUAGACCUCAAAUUUUUAAUAAAGAAUGUCAAUACCUCUUUUAACUACAAGAUUCGUAGUAGAUGAUAAAAAGAAAAUUAACUUCAAAUUUUUUCAUUAAAUGUAAAUCUGAUUGAAGUAGUUUAAAUUUUUCUAGUAGACUAAUAUAUAUAACUUAAAUAAUUAAUUUCAUUAUUAAUUGUUAAAAUGUUAACCAAUAUAUUUUUAAUUUAUUAUAAAAAUUUUAAAUAAAUCCUUGGAUUAAAUAGAUUUUACAAUUAAUGUAAUACUUCUGAUUUAUUAAUAAUAUUAAAAUUAUUUUAUAUGAUAUUCAAAAUAAUUUAAACUUAUAUAUAUAUUAAUAUUAUGUCUAUUUAUUAUAAUAUGGUUUAAUAUUAUACGGGAUUGUAAAAUAUUAAAAUAUUUUUCAAUAUCCAAUUAUUUUAAUAUGUAUAUAUCAUUACAUUUAUUUUAGUAUCAUAUUUAUAUUUAUUAUAAAAUAUAAAAUUAAUAAAAUUAAAGAGUAUUGCAGUAAAGUAAAAAAGAAAAGUCUUAUUAUCUCUUAUUCACGAUAUGAGAUUCUACAAAAUUAUUUCCCGAAACGGGUGUCCUUUUCUCAUUUUCAAAAGAAAAAAUAAAGUAAGAAUAAGUCCAUGGGUUUCAAAAACUUCUAGUCUUAUCCCGGGACUACAUUGUCUGCCACUAUAACUAAUGGAAAUGACAAUACAAUUGACAUUGCCUUUCGCAACAUGACAAAUUUUUGGUGGGAUAUGGAAGAAUUGUCAAAAGUUCACGCCAUGUGAGAGUUUUUGGUGGGAUGUGGGAGGAUUGUCAAAAGAUCACACCACAUGAUAUAACCACAAUUGCUAUGGUUUUUAUUUUUUAAAUAAUGAUGGGAGUUAUAAAUUAUUUAUAUAAAUUUGCGUAGAAACUAAUGUAACAUAAAAGAAGUAGCUGAAUAACAAUAUUUGGUGCUUUAGGUAAUUUUUAUAUGAGCCUUUCUUUUAUUUAGCGGCUCUAGUGCUUAAACAAACUUGUUCUCGAUCUUAUAACAGAAAAGGCAUCCCAUUUAAGCCUAUGAUGACAUAAUUAAACAUAUUCUUUUGUGACGAAAACAUCAAGAGAAGACAUCUCAUGUUUUAUUAUAACAGAAAAGAAGUGGUCCAAACGUCUAUUCGUUAUUUUAUUUAUUCAAUAUAAAUGGCCAACUUUAAAAAAAUGAUCAAAAUCACACAACACUCAAGUAAAAAUUUAGAAUUACAUUUUUUAAUACUCUCUAAGUCUCUCUCUCCUGCCCCCCCCCCCCCCACCCCGUCCCCUUUUUUGAAAAAAUAAACCUUAGUGUAAAAUUAGAAGAAUUUUAGAUAUAAAAUUAGAAGAAUUUUAGAUAUAAAAUUUGGCAAUCGCUAAACAGAAAAGCAGCGGAUUGAAAAUAAAAAAACUCUAUUACCAUUGGAAUAUUGAUUAUAGACAAUAUAAUAACUUGUUGUGGUUCAUUGUAGCACUCUGAGCCAUAUUCUAAAAUUUAUAGGUUUGUUAAGGCAUUUAUUAUUGACAUUAUUGUGUCAAUACUAUUAUAAUGAUAAUUUGUCUAGUCUUAGGUACUUAUUAUAUUAAAUUAUGUAAAUUAAUUGAGGAUACUUUUAGAGACAAAAGAAACACGUGUAUGUAGGAUUAAUAAUCGAAGAAUUGUAAAUGAAGGUGAUUGCUUCAUUGAGAGGCAUAUUAAAUAAUUAUGGAGAGUUGCACUAUUUCGGAAGCACAUAAUUAUACUUCCCUAUCAGGAUUUGGGGUAAACGAAGUGCUUUAUCUAUUGCAGUAAGCAAUGUGGACAAUAUCAGAGGCGAAAUAUUAAAAGAUCAUAACGCAUAUAUUGGAGCCAUUUAUCUUCCGCAACUGUUCUGAACUAUUCUUCAUUGUGGGCAGAUUUACUUAAAUACCUGCACAAUGAUUCAAUACUUCAAAGGUCAAGGAAAUGUCAAAAUAUGAAAUGAAAAUACUUAAAUACCCUUCUACCUAACAAAACUCGCAGAGAAUCUAUAAAAUUAAAAAAAAAAUAUUCAUCCAUGAAAAGCUUCGUAACAGAAAAACCGUCUUUCAAAAAAUAAAAACAGAAAAACUGACUCAUUUAUCUGCAAAUGAACCAAUCGGGACUCAUUUAAAAAAGAAUACAAAGCAAAAGUAAAUGACACAAAUUGCAUAGAUAUCUAGGAGCCGCAUCAAAAGACAAAGGUGUUAAUUUGUCCAAGAAUAAAUUCUCCUAGGUCAAAAGCAAUUAACGAUGAAAACUUUCUUCAUUAAGGUUCUGGCCUACGUAAAAAAACAGAAAAAAACCACCCCAAGGUCAAAGCACAACGAUAAAUUUAGAAAUGAAGUUUUUAAUUUUUUUUUAAUAAAUCAACGUGUAUCAAAAAUAGAUAAUAAUUUUGGAUAACUUUUUUUGAUAAAUAUAGACAUAAAAUUUUAAAAUCACCAAACAGAAAAACAGGAGAAUUAAAACAAAGUCCCUGUUUAUCCUCUAUUUUGCUUGUUAUUAAAAAGGGAAAUGAAAAGAUUGCAAGCGGAAAUUUUGUUUCUGCGUUGUCUCUUCUCAAUGCUGCAUGCAUUCAAAUUAAACCUUACAUAUGCUAGCAAACUAGCUACGCUGCAUGUAAGUUCUCGAUAAGUCCAAAUAAUAGAAUAAUUGUAAAAUGUUCAAAUUCAGUAAUUAAUUUUAUUUAUUUAUUUAUUCAAAAAUUAUUAUUAUUAUUAAUUAUUGUCAAUAAUAUAUUAAUAUACUAAUUAAUUGUAAAAAAAUUUAUCAUUCAUAACAAUAAUAAUGAUGAUGAUGACGAUAAUAAUAAAAAUUCAAAAUAUAUUAAUUAAUUAUAAUAAUAUAUUAAUUAUUUAAUAAUAAUAUAUUUAAAAUAUAUAUAAAUUGAUUAGAAUAGUUAUAUUAAUAAAUUAUAAACAUAUAUUAAUUAAUCAUAAUAAUUUUUUAAUUGAGGACAAAAUAGAUAUUUUAUAGUUUGUGAGAGGGGGCAAAAUGAUCAAUCUUGGGAAUGGGGGAUUGAUUCCCACCACCUUCCUUAGGAAUCAAUCUUCCAUUCCUCACUCCUAAUUUGGGUGGUCCCCAUAGUUCUGAUUCGGAUCCCAGCCUCCAUUUUAUGAAGUAAACAUCAUUAAUGAUUUCGAUUUCGGAUUUCGAUUCUCCAGUCCAAGAAGUAAAGGCACCAUUAUUGUUAAUUGGUUCAAACACACAAAGAGAAUGUACCAUGUAGCUAGGCGUCAAGGUUGUGUGGCACAAGUAACCUUUUUCUUUUCUUUUUAUUUUUCUUGUUUUCCUUAACGGAUCAGAAGAAAUCGGUGCCUUUGAGAUACUACAAUGUAAAUAAGUAUUUGUGGUUCAUUGAAUCUGUAACACUCGGUACCCUAAGGUUGCUUUUGAAAAAGGGCUUUUCUCACUGAUCACCAAUAUCCAAGUAAGUUUGUUUCAUUUCAGAAGGUGCAAAGUUUCAAACUUUUUGUAUUGGGAUGUAACAAACUUUGGCCUUAUAUGCUUGCUGUGACGUUAGACUGUUCAUUUUGAUUGUUUCCUACCUUCCACUUGCGCCACUGUAGCACUGUAUUAUUCAUCAUUUUAGUUGUUUAAAUGAAAUUUUAUUUUUGUCAAAAAUAAAAUGACACCAUUAAAAUUUAGAAAAAUAAUCAUGUAGAUCCCAAAUUUUUAAUAAAGAAUACCAAUAUUCCCCUUGACUACAAUACCCUUAGCAGGUGGUAAUCAAACAAAUUGACUUAAAAUUUUUUACGAAAUGUAAAUAUGAUUUAAAUAAUUUAAAUUUUCCAGAAGACUAAUAUAUAUAAUUUAAAUAAUUAAUUUCAAUAUUAAUUUUUAAAAUGUAAAUUAAUUUAUUUGUACUUAUAAAAUAUUUGUAAUUAUUUUAAAAUUUUAACUAAAUCCUUAGGUUAAAUAGAUUUUACAAUUAAUAUAAUAUUUCUCAGGUAUUAAUAAUAUUAAAACUAUUUUAUAUGACAUUGAAAAUAACCUAAAUUUUUUAUAUAUUUAUUUGAAUAUUAUGUCUCUAUUUAUUAUAAUUUGGUUUAAUAGAAUACGAGAUUGUAAAAUAUUAAUAUUUUAGAUAUUGAAAUUAUUUUAAUAUCUAUAUAUUAUUAUAUUUAUUUUAAUAUCCUAUUUAUAUUUAUCAUAAAUUAUUAGAGUUAAUUUUUUUAGUUAAUAAAUUUAAAAAUAUUAUAAUUUAAAAAAAGUCUUAUUGGCCGUUAUUCACGAUAUAAGGUUCUAAUAAAUUAUUUCUCUAGACAGGUGCCAUUUUCUUAUUUUCAAAAGGAAAAACAAGUUCAGGGCCUCGGGGGUUUCAAAAAAUUCUGGUCCUAUCUAUCACUAUGACUAAUGGGAAACGGCAUUGCAAUUGACAUUGCUUUUCGCAAUAUGACAUAUUAUGGAGGGAUAUGGGAGAAUUGUCAAACAUUCACACCACGCGAGAGCUUUAGGUGGGAUAGGGGAGGAUUGUCAAGAGUUCACACCACAAGAAACUAAUGAUAGGUCUAAUUUCGUUGUCAGUUCUUUAUUUAUUUAUUUUUUUUAUUUCAUACAUUAUUGUUCUUGUAAAGGUAUAAAAGUAAAGUAAAAUACUAGGGGUGCUGUUAAGUUACAACUGAUGUAACUUGUAAUUUUUUCAAAAAUAAUGUAAAAAAUUUAAUAGGUGGUGGGACUCACAUAUUUUUUAAGAGACUUAAGUUAUAGUAGUUGUAACUUAACAAAAUCUAAAUAUUAUACAAUAAUGCAUAUUAAUAAUGCAUAUAAUUUGGGUUUGAUUUUUAAAAGAUUAUUUGAGUACCACCUAUCCUUAUGAUAUUAAUGUGAUUAUAUCUUAAUAUUAAAUAAUCAAAAUUUGUUUAAUUAUUAUUUGUAUUUCAUACAUUACAUAUUAGAUUUGUUUGAAUUUUAAGUUGUUGCUAAUAAAUAUUUAUGUUGUCAAAGUCAAAUUCAAUAGCUACAAAAGCAGAGAUAAUGGUAUUGUAUAUAGUUUUUAAGAAUGCAAGGAUAAGCUGGAUAAUUGACAUAAAUUCUAAUGAUUAAAAGAGCAACUAUCCCUUAAAUUAUAAUGUUAAUUUCUUUAAUUAGAUUUUUUUUUUCAUGUGAUAUAACCACAAUUGCUACAAUUUUUUUUUAUAAUAAUAAUGGGAGUUAUAAAUUAUUUAUAUAAAAUUUGGGUUGAAACUAAUGUACCAUAAAAGUGGUUGCUGAAUAACAAUAUUUGAAACUUUAGGUAAUUUUCAUGAGUCCUUUUUAUAUUCAGCAACCUGAAUUGGGGAAAAUCCGACUUGAAUUGGCGGUUGAUUUUGGUGAUGUGGCUUUUGGUUUAUGGCGGCUUUACUGUGGCGGAAGACUGGAUUUACGGUUGCCGACUGCUAGGGAUUAUGGUGGUGGUGUAAAUUGACGGAAAAAGAAGGUGUUUUGGUGGCGGCGCGUGUAGGAAGCACUCGUGGGUUGUCGUUUCGUGUGGUGACAGAGGGCGGCGAUCAAGGGCCGAAGUCGGUCAGUUUUUGGUCAACGAAGGCCGGCGAGUUUGUUGGUGGAGGUGGCUGGUGGAGAAAGUGGCUGAAUGGUGGUGGGUUGCUUGGUGGAGCCGCAGGUUUGGGUUGGUGAUUUGCGGCUGUUCAAGCGGCGGUUGAGGCAGCGAUGACUGAGGCUUGGUCGACGGUGGCUAGUGAGGUUUGUGGUGGUGUUGGCUGGCUGAUUGGCGGUGGUGGGCGGCGGUGGGGGUUGGUCUGACGGGUAGGGUUUUCAAAUUUGUAAUUUUUUUUUUUGAUGGAUUUGGUUUGGAUGGGUAUGGUGUAUCUAGGAAAGAUGUGUGAUUCGCACAGAAUUGCUUUGAUACCAAUUGAUGGAGCGAGCGUAGCGGAAGUGGAAUUGAUAAGGUAAGAAAUACUAAAUAUCAUUCUAGUACUGGAUCAAGCCAACACAAUUAACUUACGCUUUAAUCAAAGCGUGAUUAGAUAUUGUUUUAAUCUAAAUGAUUCAAUGAGAUUUUUAAUAACGCGUAAUACGAGAUUAGAUGACACUCUAAUUUAAAUAACUCUAUAAGAGAGAUUUUGAUAAAUAAUACUAGAGGAAAUUAUAAAAAAAAGAGUUUUAUUUAAUAAUUGAAUUUGAAGUCCUGAAAACAAUGACAAGACAUCUUUAUUUUUUUUAUUACAGACAUCUUUAUUUAUAAUAAAAGAAAUCCACUUUCCUAAGUUAACCUAAAAAGAAAAUUUAAAUUAUAAUUAUAAUGGAAAUAAAAGAUUAAGAUACAUACCAUAAUUGACUCAAACAAAAAUAGAAAACCAUAAAAUAAUAAAUAUUUUAGAAUUAUAAAUUAUCUAAAAUAACGUUAAUUAACUUCCUAAAUCACGUCUUUGGUGUAAACCAUUUUGCAUCCAACCUUGCUUUAAAGGUUUGAACCAACGUUACGAACAACAAUGUAUCAAAUUCCAAUCUAACUUAAGAUCCUGAUACAUCUACCGAUGUCCUUGUUUGAUUAGACAAUAAUGAGUCUAUCUCAUCACUUGUUACCUCUUUUUUGAAGCUGCAUCUGUUGAAGUGAUAGCCUCGCUUAGAGUUUAAAGAUCUUCUUCCAUGUUAAAUAAAGUGGGCAUUUGAUUAAAAAACUUUAUCUCUAUCUCCUUCUAUCAAAUAACGAAAACUAUCCAAAGGAAAAAAAAAAAAUUAGAAAAGUCCAUGGGUUGCAAUAAUUUAUGGUCUGUCCUCGGACCCCAUUAUCUGCCAAUAUCAAUGAUGAAAAUGAAAAUAAAUGGCAUCUUCCCAAAAUGGCGAAAGAUUUUUAGGAGAUAUGGGGAAUUGUCAAAAGUUCCCACAACGCGAAAUAAGUGUUACAUCCAAUUUUAUUUCAUCAUAUAAUGAUAAUAUCAAGUAAUGACAGCCAUCUAAAAGUAUAAUGGGUCUUCCAAAAUUUUGAAAAUGUCGUCAACAUUUAAUCUUCAAUGCUAAAGAAGAUGAAAUGCCCAAAAAUGACAUGCAGGACCCACUCACAGACUAAACGGCCCUGACCACAUGCAACAAACUUUGACUUUAUGUCCCUGCUGAGGCGUUAGACUGUUGGUCAUUUUGAUUGCUUUUUACAUUCCAUUUACGCCAUUGUAGCAUUGUACUAUUUACCAUUUUAGCUGUUUAAAUGAAUUUUUUUUUCCAAAAAUAAAAUGACACCCUUAAAAUUUUAGAAAAUAAUCAUGUAGACCCCAAAAUUUUAAUAAAGAACACCAAUACCCUUUUUGACUAUAGUACUCUUAUGGUAGCCACAAAAAAAAAAUGACUUCAAAAUUUUUUACUAAAUGUAUAUAUGAUUUAAAUAGUUUAAAUUUUCUAGUAGACUAGUAUGUAUAAUUUAAAUAAUUAAUUUUUAAAAUGUAAUUUAAUAUAUUUAUUUUAAUAAUAUAUUUAUUAUAAAAAUUUUAAACAAAUCCUUGGGUUAAAUGGAUUUUAUAAUUAAUAUAAUAUUUCUCAUGUUUUAAUAAUAUUAAAAUUAUUUUAUAUGAUAUUGAAAAUAAUUAAAAAUUUUAUAUAUUUAUUUGAAUAUUAUGUCUCUAUUUAUUAUAAUUUGGUUUAAUAGAAUACGAGAUUGUAAAAUAUUAAAAUAUUUUUAGGUAUUGAAAUUAUUUUAAUAUGUACAUAUUAUUAUAUUUAUUUUAAUAUCCUACUUAUAUUUAUUAUAAAAUAUUAAAAUUAAUUUUUUUAGUUAAUAAAUUUAAAAAAUAUUAUAAUUAAAAAAAAGAGUCUUAUUGUCUGUUAUUCACGAUAUAAGGUUCUACAAAAUUAUUUUCAAAAGGAAAAAUAAGUCUAGGGGUUUCAAUAAAUUCUAGUCCUAUUUGCCACUAUGACUAAUGAAAACGACAUUGCAAUUGACAUUACUUUUCGCAAUAUGACAAAUUUUUGGAGGGAUAUGGGAGAAUCGUCAAAUGUUCACACUACGCGGGAGUUUUGGAUGGGAUUGGGGAGGAUUGUCAAGAGUUCACACCACAAGAAACCAAUGAUAGCCAUAAUUUUGCUAUCAGAUCUUUGUUUAUUUAUUUUAUUUAUUUCAUACAUUGUUGUCUUGUUGGCAUUGUUUUGCAAAGAUAUAAAAGUAAAAUAAACUAUUAGGGUGCUGCUAAGUUAAGCUGUUGUAACUUACAAUCCCUUAAAAAAUAAUGUAAAAAAUUUAACACGUGGUGGGAUCGACAUAUGUUUGAAGAGGCUUUAAGUUACAGUAGUUGUGACAUAGCAAAAUCCAAUUAUUAGACAAUAACGCACAUUAACAAUGCAUAUAAUUUGGGUUUGAUUUUUUGAAAAAUUAUUUGAGUAUUAACUAUCCUUAAGAUAUUAAUGUGAAUAUAAUUUAAUAUUAAAUAAUCAAAAUCUGUAUAAUUAUAAUAUAUAGUUCAUACAUUGCAUGUUUAAUCAAAAUCUGAUUGCUUUUUACCUUCCAUUUACGCCCACUGUAGCAUUGUACUAUUCACCAUUUUAGCUGUUUAAAUGAAAUUUUUUUUUUUUCAAAAAUAAAAUGACACCCUUAAAAUUUUAGAAAAUAGUCAUGUAGACCCCAAAAUUUUAAUAAAGAACACCAAUACCCUUUUUGACUAUAGUACUCUUAUGGUAUUCACAAAAAAAAAAAAUGACUUCAAAAUUUUUUACUAAAUGUAAAUAUGAUUUAAAUAGUUUAAAUUUUCUAGUAGACUAGUAUGUAUAAUUUAAAUACUUAAUUUUUAAAAUGUAAUUUAAUAUAUUUAUUUUAAUAAUAUAUUUAUUAUAAAAAUUUUAAACAAAUCCUUGGGUUAAAUAGUUUUUAUAAUUAAUAUAAUAUUUCUCAUGUUUUAAUAAUAUUAAAGUUAUUUUAUAUGAUAUUGAAAAUAAUUUAAAAUUUUAUAUAUUUAUUUUAAUAUUAUGUCUCUAUUUAUUAUAAUUUGGUUUAAUAGAAUACGAGAUUGUAAACUAUUAAAUAUUUUUUGGUAUUGAAAUUAUUUUAAUAUGUAUAUAUUAUUAUAUUUAUUUUAAUAUCCUACUUAUAUUUAUUAUAAAAUAUUAAAAUUAAUUUUUUUAGUUAAUAAUUUUAAAAAAAUAUUAUAGUUAAAAAAAAGAGUCUCAUUGUCCGUUAUUCACGAUAUGAGAUUCUACAAAAUUAUUUUCAAAAGGAAAAAUAAGUCCAAGGGUUUCAACAAAUUCUAGUCCUAUCUGCCACUAUGACUAAUGGAGACGAUAUUGAAUUGACAUUGUUUUUCGCAAUAUGACAAAUUUUUGGAGGGAUAUGGGAGAAUCGUCAAGCGUUCACACCAUGCGAGAGCUUUAGGUGGGAUAUGGGAGAAUUGUCAAGAGUUCACACCAAGAGAAAUUAAUGAUAGGCCUAAUUUCGUUGUCAGUUCUUUAUUUAUUUAUUUUAUUUAUUUCAUACAUUAUUGUCUUGUUGGUAUUGUUUUGUAAAGAUAUAAAAGUACAAGUAAAAUAUUAGGGGAAGUAAAGUAAAAUAUUGGAGGUGCUGCUAAUUUACAGCUGCUGUAACUUACAGUUCCUUCAAAAAUAAUGUAAAAAAUUUAACACGUGGUGGGACCCACAUUAUGUUUGAAGAGGCCGUACAUUAUAGCAGUUGUAAAUUAGUAAAAUCCAAAUAUUAGACAAUAAUACACAUUAACAAUGCAUAUAAUUUGGGUUUGAUUUUUUAAAAAAUUAUGUGAGUAUUACCUAUCCUUAAGAUAUUAAUGAGAAUAUAUUUUAAUAAUAAAUAAUCAAAAUCUGUUUAAUCAUAAUAUGUAAUUGAUACAUUGCAUGUUAGAUUUGUUUGGAUUUUAAGUUGUUGCUAAUAAAUAUUUAUGUUGUGAAAGUCGAAUUCAAUAGCUACAAAAGCAGAGAUAACGGUAUUUUAUGUAGUUUUUAAGAAUACAAGGAUAAGACCAUAACGCAUGAGAUAAUGGUAUUUUAUAUAUAUUAAAAGACCAUAACACAUGUAUUUGAGCCAUUGAUAUUGAAGACACAUAUAGAGGAAAGAGUGCAGAUCCGGCCCUCAGUAUUGUGAAGCUUUCCUCAAGUAUUCUCAUGCACACAGACCUUAUCUGGUCAAGUUUUCUGAUUCAAUAUAAUCAAUUUCCGCGCAGUACUGACGACAGCUUCUCUGUAAAGCUCUUCAACCACAAGCAUUUCUACAAGGCAAAAGACUAGGACGUGUCAGAAUGAAUAUCAAUAAGGGAAUGUCUUAUGAAUUUAGUUUAUAUCCUAAUAUAAGACAAUCAGUAAAUAUUGGACUCAUUAGUUGCCCUUGCCUCAGACGUUUGGAUGCUAAGGGGAAAAAGGAAGUUUGAAUUAGUCAAUCUCAUUUCUAAUGGCAUUCACAGAGAACUUAUAAAACAAAAAAAUUAUAAAAAAAAAUUCAUCCAUAAAAAGCUUAGUAACGGAAAAACCGACUCUUUUAUCUGCCACUGACGAAAAAAAAACUGAAGUAUCAAAUAGAUAAAGAUUUUAAUUUUUUUCUUGGAAAAACUAAUAAUAAAUUAACAAUUGGAUAAUACUAUUAAUUAGAGAUCUUUAAUAUUAAGGUUAUCAAAGAUAGAAUGUGUAUAAAAAUUCUUAAUUAUAAGAUAAUUACUAACUAAAAAGAGGCCUAAAAAAGAAGAUUUGCUAUUAUAAGUAAUACCAAAAAUAAAAAAGGGAGACUUCCUAAUUGUUUAAUUGUUAAAAAAGAGGAUUUGCUAUUAUAGGCCUAAUUUGCCUAUAAGUAAUACCAAAAAUAAAACCGUUCCUGGAUGUAAAAAAUAAAAAUUAUUGUUAAAUUCCUGACUAAUAAGGUCAUUGAAAGUAUUCAAAGGACCUGAACUUAUAGGAAAGCCAGCCAUGAUGAACUAUACCACGUUGCAAGUGAGCUCGUAUCUUCAUCCCUUGAUCUGCCAUCGGCAUUUCUGUUCCACUCACUAUACCAUCCUUUUCAAUCGAUUUUUAUUGAUCAUAAGAGGCCAUGUGGCCCACCUUAUUUUUAUUUUGGAUCCAUAACCCAAAGCUGGCCCAAGUUCUGAUUCCAGAAUCAUUUGUCUACAAAGUGACCUCAUUCCGGCAAUUGGUUUAUGCUAAUAGCACGUGCAAUUUUCAUUUUCUUCUUUUUAUUAAUUAAUUUCAUCAUUAUUAUUUGCUUAUUAUUUUAAAUUAAUUAAUUAAAUUGUAUUAUUGAAAUUAGUCUUUCUUUUUUCUUUUCUCUUUCAAUGCACAAAGCCAAACAACCAUUCUUGCUUCAAAUACCGAAGAGCUCCUGACUACGGCUGUCAAUGCUUCUAUAUUUACGUGCUGUGCUGCAUCACUCUUAGCGAAAGCUUGAAUGAAUGAUUAAAGACAAAAGCUUAUAUAAAAGCAGAUGCCGGAGGCACUCAAAAAGCAUUUGAGAGAGAAGCUACACAGCAAAUCAUCAAACGUACUUCAAUGACUUUGAUUUUGAUUCUUUUUUUUUUCAAAAGAAGUAGAAAAGUCCAUGGAUCACGAUAACUGCUUGUCCUAUGCCGUGACCUCAUUGUCCGCUGCUAGUGUCAAAUAGAUUAAUCUUUCUAGUAGAUUAAUAUAAUUUAUAAUUUUAAUUUCAGUAUUAAUUUUUAAAAUGUUAGUUGUUAUAUUUAUUUUAAUAAUAUAUCUAUUUUUAGUAUAAAACUUUAAAUAUAUAUUUAGAUUAAAUAGAUUUAUAAUUAAUAUAAUAUAUCUCAUGUAUUAAUGAUAUUUAAAUUAUUUUAAAUAAUAUUAAGCCUAACUUAAAAUUUUAUAUAUUUAUUUUAAUAUUAUGUUUCUAUUUAUUAUAAAAUUUAGUUUAAUAUAAUAUAAGAUUGUAAAGUAUUCAAAUAUUUUUUAAAUAUUGAAAUUAUUAUAAAAUGUAUAUAUUGUUACAUUUUUAAUAUUGAAGUCAAUCUUUUUUAAGUUAAUAGAGUGAAAAGAUAUUAUAAUAAAAGGCUACGUAAUCUUUCACUUGCACAUAUUCUGUACUCUCUGGAGCAGGACGGUAGGAAAUAUGAUUACAAAUGUUAAAUUCGCCUUUCUUCACAAGUUUAUCAGCUUCGUUUGCGGCCUCUGCUGCUUGUUUACCAAGCUUGUAACAAGAAAUCAAAUUUGGGCACAACCUUUUGAAGCAGAACAUCUUAGCUCUAUCUUUAUCAUCAAUGAUUGAUUUUGCAACCCCUUCACUGAAUUCAGCAACUCUAUUUAGCCAGUCUCUGACACCCUUAUAAAUCUCAUCUCCUUGUAGAGUAGCCUCUCUAACCAGCAUUUGCACCCUUUCUCUUAUAUAUUCCAGCUCCUUCACUCAAUCUUUUAGCCCAUCUAUGUAGCUCUGGUACUCGGAACACAUAAGAUAUGUGCCACAUAAUCGGUUUGAAUAAUGCUUUUGAACCUUGUGAUACAAUGCUAGAAAAAGUAGGGAGACACCCUUCUGCAGCCAUUGCCUGUUGCUUAACAAUCUAUAUAAAUAAAUACAAGUGUCAAAGAAAGGAAUACAGAUAAAUUAAAAUGAACUAGUGGGAAAGACAGAGAAUGAAAAGACUGCAAACAAUAUUGCGAUAUUGAUCUUGAACUAACUAAUAAUUAAAUAGAGAAUUUCUUUUUCUUUCUUGAGGAUCAGAGAUUUUGCUAUUAACAAAAAGGUACUUCGAGGGUCUGAAUAAAAAACCAACCAUAAAUUAUCAAAAGCUAGUAAAAACACAGACGUAAAUAAUGAACAAUUACUUAAGCAAAACAGACCAUGAUACAAAGCAAAUCUAAUAAAAUGACAAAAAAAGAAAGAAAGAAAGAAAGAAAGAAAAUACAACAAAUAAUAUUGAAGUGUUGAUUAUGAGCCAACUGAUAUUUAAACAGAUUUUUUUAAAAUUUUUAGUCUUUUGCUAAAGGAUUAGAGUUUUUGUUAUUAAUAGAAAGGUUUUAAAGACCUGACAUUACUAGAAAAAUACUAAAUAAUGACAGAAAUUUUAUAACAUAUAUCGUUAUGUCACGAAUGUGUCAUGAAAAUAUGAUAGAUUCGUGAUAUAUAUUCAUGUCCAGAGUAUAUGACAUAUUCAUGACUUAUAACUUAACCAUCGUAAAUAAAUGAUACAUAUAAGUCAUGCUUAAGUUUUGUGAACUUAUAAGAUUGUAAAACAAUGCCGUUUAAAUUAACGACACCGUUUUGUAUAACUUAAAACCCAUUAACACUCGCAGCCAAAUUUUGGCUAAGCGUUGAAUUAAUCCCUCUCUCCACUGUAGAGAUGGCAGAAAAGCCCGCUCAGACCGGAUCCGGACUGGACCCGGUGCAUACGGUCCGGGUAAAACCCGGAUCGGAUGCAUGGAAAAAGCGGAUCCGGGCACGGGUCCGGUCACAGCACCAAGAAUCUGGAACCCGGACCCGUGCCCACUUUUUUAUUAAGUAAAAAAAAAAUAUAUAUAUAUAUAUAUAUAUAGUAGUUUUCCAAUCAGGGAUUAGUUAAAAGACAAAAUAAACACAUACUCCAAUGCAUUGUAUUUUAUCAUGUAGUGUAGUAAAAUUUAAAUUUUUUUGUCUUUUAGCUAAUCCAACUACUAUAUAUAUAUAUAUAACAACAAAAAUGCAUUUUGCUUUACCCAAUUUCCCCCAAACCCAACCGGCCAACCCUAAAUCGCAACAAGUCUCAGAAUCGCCACCUCCCUCCGUUUCUCCACCAACAACCACCACCCAUCUUCACCGAUGCAGUGUUGACGGCGCGGCCUCUUCCCCACUUACAGAAAAAUGCGCAUGCUUUUACCGAGAAAAGAAAGCUUUUAUUUUUUGUAUGACAUCUGGUCCUCCCAUCAAGCUUACCUGAGGCAGCGAGGCUGAAAGUCUCUGUUAUCAACCAUCAGGACACCAGAAAGAGUAAUUGCUCACAUCGUAAGCGCCAUGAACUAAUUUUUCCGAAAAGGAGGAAAUGAAGGUCACAAUGGAGCUCAUUUCCCGCGAUUCGAGAGCCCUACAGAGAGGUAGGACCCCUAACUCACUCCGUUUUAGUCACCUUUCAAUGGCUCCCUUAAUUUCCUAAAUCAAUAAGUGUUCUAAAAGGGCUUGAAAAAUCAAAAUGAUGCCCAACAUUAGUGCCAGGAUUAAGGAACUUUUCACUGCAAAGAAGUGAAUAGCUACGUGGAUGAAGUUAUGGGCCAUGCAGAAAUUCACACUUCACUCUCUCUUGAUUUGUACUCAAAAGUCGCCACCAACCUUCAAUUAUAUGGACUCAUGGAUUCAAUAUUUAGGCUUACAAUUGGACCUUCACAAAGCAAUUGGAGCACUCCAAGCUGCAAAAAAUGUCUCUUCUCUGUGACAUCUGCAGGUGGGCUAGAAGAAGGUUAUGCAUAGAUGGUCUAUGUGCGUGUGCUUACUAAAUGCAUACAAAAUGUAUAAGAACUGAGAUUCCUAUGUUUUUUCCUUUUUAAUUUUAAUAAUUAUGUUAGAUGUUUGCUUGGUAGUUAAGAUGUUUUGGUUUUGGACUGUUACGCUUUGUUAGAACUUAAAAGUAAACAAUUGUUUAGGCUGUAUUUUUUUUUACAGUGUUUUCACCUUUGAAAAUCCGGGUAGAGAAAACCCGGAAAAACCCGUGCCCGGAUAGUGCCGGGCAUGUACCCGGCCUGUAUAAAAAAAAUUCCGGACACGGUGCGGGUUCGGGUAGUUACGUGUGACAUCCGGGUCGGUCCCGGGCAGCCUCAAACCCAGACCCGACCCGGACUUUUGCCAUCUCUACUCCACUGGCCACUGCAACCUAAAAUAGUUUUUCACUUUAAUAACCCAAAAGCUUUCCUCUGUUUCAACUAAGCGAAAAUUUACAUAUUAAAGCCUGGCUCAAAUUCCUUUUUUCAAUCGAAAUUAAACGUAGCCACAAAACCCUAAUUCACCACACCAAUUUAUCUCUGCCCGGUAUUCAUUUAAACCCUACCUCGCGGUUCAAUGUCAUUCAAUACGAUUGCAGAUGCUGUUUCAACUUGUCAUUUAGUUAGCGCCAUCCAGUUCUCUAUGGUAAGCCUUAACCCUAACAACUAAUCGACUGCGGUAGCACGUUGCUUGUUAGGAGUGGGGAUACAUUAUUUGAAUAUAUGAAUUGGGUGAUGUUAGUGAUUCAUUCCCCUAUUUGUCGUGAAUUGAGAUUUGUGCAUAAUGCUAGUAAGAUUGCUAAAAAUUUCAUAUUUUGUAUUGUUCCAGUUGAAUUUCUUGCUUGUGGAAGAUAAAACAAAAGUUCAAUUUCAUGUUGAUUUAAUUCUUCUUUUCCUUCUUUUUAUUUUUCUUCUUUAUAGUCACGCUCUGGCUUUGGUGCUAUGCUUAGUGCAGUUUAUGGUUUCAAGAUUAAGUCAUGUUUAUUUGAUGGCAUCGAUUCCAUCGUUGAGGAUUGGAUUGUUGAUCAAAUGCACAUAGUAAGCUCUUCUUAUUUUAUCUCAAUUUUAAUUUUCUUUUAUUAUCUGCCUCUACCUGAAAAUGGACGUGUUUUACUAGUAAGCAUAGACCUUGUUUAUUUAAUUGAUAUUUUAAUUUUAUGUAUAAGAAUGGAGGUUUAUUUUGGAAAAAAAAAGAAAUAAAAAAAAUACUCUGUUGAAGCUAAUUAGUACUGAAUUUUUUUUGGUGGUGCGACCAGAGGUGGAAACAGGGUAUGAAAAUGUGUUACUGGUGAGGCUGCUGCUUAAGAUGAGAAUGCAUUCUUUUCAAAAAUCCUUGGAAGGUGUGAUCUAAUUAUAUUUGAUGGAAUAUUAAAUGGCUAAAAAUCUGUCAUACGUUCAAACUUUGUUUGUGUUUAGAAGAAUGGUGUUGACUGUAUAUUCGUUUGGAAGAAUGGUGUUGAUUGUAUAUUCAUUUGCUUAGCCUUUUGACAGAUGGAUUUGGAACUGACGAUAAAUGUGAUUCAAUUUACAAGGUUUUCGAGGGGCUCACAGUGGAAGGGAUAUUGAAGAACUGGUCGAAGUUAAAGCCUAUGAUUGUGAAAGAUUGGAGUGAGAAUAUAGAUGCUCAUUUAAAUCUUUUUGGCAAGGUCAGAGAUGAAUGGAUAGAUAAGGAUUUAUUUGACAACUUGGACUGGUGCUAAUAGGUAUUUUAAGCAAGCUUUUUGAGAUAACACUGAGCAAGUUAUACUACUAUUUUGCACAUGAUGAUCAAAACUCUCGAAAAGUAAAUAAAAUAAAGUAUUAACUUUUACUUUCAUCUUUUGCAUAGCAAUCAAUGUGGUGCUUGUUCUGUGACAACUUUGAUAAUCUACUUAAUUACUGGUUAGCAUUUGGACCAAAAAAGUUCUUAUGAUUUACAUGUUUUGUAGAAAUGCAUGAACCUUAAAUGUGCUGAUCAGGGAGUUUAAUUAUUGCACCUUGAAAUUCAUUUACUGUUAACUAAUUGGCUUUCCUUUGCAUAAAGCCGCUUAUAAGGCUUGAGUGGACGUCUUUAUGGGCAUAUUUUUUGUAUUUCUCGAUGCAUGCCUUUAUCAUUUAAUGUGGUGCUCGUAUUUCUUUAUGCAUGCCUUUAUCAUUUAAUGGCCAGCUCCCUUUCCUCUUUUGUAAUUUGAAUAGUAGUAUGGGCCUCCAUUUUACAAAUCUUUAACAUUUUUUGCUGUAAAUUAAUUUUUCUUUCAAAUAUUUUGGAGGUCAUUGGAAUUCCUGUAGGUCUAUUUACCAGAUUUUAGUAUGUUUAAGGUUAUAAUUUUGCUUAGACUUUAAUUUUUCUGAAAGAUUGUAGUAUUGAUCCUUAAAGUAAGAUCAUGCUACUUCAAAUUAUUUUGAAGUGUUGCUAGUUAUAGCCUUACAUAUCAAAUUCCAGUUGUCUGGAAAUUUAUUGAUAGCUGUUACAGCAGCAUAUUUUAUGACUCUACUUCUUAGUUAUGUAAGUUCAUUAUGUUUAGGUCAGAGGCAGUCAGCUGUGGGGAAUCGAUUUAUACACAGAUGACUUUGAUCUUGUUGCUGGUAUGUGGUUCUAUGAAUAAUUGUUCACAAUAAUUGUGUUUGCCUCACUGUUUUUGUUUUAUGAGAUCUAUAAUUGAUCUUGGGAUAUUACUUUUUAGUUCUCAUGCAGGCAAGUUACUACCUUCCCACUGCAUCUCCUCCUUUAUCUGCUACUCAAGAGUUGCGUGCCAUAAUCUGGUAUUACCUCUGCAAGAUUGUGAAUGAAUAUGAUGCCUCUAAAUUUAUUUUAUACAUAAUGCUAAUGCUGAAUAAUAUAUUGUAGCUCCUGUCAUAUUCUACUUUGACUUUUUAUAUUCCGUUUCAAAUAAAAAUCUUAUUCAACUUUAGUUGUUCAUGAGCAAAUGUCACAUGUAUAAGCCCAAAUGAUGUUUAAAGGUAGCGCCGCUACCUUCAGUUUGAGCUUACAAUGGGUGAAAAAGAAAUUGAAACUGAUAUUUUGCGGUUUUUCUUAUUUUUCAAAGUAUUUUAGAUCAUGACUUUUGUUUGGACUUGAUGGUUAUAGAUUGUGUCUAGAUUUGUUAAGUCGUUUCCAACACCUCGUGCCAAAUCAAAGCACAAUCUUUCUGAUUCAGAUGUUUUGUUAAUUGUGCUUCAUUUUUUCGUUAAAGGUUGGAUGGUUGAAUGGAUUGAUGGAGUUGGAGUUCAACCAAUAAUUCUAAUUUUUUGGACUUAAAAUGCCUUUUUCUUCUGUAUAAAAGCUUUAGUAAGUGCUAUUGAGUUGACAGAAGUUGAAUACUUACAGGUUGUUUCACACUUUUUAAUAGUUUUACAUAUAUGAAUUUCUGUUUUUUGAAUUGCAGAAAGGAGGUGGAACUAUUGAUUUGGAGCCUUAUCUUACUCACUCAUCAACAACGGAGCCUACCCUCGCUCCUAUGGCAGUGGAACGGACAAUGACUACUAGGGCUGCAACAUCAGUUGGUUCGGGUCUGUUUUGAUAGCGAAUUUUGAUAUGUCAAUAUAAUGUGUAAUUGUUUUGGGUUGAGCUGGUAAUUAUGCUGGAUUAGAUUGGUUUGGUUUUGGUGCUUCGCUGAUGGAACACUGGUUUUUUAGAAAAUUUGAAUGUAAUAUGAGACUACAUUUAGUUUAAUUGAACACUGCAUCUAGUCUAAUUACUAGAAGUGUGGCAUUUGGUUUGGUUUAUCCGAUAUUCUCCAGAAUUUCACUUGCAUCUGGUUUUGUUGCAUAUGUUUGCUUGCAUUUGAUGGCAGUAGCAGACUGUUUGGUUUUGUGGCAUUUGAUGGCAGUUUGGUCUGUUCUUGGUGCUGAUUUACGAUUGUUCCUGAUGUGUUGAUGUUAAUUGCAGGUGCUUGAAUCAGCUAGGGUUGCUGGUUUUUUCAGAUGGUUGACUCAGGCGUUGUUACUGGUUGAUUCAGGUGGCUGGCUCAAGUUGUUCAUUUAAUGUUAGGAAGCAAAUUAAGAAUUAAUGAAGUAUUCAUUUAACUAUAAUUAUUGUAGUUAUUUUAUUUCAUAACUGAAUUAUAAUCUAUGAUACUUGUGAACAAAUUAGAGAAUUUUUAUAUAUAAAUUAUAUAUAUGUGUGUGUAUGUACAUUUUGCUUUUUAUAUAAUAAUUUAAAGAAUAUAUUUCAAUUCCCACAAAAAAAUGGCCCCAAUUUCAAUAAUUCCUGCCAAAUAAUUAAUUUUUUUUAAUUUACCGCCAAAAUAUAUCUUAAAGAAAUGUUAGUUAUUCUUGCUAGAUUUAACAAAAAUAAUUUAUAGGAUUAACAUUUAAUUAAAAUAAUUAAAUAAUUUUACUAUUUCAAUUAAAUGUCAUGUUUAUAUCACAGACAAUAGUCAUGAAUGGGAAGUAUUAGUUACAUAUUUUUCCUUGUAGUUAUUUUAUUUCAUAACUGAAUUAUAAUCUAUGAUACUUGUGAACAAAUUAGAGAAUUUUUAUAUAUAAAUUAUAUAUAUGUGUGUGUAUGUACAUUUUGCUUUUUAUAUAAUAAUUUAAAGAAUAUAUUUCAAUUCCCACAAAAAAAUGGCCCCAAUUUCAAUAAUUCCCGCCAAAUAAUUAAUUUUUUUUAAUUUACCACCAAAAUAUAUCUUAAAGAAAUGUUAGUUAUUCUUGCUAGAUUUAACAAAAAUAAUUUAUAGGAUUAACAUUUAAUUAAAAUAAUUAAAUAAUUUUUCUAUUUCAAUUAAAUGUCAUGUUUAUAUGACAGACAAUAGUCAUGAAUGGGAAGUAUUAGUUCCAUAUUUUUCCUUGGGAUUUCAGGCAAAUGAAAAAAAGAUUGAGAAUGAUUUCAAGAGGACAGGUGGAUGAUAAGUAUUCAUUUUUGUAUAUUUGGCUAAUGUCCUCAUUAGUGGAUUUUUAUGGUAUUGAUUUUUUUUUUUUUGGUUUAUAAUUUUCAAUUAGUUGUUACCCUAGAGGAAGAGCAGGCUGAUCAAAUUGAUUUGUCUUAUUUUUCCGGCAAUCUGCGACACGAUGACUGUGAUAAUGCUCGUGACUGCUGGAAACUUUCUGGUGGAAAUAACUUUAGAGUUCGUAGCAAGCAUUUUUGUUAUGACAAAACAAAGGUUCCCCCAUAUUUUGGUUGUUUGUUAUGGUAUUUAUAUAUCCUGCAUAUGCUAGGUCGACAGGUUAUGAUGUAGUUUGGUUGGCUCUUGUGCUUUGUGCAAUUUGUAACUGCAGAUACCUGCGGGAAAACAUUUAAUGGAUCUUGUUGCUGUUGAUUGGUUCAAAGACACAAAGAGAAUGGACCAUGUAGCUCGGCGUCAAGGCUGUACUGCACAAGUAACUGAAGAAAAAUGUGAAUUGGUUCCUCUUUUUCUUACUUUCCAGAACAGUAUGUACAGGGAAUAUAUACAGCAAAAUAGGAGAGAAAAUAGGAGACUACAUCUAUCCUUUCCUAAAUAAUAGGAAACAAAAUCUGGAAAGAAUCCUAAUGAAUCUUCCCAUUAUAAUUUAACUUAUUCCUAAAAUAGCCUAGAUUACAAAUAAAUCAUAACUUUGAAUCUUUAUUUUCAACACUCCCCCUCAAGCUAGUGUGUGUAUAUCAUACAAACCCAGCUUGUUACUUAAGUCUUCAAAGUUAGGUCUUGGCAGUGCUUUAGUAAGGAUGUCUGCAAUUUGUUGUCUAGUUGGAAUGUACUUUAGUUCCACACUUCCACUAGUGACCUUCUUUGAGAUGAAGUGCCUAUCAAUCUCGACAUGUUUGGUUCGAUCAUGAUGCACUGGAUUUUUUGCGAUGCUGAUUGCUGCUUGAUUGUCACACCUCAUUAGAAUGGAUGAAGGGUUGCACACACCGAGUUCUUUGAGUACACGCUUUAUCCAAAUUCCUUCACAGAUUCCAUUUGCCAAAGCUCUGAACUCUGCUUCUGCACUACUCCUAGCUACAACUGAUUGUUUCUUACUCCUCCAGGUUACUAGAUUUCCCCAGACAUAGGAACAGUAAGCAGAUGUUGAUAUUCUAUUUGUGAUGUCUCCAGCCCAGUCUGCAUCAGAGUAGAUCUCAAUAUUCCUAUAUUCUGAUUUCUUGAAAAACAAUCCUUUUCCAGGUGUCAUCUUUAGAUACUUCAAAAUUCUAAAGACUGCAUCCAUGUGUUCCUCUGUAGGAUUGUGCAUGAAUUGGCUCACAGCACUAACAACAAAGCCUAUGUCCGGACGGGUAUGUGAGAGAUAAAUUAAACGACCAACCAGUCUUUGAUAUCUCUCUCUAUUGACUGGAACACUAUUCUCAACUGAGCCUAGUUUCUUGUAGGGAUCCAUAGGAGUAUCUACUGGUUUGCACCCAAUCAUACCAGUCUCCUUUAGUAAGUCCAGGGUGUAUUUCCUUUGGGAGACAACAAUUCCCUUCCUAGAUCUUGCCACCUCCAUCCCAAGAAAAUAUUUCAGAUUCCCUAGAUCUUUAACUUCGAAUUCCUGAGCUAGCUGUUUCUUCAACUUCUGCAGUUCUUCCUCAUCAUUUCCUGAGAGAAUGAUGUCAUCAACAUAUACGAUUAGGAGAGAGAUCUUCUUUGCUUGUGAUGUUCGGAGGAAUAGAGUGUGAUCUGCCUGACACUGAGUGUAACCAAGUCUCACAACUGCCUUCGCAAAUCUAUCAAACCAUGCUCGAGGGGAUUGUUUAAGCCCAUACAAAGAUUUCUUGAGCUUGCACACUUUAUUUCUAGUAAGAUUCAGAUCAAGACCCUGGGGAACUUCCAUAAACACUUCUUCUUCAAGAUCGCCAUUGAGAAAUGCAUUUUUUAUAUCUAGUUGGUAUAAGUACCAAUCUAGAUUUACUGCUAAGGAGAGCAAGAUUCUAAUGGUGUUGAGCUUCGCAACCGGAGCAAAGGUUUCAAGAUAAUCAAUCCCAUAUGACUGUGUGAACCCUUUAGCUACAAGACGAGCUUUGAGCCUCUCAACACUUCCAUCUGCCUUGUAUUUAACAGUAAAAAUCCACUUACAUCCAACUGGUCGUUUCCCUGCAGGAAGAUUUGUUAUAACCCAUGUAUCAUUUUUCUCAAGAGCAUUUAUUUCUUCAUGAACAGCUCUCUUCCACUCAGGAUGACCGAGAGCCUCUUGUAUAUUGUUGGGAACAUGUAGAUUAUCUAAAGAAGAAACAAAGGCUCGGUAUGAUGGGGACAAACCAUCAUAUGAGACAUAUUUGGCAAUUGGAUGAGUGGUGCAACUUCGAACCCCCUUUCUUUCUGCAAUUGAUUUAUUAGAAUCAUCCACACUUGGAACCAUGAACUCAACCGAGGCAAGACUAUCCAUACCUGUGUUGUCUUCAUAAGAGCUUGGAUUUGGUUCAGUUUCUUGGACAUGUGGCUGAGUUCUGUGCUCUAUCUGCUCUCCAGUUCUUCUCCUCCUAUAAACAUUAAGAUUAUCAACAGCAAGCUGUGGAAGAGGUGAGAUUAGAGGUUGUAGUUGAUGAGCUGAUGGAUGACGGGGUGACUCGGCUGGUUGUGGUUGGGAGGACUCAGAUGACUCAAAAGGUUGUGAAGAUGUUGGGAGGAUUGCUGAUUGUGGCUGUUGGAUAGAUUGAUCAUGUGUGGUGGUUGAGUUAUGAGGGUUUUCAUGAGGGGUUUCCAGCCAAGAUUGCCAAGAAGAUUCCCAAGGCUGAUGUUCGCUCAUACUCUCUCCCUGAACAACAGUUUUGGAAUAGAAAGGCAGGUUUUCAACAAAUGUUACAUCUCUGGAAAUGUAUAUUUUUCUGGUAUGAGGAGAAUAGCAUUUGUAUCCUUUUUUAUGUGGAGAAUAGCCUAAAAAUAUACACUUGAGAGAUCGGGGAUCAAGUUUAGUCCUGUGUUGAGAGUGAACAUGGACAUAUGCUGUGCAACCGAAUAUUUUUUGUGGUAAAUCUGCUGAAACAAUCCUAGUGUGUGGAAAGAAAUUGAGAAGAACUUUUCUUGGGCAAUGAAACCCCAAGACUCUAGAAGGCAUUCGGUUGAUUAAGUAGGCUGUAGUGAGAACAGCUUCACCCCAGAAAAAAUUAGGAACAUGAGAUGAGAACAAAAGACAGCGAGCCACUUCAAGAAGGUGUCUGUUUUUGCGUUCAGCGACCCCAUUUUGUUGUGGGGUGUCAACACAAGAACUGAUGUGAAGAAUGCCUUGAUGGAGAAGAUAUGAGCUGAGGGAGUCUUUGAAAUAUUCCUUGGCAUUGUCGGUUUUAAGGACUUGGAUUUUGGUAUUGAAUUGGGUUUGAAUCAUGGCGUUAAAGUUUUGGAAGAUUUGACUAACUUCGGAUUUGUUUUUCAUGAGAAACACCCAAGUGAGACGAGUAUGAUCAUCCACAAAUGACAAAAACCAGCGAGCCCCAGAAACAUUUUUAAUUCUUGAGGGACCCCACACAUCAUUGUGAAUUAAAGCAAAUGGACGAGAAGGCUUAUACUUAACGCUUGAAUAAACAUUUCGAGUAUGUUUUGCAAAUUGACAAAUUUCACAAUGAAAUGAUAAAGGGUUUUUAUUGAUGAAUAGAUUGGGAAAAAUUUUUGCGAGAUACAUGAAACUAGGAUGACCUAAUCGAUAGUGUAACAGAACAAUUUCACUAUCGUUAUUGACAUUUGGACUAACAAUAGAAUGAGGAUAACUAGUUGACAGACUAUUGGACUUGGCACAGUUUGCUCUCGAAUCUUGUAUGAAGGAGGAUUGAUCGCUUUUGAGUAGAUAGAGUCCAGAACAUAGCUCAGCACUGCCAAUCGUCUUCGCGAAUCCAAGUCCUGAAAAACACACAUAUUUGGAUAGAAUUUAGUUACACAAUUCUGAUCACGAGUGAAUUUACUGAUUGAAAGUAAAUUGCAAGCCAAAUUAGGCACAUAAAGUACAGAAUUAAGGUGUAACUCCUUAGUGAGUCUGAUGGAACCUGUCCCUGCUAUAUUGUGUGAGAGCCAUCUGCGAUCCGGACUGAAGUGCUGUUGAUGCUAGCUUUAUAAUCCUGCAACAUUGAGGCAUCUCCAGUCAUGUGAUCAGAAGCACCAGUGUCAAUUAUCCAGGGUUUGCUUGCUCCAUUAGUGGCUGCAAAUGCUGAAUGAGUCUCUUUCUAAGCCACUAGACUUGUCCCUGCAUUGGAGUUCAAAGUGGCUUGAUCGAAAAGCUUUUGAAGAAUCUCCAUUUGCUCCUUGCUGAAUGGAUUUGGCUCGGGUAGGGCCUGAUUGUCCGUGGUGGAUGCUGCAUGAGCACGAGAUUCACGGUCACCUUUGGAACGAGGUUUCCAAUCAGCAGGUUUGCCAUAAAUUUUCCAGCAACUCUCCUUAUAGUGGCCUGCCUUACGACAGUGAUCGCACCAUGGUCUUUCUUUCUUUGUACGAUUUUCACUAACCCCUACAGAGUUGGAUGCACGGGCAACAAGUGCAGAGGCGCCCAGUGUUGGUUCUGAUGACCCCAUCAUCACCUUUUUCCUACUUUCUUCAUGCCUAACUUCAGAAAAGGCUUCACGAGGGCGCGGUAGAGGCUUUGUCCCGAGUACACGGCUCCUAACCUGAUCAAGAUCUUUAUUGAGUCCGAGGAGAAAUUUAAACGUUCUCUUCUGUUCCACAAUCUUCUUGUACAAGGUUGUAUCGUCGGUGCACUUCCAAGGGUAUGUUUCAAAUAGAUCAAGGUGUUGCCAAUGCCUAGUCAGAGUAUUAAAGUAUUGAGUGACAGAUUGUUCUCCUUGGCGGAAGUCAUGGAGGAUGGUUUCAAUCUGGAAUAACUCUGAUGUGUUCUCAGAGCUAGAAUAGGUUUCCUUUGCAGCAUCCCAUAUGUCAUUUGCAGUCCCAAACAGAAGAAAAUUCUCACCAAUAUCAUUGUUCAUGGAAUUGAUAAGCCAUGACAUGAUCAUGUUGUUCUCUGACUNNNNNNNNNNNNNNNNNNNNNNNNNNNNNNNNNNNNNNNNNNNNNNNNNNNNNNNNNNNNNNNNNNNNNNNNNNNNNNNNNNNNNNNNNNNNNNNNNNNNNNNNNNNNNNNNNNNNNNNNNNNNNNNNNNNNNNNNNNNNNNNNNNNNNNNNNNNNNNNNNNNNNNNNNNNNNNNNNNNNNNNNNNNNNNNNNNNNNNNNNNCACGUAACAGAGGUUGAUGAGGAAGCCAUCCCGUAUUUUGCCACAGAGAAUACAACUGAUGGGAGAGGAAGGAAGGUAGAUUGUUCAAUUUAUGAGAGAAGAAGGAAAUGGCGGCUGAUAGGAGAACUAGGGUUUAGAGCCAGGCUCUGAUACCAUGAAGAAAAAUGUGAAUUGGUUCCUCUUUUUCUUACUUUCCAGAACAGUAUGUACAGGGAAUAUAUACAGCAAAAUAGGAGAGAAAAUAGGAGACUACAUCUAUCCUUUCCUAAAUAAUAGGAAACAAAAUCUGGAAAGAAUCCUAAUGAAUCUUCCUAUUAUAAUUUAACUUAUUCCGAAAAUAGCCUAGAUUACAAAUAAAUCAUAACUUUGAAUCUUUAUUUUCAACAGUAACUAUUCUUUUCUUUUUAUUUUUCCUUUUCUGAAAGAAACUUAGUUUUGUAUUGUUUGGCAAGCUAGAAAAUGAAAGAAAAUAAAAGAAAGCGCUGUAAAGAAGUUUGUAGAACCUUUAUUACUCUAGCAUUACAACUGAAUGAAUACAGACUGAUAUUUCUAUUAAGCUACAAUUUUCUCAACACACACACAAGUUUGUUACAUCACAUAACCAUUUGCUGCAUAACUAAUUUGACACAUCAGCUCAACCAGCUAACUAACUUUGCCAGGUCAAGCCUAGUGAGUUGAUCUGCUAAAGUCAGCUACACAGCAACAUCAUGCUCUGCUCCAACUUCAUUCAAUUCACUAACAUCCCCCCUCAAGCUGAAAUGUUUAGGAUGAACAUUCAGCUUGCUUCUUAAGUAACUAAACUGUUUGAGAGUAAGCCUUAGUCAACACAUCUGCUGUUUGAUCUUGACUGGGCACAAAACAUACUUCAAUCUCUUUUGCAGUAACUUUAUCUCGAAUAAAAUGUAUAUCCAAUUCGACAUGCUUAGUUUUAGCAUGAUAGACUGGAUUGUAAGCUAAAGCAAUUGCUUCUUGAUUAUCACACCACAUCAUAGGAGUAGAGCUCAAUUUGAUGUUAAGUUCACCAAGUAAAGAUUGUAUCCAGGGAACCUCUGAAGCAGCAUGAGCAAGAGAUCUAUACUCAGCCUCUGUGCUGGACCUGGAAACAACAACUUGUUUCUUUGAUGACCAUGAGACUAGAUUAGGGCCUAGGUAAACAGCAAAGCCAGCCACUGACUUCUUAUCAUCACGAUCACAAGCCCAAUCAGAAUUUGAAAAACAAUGUAGUUGCAAAGUUCCUUUGUUAUUAAAUUGCAGCCCAAGAUGUAUAGUGCCUUUUAAGUACCUCAAUAACCUUUUGCAUGUUUCCCAAUGUUGUGUUCUAGGACUUGAAAUGAAUUGACUUAGGUUGUUUACAGAGAGAGCAAUGUCAGGUCUGGUAAGAGUAACAUAUUGAAGAGCUCCUAUAACACUCCUAUAUUGAGAAACAUUAUCAAUUAGCUCUCCUGAUUCUUUUGUGAGAUAAUAACCAGUAGACAUUGGAGUAGGCACAGGACUGCAAUCUGUCAUGCCAUGUUUAUCCAGAAUGUCAGUAAUAUACUUUGCUUGUGUCAAGGAAACCCCUUGUGAAGACUUGCUGACUUCAAUCCCCAGAAAAUAGCUAAGUUCCCCCAUGUCUUUUAAAGCAAAGGCUUGAUUCAUAAUCUUAAUAACUUGCUGAAUUAGUGUUGGACUGGAACUAGUGAUGAUAAUAUCAUCAACAUAGACCGAAACAAGAGUUAGAUGACCACUGUUCCAGGCAUGAAACAGAGAGUUAUCAGACCUUGAAUGCUAGAAAUGCCGUUUAGAGAUCAUUGCAUCCUUGAAUCUAUCAAACCAGGCUCUAGGUGCCUGUUUUAAGCCAUACAAAGCUUUAUUCAGCUUGCAGAUAUGAUUAGGUUUAGUUGAGUCAACAAAACCUUCAGGUUGAGCCAUGUACACCUCUUCAAUUAAAAUGCCAUUUAGAAAGGCAUUAUUAACAUCUACUUGCCUAAUCACCCAUUGAUUCAAUACUGCUAAGCUAAGAAUAACUCUAACAGUUGAAGCUUUAACUACUGGACUAAAAGUUUCUGUAUGGUCAAUCCCAUGUGUCUGAUGAAACCCCUUUGCAACAAGCCUGACUUUAUAUCUUGAAACUGAACCAUCUGAGUUAUACUUUAUUCGAAACACCCAUUUGCUGCCAACUAUCUUCACUGGAGUAGCAUGUAAAACUAAAUCCCAGGUGUGAUUAGUUUUAAGUGCUAGAUACUUUUCUUGCAUAGCCUUAUACCACAUAGGAUCAGAAAGUGCUUGGGAAACAGAAGUUGGUUCUGAUUUCUGGGCUAAUAAAGCUGACAAAUAAAUUUUUGGCUUGAAAAUACCUGCUUUUGACCUGGUUAUCAUUGGAUGACCAGUUGAUGCAGGUUGUGGCAAUGUAUGUGGAGGUGAAUUAUGUGGUAGUGAAGAAGAAGAAGCUGAGUUGGAAUUAUCAGAAAAAUAAAGUGGAGUAGAAUUUGGUGAGGGAGUAGGAGCAUCUGAAUGAUGAACAUUUUGAUGGUGUUCUGAUGAUGCUGCUAAAGGUGCUUGUAACUGAGUAAUAGAAGGAACAGAGGAAUUGAAAGAAGACUUAUAAUUUUUUGUUGACUAACAACUUGAAGAGAGUGAAGAAAAAUCUGCUCCAGACUCAUAAGGAAAAGAAUUUUCAUCAAAGGUGACAUGAUUUGAAAUGUAAACCCUCUUAGAAGAGUGAAGACACUGAUAUCCCUUGUGUUGUGAAUUGUAGCCAAUGAAUAUACAUCUGGCAGUUCUGAAAUCAAACUUAUGUCUAUUGUAUGGUCUGAGUGUUGGAUAACAAGCACAACCGAAGGUUUUAAGUGUUGAAUAAUCUGGUUGAUGAUGAAAUAACUUUUGGAAAGGAGAAAUGUUGUUUAGAAUUGGAGUUGGAAGUCUGUUUAUCAAAUAGACAGCUGUGUGGAAUGCAUUCCACCAAAAUUUGAGUGGUAAAUGUGCUUGAGCUAAUAAGGUCAGACCUACAUCAACUAUGUGUCUAUGUUUCCUCUCAAUUCUUCCAUUUUGAUGAUGAAUAUGUGGGCAAGGGUGUCUAAAAUGGAUACCAGAAGCAGUGAGUAAUGAGGAAAAUGUUCUGAACUCUUCUCCCCAAUCAGUUUGGACAGUUUUGAUUUGAAGUUGAAGAUGCUUUUCAAUAAAAAUUUUGAAAUUGGUAAACACUUCAAGAGCAUCAGAUUUGGCUGACAAUGGAAAUAUCCAGGUAAAUCUACUAUAAUCAUCUAAGAUUGAUAAGUAGUAAUUAUAUCCUUGGGUAGAACAGACAUGAGAAGGACCCUGAUGGCUGUCGAAGCCAACAAAAAUAAAUUCCUACUCUAAAUAAAUUGUGUAUAGUGAUUGAGCAGGGUCGUGUCCACAGAGAUCGAUAAUUAUUUAAAUCCUUUUGAAACGUAAAACGUAAAAUGGGGGAAUUGUUGACAAUAAUAAAAAUCAAAUUAAAAAUAACAAGAAUGCAAAUUAAAGUUGUAAUUUAAAUUGGAGAAAGCUCUGGUUGAAGGAAUUAACUCAGCUUGAUUCGACUACUGAUCAUUGAUUCAAAUAUAGAUUAUUAUUACUCAUGAAUAGACCGGUUAUAGCUACUGAGACCCUCUAAUAGCCAAUCUCUCCUUAACUAGUCGAUAACCAAGGUACGACCGUUGGUUAUUUCCCUAAUCAAUAGACAACCCUAGAUACGAUCAUAGAAUUUAAUCAAUUGACAGCCUGAAAAACCAGAGAGACCCAAAUCCUAAUCAACACAUAUGAUGAUUCAUUUAAAUUAGAUUGUUUAUUCUCACAACACAACUCUCUGCUAUGUUAUUAGUCACAAGCAUUAAAUUCUUCAUACGAUGAAUCCUUUAAUUGACAAUAGAUUAAGUUGAUAAUUAAAUAGUGGCCAAUUACCUAAUUAACAAACAUAAUCAUGAAAAUAAUUCAGAGAAUAAACAAAUACCCAAAAAGUAAUAAAACAAUUAAAGCACAAGAAAGAUCUCACAGUAGUGAUGAAUCAAAGCUUCAUUAACCUUCAACCAGAAAAAUGGGUUUAGUUUCUCAUAGAGAGAAGAGAAAAAUUAGAUCUAGGGUUUCUUUUUCUCCAAUCCAAAAUUCCCCCCUUUCACAAUAGAUUCCUCCCUUAAAUACUCUCUCUCUCUUCUCCUCUAGAAUUCUAUUUAAAAUAAAAUACUAAUAUCUGAAAUAUUAAAUUCGUAAUUACAAAAAUAACCAAAAAUACAAAACACGUUAAACUAAAAACUGCAGGUCCGCAGUUGACAGCACGCGCCCACGCCUUAUCAAUAAAGUUCUUCUGCCGCUCAUAAUUUCUCCAAGAGAACAAUCAUCCUUAAAAAUCAUCUUGUAGCUCAAUUUUAUCACCAAUCAAUAGAAUUGCACCUACAAAAGUAAAACACAAGUAAAUCAUUAUUAUUAAGUGCAAAACAUCGAUAUUAAGGGAAGUAAACAAUGCAAAACUAGUGCAUAAAUUGCACUCUAACAAAUUCCCCCACACCAAGAUGAUGCUUGUCCUCAAGCAUAUAACUCAAGAUUAAUCCCAAAUCUCCACUCAAUUCUCAUCUCAACUCAUCCAAAAAUAGAAAUUAAGUCGAUCAACAUUCGAGAGACAAGGAUUUUAAAGCAUAGAAUCUCAUAAGAUAGAAUAAGAACAUUCAACCACCAAGAAGAUCCAUUCAAAAUUCAAGUGCAACAAGAUGUAAUAGCCCUCUCAAUAACUUCACUCCAUGCACUCAAAGUGUUUAGGGUGUCAUUUAUCCACUCAAAUCAAAUCAAAGAAUGCUAUUACCAUAAGCUUGCUCAUAUAUCACAUCUCAAUCCACAAAACAUGAAUAAAAUGCAAAAAUCUAAGGGUCUUAAAAGGAUUGUAAUGGGGUUAAAUGGGUUAAAUGAAAAAGAAAGGUUUACGAAAGAAAAAGAGAUCAAAAUGAGAAGAAUGAACUCAUUGAAUGAACUUAUGAUAUCAAAAUGCUUAUUUCUACUCAAGUCACCAAGAAUGUAAACAUUUUUUUUUUCGAUUUUUCUUUUUCUUUUUUUUUCUUUUUCCUUUUCUUUUUCUUUUUUUUUUUCAUUUUUUCAUUUUUUUUUGUUUUUUGUUUUUUGUUUUUUUCGAAUCAAACAAAAGAAACGAACCUUGCACAAUUUAAUUCAAGCAUAAUGCUUGUUGAUCUAAUUGAGAAACUUCAAUACAAGGUAGAAAAAGCAACAAAAUAUAUCCACACAAUGAGUCCAAAAAUCUCCUUAAAUUGAGGCUCAAAAAGAAGAAAAAUGGUUAAGUAGACGGAGAGAAUUAGAUGGGUAAUGGUUAAGGCUCAAACAAAGGUAGCAAAUAAAGGUCUUCGGGUAGAGAAAAAGGAAAAUGCGAGAAUAGAAAAAUGGUAAAUGGUUUGCCCUUAUCAUUUUAAUGCCUAAAAUCCCGUAAUGUGGCUUCAAUAUGCAUAACAAAGCAAAUUCUAGAAUAAACAAACUAGGAUUGAUAUUCACAUAACAAAAAUAAUUAGAGCAAAGUGGUUGCUCAUAGGCUCAAAUCCUCACAAAGUUGGUAAAUUUGCCAUCAAAUCAUGUACACUCUUCAAAUGAAUCAACCAUCAAUAGUGGUGUAGAAUGAGAAGAAGGUAUGAGUGAUAUAUAAAAGAAAAGGUAAAAAUUAUAAGAAGUGAGAAAGAUGUAUGUAGUAAUAUGAAAAGUGAAAGAUAAAAUGUGAGUGAUGAAAGAGUAUGGUAAAAUAAAAAUAGAUAUGAAUAGUUUGAGAUAGAUGGGAAAAAAGUAGUGAGAAAGAAAAGAAAAGAAAAUUAAUAAUAUAUGAAGCAUACUAACUCCAAAAUCAUUUAAGGAUGAGUAGAGUGAAAAUAGAUGAGUAGAGUGAAAAUAAUAAUUCCAGACAUCAAUAAUGCAAAAAUCCCUCCCCCACACCAAGAACUUACAUUGUCCCCAAUGUAAGAUAAUCAAAGCUCACAUAAAAAUUAAAGCGUAAGGAUAAAAGAUUAAGGGCAAAAAAAAAAACUUCCCUGAAUUGUGAGCUUUGAUCCACAUAACGUCUAUGGGCUUGGCGGAAAUGGUGGGGUAAAUCCCACACUCUCGAAGUAUGCGGCCAAAUUCUGCUCCAUCUUGUUCAGCUUGUGCUCCAUUUUCUCUAACUGAAUACUCAAAGGUGGUGCGGAUGUAGAAGGAAUAGUUGGCGGGGCAGCAGUGUCGUCGUCAAACUCGUCAUCAGAGGUAGCACCACUCCUAGCAUAAAGCUUCUUCGGAAGUUGAGUGGGUCCUGGUUCAGUAAACUGAAAUCUCCCCUCCUUGAAUUCAACCACACCUGUUCUUUCAAACACAGACAUAUCCAAAAAUUCCUUUUUGCAAGCAGGAUGCAAAUCAUUAUUGUCGGGAUCAAGAACACAUAGGUUUAUAGCUAACAGAGUAAUGUAUGGACCAAGAAAUAAAGUCCUAUACCGUUUAAGCACAUUUUGAAAUUGAUCCGCUAACCAAAAACCUAAAUUAGGCCUCACAUCAUUUAACAUGCACCAGAUAAAAUAAAAUUCAGUUUUAGAGAAAAUUCCCGAGUGAUCUUUCUUGCCUAAAAAAUUAUAUGCUAAGAAUCGAUGCACACAUUUCAAAACAGGAUCACGUAAGAAAGAACUCUUUGAUUUACUCGGGUCAUAGGCAUUGUGAUCAACAGAUAAAUUACGCCAAAGACCAUAAGGCUCAAAAUUUUCGCUAAAGUCACAAGUUGUUCCUAAAUAUGCAUCACUAGAAGAAUAAUCAUCAUCAAUGAAUCCUAAAGCUAGGUUAAAAUCCGUGAUAGAGUGUGAAAAAUUUCGUCUCAUUAACCUAAACUUAAUGACAUUCGGGGUAUGCAAAGUAAAAUCAUUCGGCAUAGUAAAUUGAAAAGUAGCAUAAAACUCCCUAAUCAACUCAACAUAACCCAAACAAUCAACAUCAACAAAUUUACGCAACCCAAUCUUAUCUAUCAAAGAAUCAAAAUUAUCCUUAACAUUCAAUUUUUCAAGAGUCGGGUAAUGAAUAUACUUAGCUGGAAGUAUUUUGCAAGUGGAAAUAUCUUUGUACCUCUCUUUCUCUUGUUGAGUCGCGAACGCGAGGCACCCUCCGAGAUUGGAUUCCGCAAGUGGCAAAACACUCAUGCCUUUUCCAUGCUUCGAUCUUUGUCUCACGGCUUUGCGUGAAUCUGAAAUUGUGUUCCAUGGAACCGUAGUGGGAGCGGCAAUCUUAGAUUUCUUUACGACGGGUUUCUUUUUCGAUGACUUGGAAGUAGAUGCUUUCCUCUUCGGCAUUGUUACAAUAAUUGCACUCACGGAUUUCGAUUUACCCGGCUGGAAUACAUGACGUAGGCUGGUUGCGUUGCGUUGCUGCUCGACUGGAGCUUGCUGUGCGGGUUGGAGCUGGUUGCGCACUGCUGGGCUGCGAGACACGGGAUGCUGGUGCUGCGCUCGCGGGGGCUUGCGUUGCGAGCUGGUGAUUCGCGUUGCUGGUUCGUGCUGCGUUGCGGGGCUGCUGGUGGGACUGAUGUUGCGCGUUGCGGCUGGGGCUGGAUCUACGCACUGCUGUGUGAUUCGCGAGAGCCGGUUCGUCUGCGUUGCUGUGCUGCACUGAGGUUGAUUCGCGUUGCUGCUGGUUGCGGUGCGCGAUGCUGCGCCCGGCGGCUGGGGCUGGUGGGGCUUGCUGCUGGAAAACGAUAAUCAACAGUAAUUUUUUUGAAUUAGGGAUUUGUGAACAGUGAUUUUCGAAUUUUUUUUUUUUUUUUUUUUAGUGAUGAAUCACUUUGAGACACUAAAAAUUUCAGAAGUACUUUUUUAAUAAGCACGUGGGCACGCCUUAUCAAAAAUUUUCUUCUGGCCAAAAUAAGCAAACACAUUAUUUUAAAAAAAAAUCUGAAUCAAAAUUAAAAGAAGAUAUAACAAAAACCAAAAUAAAUAAAUCAUUUGGGUUGCCUCCCAAAAAGCGCCUUUGUUUUAUGUCUUUGGCUAGACACGUUUAUGCAUCAAUCUCCAUAAUUGGGACUCUCGAGAGCCACAUCCUCCACAAUAUUCACCGAAAAACCUUCAUAAAAAGGUUUUAAGCGAUGACCAUUAACCUUAAAAACUUUGUCAGAGGUCGGACUCCGAAUCUCAACUGCACCAUGAGGAAAAACAUUAGUAACAAUAAAAGGUCCAACCCAGCAAGAACGUAAUUUACCCGGAAAAAGUUUAAGCUUAGAAUGAAAAAGAAGAACUUUUUGACCAACAGAGAACUCCUUUCUCAAAAUCAUUCUAUCAUGAAAUGUCUUCGUCUUUUCCUUGUAAAAAAUUUCCUGCGCUAUAGGGUUAAUAACAUCCACAGAAAAUACCGAAUGUUCCUCACUAGGAUAUUUCAUGGUAUCAUUCAUAUUGAAUCCUAUAACCUCUCCAUCAAACUCCAUAGUGAGAGUCCCUUUAUGUACAUCCAUUUUAGUCAUAGCAGUCUUAAGAAAAGGUCUUCCUAGCAAAAUUGGGACAGAAUUAGAGGAGUUAUCAUCUUCCAUAUCAAGUACAUAAAAAUCAGCAGGAAAAACCAACUCAUUAACUUGUACUAAGACAUCUUCUAAUACCCCAUCAGGAUAUGCAUUAGACCUAUCAGCUAGUUGAAUUAUCACGCCAGUUUCUUUUAAUGGACCAACAUUCAAAGAUGAAUAAAUGGAACGAGGCAUGACAUUAAUAGAAGCUCCUAGAUCUAACAUAGCCUUUUCAACUCUAACACUACCAAUUUUACAAGGGAUAGUAAACAUACCUGGAUCCUUGCACUUAGGAGGUAGUUUCUUUUGGAAAAUUGCUGAAACAUUCUCCCCCAUGUGAACUUUUUCAUCUCCUCUUAAUUUUCUUUUGGAGGUGCACAGUUCCUUAAGGACUUUAGCAUAUCGAGGUAUUUGUUUUAUAGCAUCUAAUAAAGGAAUAUUUACCUCAACCUUGCGAAAUGUCUCAAGGAUGUCUUUCUCUUGUUCUUCCUUCUUGGAUUUUGCAAACCGGCUUGGAAAAGGAGGAGGUAUCACAAUAGGUAGGGGUUUCGCUCCGGUGGGUUGUGCAUCUUGAGAUUGAGGCAUCAAUUCAUUCUUCUCAAGCUCAUCUUCUACAUGCUCUGUCACUUUCUUACUAGGCUCUUGCAACUCCUUCCCACUUCUAAGGAUGAUAGCACUAACGUUUUGCUUUGGAUUCACCUCAGAUUAUGAAGGCAAUCUUCCUAAUACUCGAGACUCCAGAUGGCUUACUGUAGUCGCCAAUUGACUCAUUUGGUUCUCCAAGUUCUGAAUGCUUGCUGUAGUUGCCUGCUGAAAUUGUUGAGUGUUAGUCGCAAGUGAUUUAACAAUUUCUUCAAGAGAUAUACCUGACUUGGAGUUUGACUGUGGAGGUGCUGGUUGUCUUGGUGGAUACUGUUGUGGGAAUCCUGACGGUUUAACUCCAUAGCUGAAGUUGGGAUGAUCCUUCCAUCCCAGAUUGUAUGUUUGUGCAUAAGGAUCAUACCUCCUCUGAGGCAUGCCUGGAAAUCCUCCAACUGCAUUGGCUUGUUCAACGAGUUCUUCUUGGAGUGUAGGACACAUAUAAGUUGAAUGACCCAUAUUGUAACAAAUGCCACAAGUCUUCACCUGUUGCACAUUACCUACAACAAACUUUUCCACAAGAGAAGUAAGUUUAUCUAAACGUUGUUCAACAAAAGAAAUAUUUACCUCAUUCACCUUCCUUGAAGUGGGAUCUUGCCUGCUACUAAAUUGUUGUGCAUUGGCAGCCAUAUUUGAGAUCAACUCCCUUGCUUGAGUAGGGGUUUUGUUCACCAACACACCUCCACUAGCAGCAUCUAUCAUACUUCUAUCCAUUAAUGAUAGUCCUUCGUAAAAAUAUUAAAUAAGAAGUUGAUCAGAAAUCUGAUGCUAAGGACAGCUGGCACACAAUUGUUUGAAUCGCUCCCAAUACUCAUACAAAGUCUCCCCAGGAAGUUGUCUGAUCCCACAAAUAUCUUUUCUGAUGUUGGCAGCUCUUGAAGUAGGAAAGUACUUCUCAAGGAACUGCUUUUUCAAACCAUUCCACGUUGUAAUUGAUCCAGGAGGCAAGUAGUACAACCAAUCUUUAGCUAGCCCAUCUACAGAGAAUGGAAAAGCACGCAACUUAAUCUGCUCUUCAGUCACGCCUUGUGGCCUCAUACUUGAGCACACAACAUGAAACUCCUUGAGAUGUUUAUGAGGAUCUUCACCUGCAAAACCAUGAAACUUGGGUAAUAAAUGAAUAAGCCCAGACUUUAAUUCAAAAUUUACCUCCAAGUCUACAUAUUGAAUGCAGAGUGGUUGUUGAUUCAAGUCUGGUUCAGCUAACUCUCUAAGAGUUCUUUCUACAGGUGCAGGUCUAUCCAUCACUUGUUCUUCUGAAUCGCUAGAUGAUUCAACUAAAUCAGGCACUGUAUCUGUUUCAGAAAGCAAAGGCGACGAGGAUCGUUGCUUAGCUCGCUUUGUCUGCUGUCUCAGUUGGCGAGCUGUCUUCUCAAUUUUAGGAUCAAACGAAAGUGUACCUGUACGAGAAGAACGAACCAUACACCAAGUAAAACGUAAAAAAGAUUAAAUAAAUGACACCAAUCCCCGGCAAUGGCGCCAAAAUUUGAUGGGUGUCGAAGCCAACAAAAAUAAAUUCCUACUCUAAAUAAAUUGUGUAUAGUGAUUGAGCAGGGUCGUGUCCACAGAGAUCAGUAAUUAUUUAAAUCCUUUUGAAACGUAAAACGUAAAAUGGGGGAAUAGUUGACAAUAAUAAAAAUCAAAUUAAAAAUAACAAGAAUGCAAAUUAAAGUUGUAAUUUAAAUUGGAGAAAGCUCUGGUUGAAGGAAUUAACUCAGCUUGAUUCGACUACUGAUCAUUGAUUCAAAUAUAGAUUAUUAUUACUCAUGAAUAGACCGGUUAUAGCUACUGAGACCCUCUAAUAGCCAAUCUCUCCUUAACUAGUCGAUAACCAAGGUACGACCGUUAGUUAUUUCCCUAAUCAAUAGACAACCCUAGAUACGAUCAUAGAAUUUAAUCAAUUGACAGCCUGAAAAACCAGAGAGACCCAAAUCCUAAUCAACACAUAUGAUGAUUCAUUUAAAUUAGAUUGUUUAUUCUCACAACACAACUCUCUGCUAUGUUAUUAGUCACAAGCAUUAAAUUCUUCAUACGAUGAAUCCUUUAAUUGACAAUAGAUUAAGUUGAUAAUUAAAUAGUGGCCAAUUACCUAAUUAACAAACAUAAUCAUGAAAAUAAUUCAGAGAAUAAACAAAUACCCAAAAAGUAAUAAAACAAUUAAAGCACAAGAAAGAUCUCACAGUAGUGAUGAAUCAAAGCUUCAUUAACCUUCAACCAGAAAAAUGGGUUUAGUUCCUAAUAGAGAGAAGAGAAAAAUUAGAUCUAGGGUUUCUUUUUCUCCAAUCCAAAAUUCCCCCCUUUCACAAUAGAUUCCUCCCUUAAAUACUCUCUCUCUUCUCCUCUAGAAUUCUAUUUAAAAUAAAAUACUAAUAUCUGAAAUAUUAAAUUCGUAAUUACAAAAAUAACCAAAAAUACAAAACACGUUAAACUAAAAACUGCAGGUCCGCAGUUGACAGCACACACCCACGCCUUAUCAAUAAAGUUCUUCUGCCACUCAUAAUUUCUCCAAGAGAACAAUCAUCCUUAAAAAUCAUCUUGUAGCUCAAUUUUAUCACCAAUCAAUAGAAUUGCACUUACAAAAGUAAAUCAUUAUUAUUAAGUGCAAAACAUCGAUAUUAAGGGAAGUAAACAAUGCAAAACUAGUGCAUAAAUUGCACUCUAACAGACCCCAAAGAUCUGCAUAUAUCACUUGUAAGGGUGCUGAAGUUUUUGUUUCAACUGAAUCAAAAUGCAGCAUAUGAUUUUUCCCAUAUUGACAUGCUGAACAAAAUUUCAAGCUUUCAAUUUUAUUAUAAGCAGUAGAGUUGUUACAAGUUUUGAGUAUAGUUUUGAGAGUAUAAGAUGCUGGGUGUCCUAAUCUUCUAUGAAGAAGAUUUACAUCAAUAGAACUCUUUGUAACAACUGACAGACAUGGCUUUUUAUUCAAUUCAUAAGAACUAACAGCAGUGAGCUGAUCAGAAUUGAAAACAGGAGAACAAGCAAAGAGAGUGAAUUUUAUUUUGACCAACUGAAUUGAGAAAGACUGAAUGAGCAGCAACAUGUGAAGAGACUCUAUACAAGUCACCUUUAGCAACACCUUCAAGUAAAAUUUUCCUUGUGUUCCUAGCCUUUAUAAAAAACAAAUCACCAAGAAAUUCCAACAGUAACUGGAUUGUCAGCCAAUAAUUUUGAAAUGCUAAGCAAAUUCUUAGUAAUAAAAGGGACAUGAAGAACAUGGUUUUUAAAGGUUUAGAAGUUGAAGUAUUUAGCACAACUGAUCCUACAUGUGUAAUAGCUAAUGCAUUUCCAUCUCCAACAAACAAUUUUUCAGUACUAGUAUAAAUUUGUGAAUCCAGAAGUUUACCUAGAUCAUUUGUAAUGUGAUUUGUUGCUCCACUAUCAAUAUACCAUGAAGGAUCUUCAAUGUGUUCUGGUGGAAGUGAAGAAGGCAUAGCUGAGGAAGAUGAAGCACUUGACUGUCCAGGAUUAUUAUUUCCUUGACCAGAAACAAAAGUAGAUGGUCUAGGGGUGAAUGAGUAAUAAGCAGAAGGAUUACUAUCUGGAUACACCAUAUUUCCUUGAUAGCCAAAACCAGCAUUUAAACCAAAACCUCCAAAACCUCUGCCACCAUUACCAUUAAAAGCUCUUCCUCUACCAUAUUGCCCUUGAUUAAAACCUCUGCCACCAUUCAUAUUACCUCUGCCAUAGUUUCUCUGUGGAACAAAAGAUGAAUUGUACCUAUUUUUGCAUCUAUUGGCUGCAUGACCAGGUAUGAAGCAGAUUUGACAAACAGUUUCAGAGGAAUUACCACCAUUAUUAAACUGACCAUAUCCAUAUCCAUUAAAACCUCCAUACCUAGAAUUAUUUCCAUAAUUUUUUUGAAAAUUGCCAUUAUUCUUUCCAGCAUAUGAGUUCUUCUGAGCAAUAUUUGCUGUCAUAUUGUGCAUCACAUCACCAGCAAUUUUUCCUUUCUUUUGUUCAACUCUAUUUUCAUGAUUCAAUAGCAAAGGAUAUAGUUCAUCUAAUGUUAUCUUCUCACCUCGAGCUAAAACACCUGUGACUAAAGAUUCAUAAUCUGAUGAAUCAAGACCAGUUAAUACAUGAAUCACAAGAUCACUUAACUCAACAGGUUUUCCAGCUAGAGCUAAAGUAUCAGCUAUACGUUUUACUUUUGCAAAGUAAUCAGACAUAUGCAUUGCACCUUUCUUAAUAGUUUGAAUCUGCAUUCUAAGUGUUUGAAUUCUAGCUUGUGAUUAAGAAAUAAACAUACUAGUAAGAGUCUUCCAAAGCUGUUUUGAAGUUGUGGAGUCAAUCACAGUAGCAAGUAGAUUUUGCUGUAUCGACGACAUCAUCUAACUCAACAGAAGUUGAUCAGUCUUCAUCCAAGCUAUGAACUCUGGAUUAAUAGAUUUGGAUUCAGAUUCAGUAAAAAUUUCAGCUCCAUUGUUGUUUCCAAAAGAAAGAAACUACUCAGGACAUUCUUGAUCACCAUUGAUAAACCCUUCCAGACCGUUUCCUUUGAUCGAUGCUAAAAUUUGUGCCCGCCAUAAAAUGAAGUUGUUUUGGUCUAGCUUUGCAGGCGUAACAAAACUAAAAGAGUUGUUAUUUUGAACUGUAUUCGCCAUUUAUGGCUCUAAUACCAUGAAAGAAACUUAGUUUUGCAUUGUUUGGCAAGCUAGAAAAUGAAGAAAAUAAAAGAAAGCUCUGUAAAGAAGUUUGUAGAACCUUUAUUACUUUAGCAUUACAACUGAAUGAAUACAGACUGAUAUUUAUAUUAAGCUACAAUUUGCUCAACACACACACGAGUUUGUUACAUCACAUAACCAUUUGCUGCAUAACUAAUUUGACACAUCAGCUCAACCAGCUAAUUAACUUUGCCAGGUCAGCUUAGUGAGUUGAUCUGCUAAAUUCAGCUACACAGCAACAUCAUGCUCUGCUCUAGCUUCAUUCAAUUCACUAGCAUUUUCCCUUGAUACAUUAGGAGAAAAGACUGCCUGUGAGAUACAACAAUGUAAAUAACUUCUCAUGGUUCAUUGAAUCUAUAACGCACUGAGCCCUAUUCUAAAAUAUGUAGGUUGCUUCUGAAAAAGGGCUUUUCUCACUGAUCUUUAAUCUUCAAGAAAGUUUGUUUCAUUUCAGAAGGUAUAAGUUUCAAACUUAUUGUAUUGGGAGGUUGUAUAGUUGUAACCUAAGCAUCUGCAGGUUCCUGGUUCAACACAUUAUAGUAUGGUAUUUUAUUUUGUCACAAGGCAAUUGGUUACGGGAUCACUUUUGCAACGGUUUGUUGAUGGCGAUGAUGAAUUUCGCAAUAGUAGGUUGAAACUUAUUCCAUCUGUUCCUAAGGUAUCCAUCUUGGCCUUCAUGUAGUAGGACUAUAUUAACGUAUACUUACCCUUUACUGCAUGGUACACUUCAAUUUGUACAAAGAAGGCAUGCAUUUAGGUGUGAAUGUAUUGAUGGGUUGUACCUUCAAACUUUAUCUCCUUUUUACCCUCUUGAAUUUGUUUUGCACUUGUUCUUGAUUUUCAGCACUGAAUCAUGCAGGGGUCAUGGAUAGUGCGCCAGAGUGUUGGAAGCACCCCUUGUUUAUUGGGGAAGGCAGUUGAUUGUAACUAUAUUCGCGGUCCCAAGUACUUAGAAGUAAAUGCUCUUGGAAUUUCUAUAGUACAUGAGAUGUUCCCCUUUCAAAUAGCGUCCAAUACCUUUAACAUGGUUUAACAUUGUUCAUCUUUCUGUAGAUUGAUGUUGACAUCGAUUCUUCUACUGUUGCUAAUGGAGUUUUGGGCCUUGUAAUUGGUGUAAUUACGACAUUGGUGGUUGAGAUGGCUUUCCUUGUACAGGUAUGUAUGAUUGUUUUUUUCCCCCACUGCUAAAUGGACACAAGGGAAAAGACAUGAUUUUGAGAUAUUGCACUGCAACUUGCAUUUUUGCAUACUUGAAUGUUCUCAGAAUGAUAUAAUGCUUCUGUGUGUGUCUUCUUUAUCUUGCUCUUCUGUAUGCAGGCAAAUACUACAGAUGAAUUACCGGAGCGGCUGAUUGGUGCUGUACGUGUUUCUCAUAGAGAACUCAAGUCUGCUGUUGUCCCAAAGCUGGAACCAGAGAUAUCAUGACUCUGGUUUCAUUUCAGCUCAACUGUGUUUUUUUUUUAAUUAAAAAAAUCAUUUGUUUUAGGUAUACAUACAUGUAUUUUGAUUCUAUUUUCAUUGUAAUUUCUCAUUUACUUUGAAUGAAAGUCAUUGGUGUUUUCGAAUGGGAAUUUUGCAUUAAAAAAUGAAGAAUA
rnacentral:lncRNA from 1 species